UUUUUUUUUUUUUUUUUAACUGAAAGUGUUGAGUAGUUUAAUAUAAAUACAUCAUGUGUUGCACAUACAACUCCACUGCAUAGACCCAUGCUGCAUGUCAGAAUCUUAGGAAAAAUAUCAUUCAUUUUGUAAAGACUAAAGAGUUUGUCAUAAUUUUGUUAUUUAGAGAUGUUUUUAAUUCUUAUUUUUAAAUUAGUUUUGAAAUUUUAAAGUAGCAUUUUGUUAUAUUUUUAAAAUUAAUCCAUUUUUAAAAUAAAAGAAUAAGGAGUAUACAUAAAUCUCCCACUGUGUGGUACUGUCUCGAGUCCAGUCGCCUUUCAUGAUGAGGUGGUAAAAUCCAGUGCAGUGAGGAUGAGAGGGGGAUAAGGUGGAGCUUGCGUGUUGAAACCAGACUAGGGGUCAAGGGUACGUGGUUCCAGGUUUUAAGAGCCAGUGUCUCCCGCGAAACCAACUUGGACCUAUAAAAUGGUAUAAAGAAGUCGCCUUGAGGAUCAAAGCAUAGGAUAUUCCUGGGGAUGCAAAGUGGAAUCCUUGGACCAGUGAACAGUCCCUUUCUGGUUUGACCAAAACCCAUCCGGGUUCACUGGAAUGAUGGGCCUGAUUGUGGGUUGAUGUGUUGAGAUCAACAAUCAACAUCCCAUGGUUCAUGUGCCUAGUGCUUUCCCGUUAUGCAUUUCUCUUCUUAGCUCAGUCCUCAGGAUAGGAGAAAAGGUAUCAGGAUUUACUAUAGAGGUACAAAGGUACUGACAUCUGGAGAAACAAAAGCAAGUUGGGCGCAUUGUGUCUGGUUACUAGAGAACAAGAAAAACUAUAGACUGAUCAUGAUUCAGAGCUGCAAUUGUGGCAUUAAAGGUUGGAAGUAUUGAAUGAGUGAUCAACAUCCAAACGCACAGGCCGACGUGAUAUGCUUUGGGGGCUGAUAUACCCUACUUCUUGUAUUGUCUACAUCUGUUUUUUGUCACCCUGGUAGCUAUGCUUUGGGAUGAGUUAAAGCUCCUUUUGUGUCUGCUCAAGAAGGAUUAAAUCUUCCUUACAACCUGUCCCUACAAAGAAGUUAGGAAGAUCCAGUGUCCAGUGAUCCAACUCCUUCACUGGACCACGCCUUCAAUGGGUUCGUCCACUGGGAAUAACCAUGCAGCAAUAAAUUUAGGGUCCCUCCAUCACAGUGGUUUUCUCCCCUAGGAACCAAAUCCCAAAUUCCAUGCCUUUUAGCCAUUGAAAAUCAAUUUAAUAUCUGAGUUUUGUCUAUCCACAGGAGACAAAGUUAUGGUUAAGUUAGAAUCUGAGAUGGAUAUUAAUUUUAAAUCCAGGCUUUGCAGUAGAGACAAACCAAAUUGGCAGUUUUUUCUUCUUAAUUUAAAUUGAGAUGGAUAAUUUAUAUUGUAGGUUUGUGUUGGUAUGGCUCUAGUGUUGAAUACAGUGGGUGGAGUCCAAGAUGGCCGAAGGGGUCCUACUUCUGCAUGUUUGCAUGCACGUCUCUAAGUAGCUUACUUUCUGCUCAAAAACUUUUUCAGAGAAUAACAGCGCUUUGAAGAAAAACACUCUGCGGAUUUGAUGCACUUCUGUUCCUUUUCCUUCUUUUUAGCCUGCAACGGUUACAAUGCUUCAUGUCUUUCCAAAAUUUGUAUCUUCUCUGAGGAUACAGAUACGCCCUUCAGUUUCUCAGAGAAAACGUGCAAAAUGUUAAGCCAUUACCUUUCGACCCCGCCCUUUUGAGCUCUUAGUUUGUCAUCUCUCUCUAGAUAUAGAUACCAGAUGUACACACAACCAUUGUUUGCACUGGUUAUGAAACGCUUCAAAUGUGUAAACGAAUUUUACUAUGACAGAAAUGACCCACAUGCAAAUGAAGAACCCAGAGCAGAAGCAUGUGAUCUCUACUAGGAAGCCUCUGCAGAAUUCCAUGAAUCAACAAACAUCAUCAGAAAUUAUGCCCAGCACUGAAGAAAGCUUGGAAAAUGCAAAAAGGAGUAUAGGGAGGAGAAAGGGAAGGAGAAGGGGGAAAGGAGCCAAAGUGGAGCAGUUGCAGGAUCCAAAGCUUGAUUUAAGUGUUGGUUCUCAUGACUCAAGCAAAGGUCUGGUGUUCCACCGCAGGCCCGGUUAUGGUCAAUUGGGAAGGAAAUGUGUAGUUAAAGCCAACCAUUUCCUAGCGCAAGUGCCAGAUACAGACUUGAGUCAAUAUAGUGUAAGCUCUCUUUCUCCAAAAAUUGAACUCCAGAAAACCUUUUUUUUGCAGGUUGAGGGAAAUGCUGGGAUUCAUCUGGACUUUGAGAAUUCAUGUAACAAUCUAAAUUUUUGUUCAGGUUACCAUAACCCCCGAAGUUGCUUCUCGCAAAAUCAACAAAUCUAUCAUGGCCCAGUUGGUGAAACUUCACAGAGAUACUGACCUAGGGAUGAGGCUCCCUGUUUAUGAUGGUAAACGGGUCCUUUACACUGCUGGACUGCUUCCAUUUGUAUCAAAAGAGUUCACUGUGAAACUGGUUGAAGAGGAUGAGGGGACAGGGAUUACAAAGUAAGUAAUUCAUUCCUUUUUUUUAUAUUUUUUCUCAUGUAAUUCUGUUCUCUUGAUUGGUCAUGUUUUAUUGGAAUCUAUGGUUUACACUGGCCAUUUCAGUCAAAAACUAUGACAGUUCUGAUUGAGUUUCAACUACUUCUUUCAGGGAGCGAGAGUUCAAAGUGACAAUCAAGUUUGUAGGUAUCACUAGUAUGGUCCAAUUGCGAGAGUUUCUUGCUGGGAAACAAGUUGAUACUCCCCAUGAAAUAAUUAGGAUCUUUGAUAUUGUGUUAAAUCAACUAGCAGCCCAAAGGUACAUCUCCAUUGUCCAAUUAUAUUUCAUCGCUUUUCUUCUUGGGUUUAAUUAAGGCCAUUGCAAGUUUGUUCAUCAAUCAAUUUGGAUGUGUGUAGGUAUGUAUCAGUUGGGAGAUGCUUAUAUUCUCCUGAUAUUAAAAAUCCUCAGCAACUAGGUGGGGGUUUACAAUCAUGGCAAGGCUUCUAUAAGAGUAUAAGGCCAACUCAGAUGGGGUUAUCAUUGAACAUCGGUGGGAUGAUUCUUCCACUCCGUCUUGAAUUUGUUCAUAUUUUUCAUUUAUCACCAAACUUAACUUUUCUCUAAUUCAUAUUUCAGAUAUGUCAUCAACUGCAUUCAUUGAACCAUUACCUGUUAUUGACUUUGUGGCUCAACUUUUGGACAAAGAUGUAUUUUCAAGGCCAUUGUCAGAUGCAGACCGUGUCAAGGUACAAUAUCUAUGGUCCCUGAAUUAUCAGUUUAUAUAGCCCUUAAUGAUAUAGAUGCUGAUUAUAUAAUUUUUUUUUAAUCACAAAUCUAUUAGUGUACUCUGUAUUCGCAAUGAAUCAGAGGGCUUAGAAACCAGAUUCAAUAUCACUGAGACUAACUGCUGCAUCUACCACCAAAGUUAAUAAAUUGAUUUCUCAAGCUCUGUCCUUAUUUUUGUUUGGCCAUUCAGUUCAUAAUUGUCAAAAGUUUUCUAGUGUGAUCACCAUUGAGCUUAGAUUAAAGGAUUGUAAUAAAAUCUUGACUCAAAUCUGCAUUAGGGCUUUUAAAUUUCAAAUGCUACUUUAAAAGUAGGAAAAAAAAAAGGUGAGGGUCAUUGCUGCUUUAACAUCAAUAUGAAUGUAUUUAAGUUAAAUACCCACUUAACUCUCUAAAUUAUUGACCAAUAUCAUCCAGAUUUGCUUAGUUUAGCCUCAACAAAGGAUGAUUUUCAUUUUCUCAACCAAAAACUGAACAUUAGAGGUAUAUUUUAAAGUCAGGUUGGUCCUCUGUUGGAAUAUAUCAAAUUUAUUUAAUAAACUCAAAAUCUUUAAGGAUUAGUUCUGGUCUGAGCUUAUUUACCUGGUGUAAGCAAAUUCUCUAGUUGCAAGACCAAGAUGCAUCCCUAGUCCAAGAUGGUGUUAUCAUUACAAAAAAAAUUGUAUUAUUAGCAGUAUCUAUCUUUUGGUUAUUAUAUCCAAUCAGGUAACACCUAUGCAAAUAUUGAGCAGGUUAAGAAAGCUCUUAGAGGUGUUAAAGUUGAAGUUACGCACAGAGGAAAUGUACGAAGGAAAUAUCGGAUUUCAGGACUGACAUCACAACCUACAAGGGAACUAAUGUACUGAUAUUUUGUAUUUUGCCUUCUUUUAAUUGUCCUUUUUUUUUUUUUUUAAUCUUUUGAAGUGAGUUUAAGUGGUGGUUUCUUCUCAUUCCAACAGUUUCCCAGUUGAUGAGCAAAUGAACAUGAAAUCAGUUGUUGAGUACUUUCAGGAGAUGUAUGGAUUUACCAUUCGAUAUUCUCAUCUACCUUGCCUCCAAGUAGGUAACCAGAGGAAAGUGAAUUACUUACCAAUGGAGGUAGGCUCACAUUCAAUAUUCCUUCAACGUUUUGGAUGCAGAAAAUUUCAGGCGUCUCUAGCUGACUUAUAUUUCCUAACCUAUCCUCCCAGGCUUGUAAGAUUAUUGGGGGACAGAGAUAUACCAAAGGGCUGACUGACAAGCAGAUAACUUCCUUGUUAAAAGUAACAUGCCAAAGACCCAGGGAUCGAGAAACAGACAUUUUACAGGUUUACUUGUCUAAUCUGUUGAACUAUAUCCUACUCUUUUGAUUAACAGAAAAAAUGGAAUUGAAUAUUUGGACAUACUUAAGGUAUUUGUUUGAUUUAUGCUUUAGGAAAUCUUCGGUAAUAUUCCAUUUCUCUAUCUUGGAGAGUAUUUAUACUCAUGACUGCAAAAAGAAUGUGUUUGAUGCCUUACAAGAAUAAUGACUUCCAUCCUUCUAAAGGUUCACGAUUAUAUUUUCAGACCAUUAACCAAAAUGGGUAUGAGAAAGAUCCCUAUGCGAAGGAGUUUGGCAUCACUGUAGAUGAAAAGCUUGCUUCAGUUGAAGCUCGAGUUCUACCUGCACCAUGGGUAAUGUUUAACAUCCCCUUUUCUCUUAUUGGAUAUUUUAACAUGGUCUGAUCUAAAAUUUGUUCCUCUAUUUUGUUCCUUGAUAGCUUAAAUAUCACGAUACCGGAAAAGAAAAAGAAUAUUUGCCGCAAGUUGGUCAAUGGAAUAUGACAAACAAGGUAAAUUUAAUGUCUGGCAAUGGAAAUUUUUGGUACUAGAUGUAGUUUGUGUAUGAAUUUAAGGCACUGGAAUUCUUGGUAAAUGCAGAAAAUGAUAAAUGGAAGCACUAUCAAUUACUGGGCUUGCAUCAACUUCUCACGAAGUGUUCAGGAGAGUACUGUAAGCGGUUUUUGUCAUCAGCUGGUUCAAAUGUGCAAAGUUUCUGGCAUGGUAAGCUUUUCUGAUCUGCAAAUAUUAGGAACUUUUUAAUUUUAUUUUUUGUCAAUUUAUGGCUGUCAUCUUUGGCUACAUAAAUAUAUCACAAUGUUGCUUCUGAUAGUCCAUUGGAUUAAGUUAUGGCAACAUGCUCGGAACUUGAUGUUGUUGACUUUUCAUCUUAGGAAUUCAACCAUGAGCCAGUAAUUCCAAUACAUUCAGCUAGACCGGAUCAGGUUAAGAAGGCCUUGAAACAUGUAUAUAGUGCUGCUGCAAACAAACUUGGAGGAAAAGAGUUGGAGUUACUCAUUGCCAUUCUUCCAGACAACAAUGGCUCUUUGUAUGGUAUGUAGUUUUCUGUUGCCAUAAUUUUUCCAUGUCUGAUUUAACAAAGCUAUGCUGGAUAUUGUGCUUGGUAAAAUCGAGCAUUACAAAUUUUGAAUUGCCUAUAAGCGUUUUGAUUUUGUCACACACGUUGUUCAAACCAUUGAAGUAAUUAAGUGCUGGAUCAAAAGCAUUGCUUGCAAAAGUAAAAUUUAUGUCCCUAAUAUGUAAGCUAUUGAUUUAUUGUGCUCAUAGGAAAAAGAACUGUUAACUUUCAUUGACAUUGGUCAUGCAUAAUAAUACUUUGGAGAUUAUACGAGUUGUUUUCUGACUAAAAUUUGCAUGUUCUACAUUUAGGUGAUUUGAAGCGGAUUUGUGACACAGAUCUGGGGUUGAUUUCUCAGUGCUGUCUUACUAAAAAUGUCUACAAGAUUAGCAACCAGUACCUGGCAAACGUGUCACUUAAAAUCAAUGUUAAGGUCUGUCCAGACUGAAACUUCUGUGGCGAUUCUACUACUUAAAAAUAGAUUGCUUAUUGCAAAGUUAAUGUUUCCUCUAAGCUUGGUUUCGGGAUUUUUCUUUUUCCCCAGAUGGGUGGAAGAAAUACUGUGCUUUUAGAUGCUUUGAGUUCAGGAAUUCCUUUGGUUAGUGACAUUCCAACAAUCAUAUUUGGAGCCGAUGUAACUCAUCCAGAGACUGGAGAUGACUCUUGUCCAUCAAUUGCUGCUGUAAGGAUAUGAAAACCUGUAUUUCCCAAAAUCUACAGUUCCAUGUUUGAGUCCAUAUUGAUUACAAUUAUACAGGUAGUAGCCUCCCAAGACUGGCCAGAAGUCACCAAGUAUGCUGGAUUGGUAUGUGCUCAGGCUCAUCGGCAAGAACUUAUUCAAGAUUUGUAUAAAACCUGGAAAGAUCCUCAAGGGGGCACAGUUACUGGAGGCAUGAUCAGGUGCAUAUUCAAGAUGAUUCUGAACUCUAGCUUGAUAUGAGUUGGGUUUAUGUUACAUUGAUAGUUUUUAUGCAUCUAAUCAAAUCAUGAAGUUAAUCAAGACUAAUCGGAGCCCAACCUGUUGAAGAAUUCCAUAGGACUAUUCUUGAGUUUGAUUUGAAUGAUCCAUGUGAUUGAUCAACUAGUUCAUUUUGUUGCCUUUCUUUAUUUCUCUCACCCUAGACGAGUUGAACAGCUGUUUUAGGAAGACAAUCAUGUUGCAGUGAUGAUAAGCCAACAAAUUCAUCAACAUAAACAUAUUUGGAAAUGAUGCAAUUGACUGUUCUAAGAAAUGGCAAGUUGACCAAAUUGUUAGAAGAACUUUUUACAUACUGGAAAUUUAUUUUCUUGUGAUUUAGCUUAUGCUGGUCAUGGACUGGGUUUAUUUUCAACCUCUGGAUUUCUCUCUUUGAGCUGAAGUUUUGAAACAUGCCUUCAAAGAUGUUGUAGGAGUUCUUUCUUAACCUCAGACUCUGCUAUUUGACUAUAUAUGUGAUGGGUGGACCCAUCUAAUUGGUUUCCAUAGUGUGGUUAUGGUUAUCGCUUGUUUAACUUUGAACCAACAUUCUUGUUGGAUGCUUACUGAAUCUGUAUGACUGCAGAGAGCUUUUACUUUCAUUUAAGGCAGCCACUGGAAAAAAACCAUUGAGGAUAAUAUUUUACAGGUAUUCUUAAUUUGCUUAUUCAUUACAGGUCCAGUCCUACUGUUUUCUUUCUGGUUAGGACUUAGAGAAAAGAAACUGUUAUUGUGCUAUUGAUUGGGCAUGAGAGACAAGACUCAAGAAUGGUUUCUGUUUUUUGUCUUCCAUAAUAUUUGCAGGGAUGGUGUCAGUGAAGGGCAGUUCUACCAGGUUCUACUAUAUGAACUUGAUGCCAUUCGUAAGGUUGGUUACCAACUGAUACCAUGCCUUAUCAAGACAUCUUUCAUGUUCUUAUAUAGUGUCUGUGUCUAGGCCUGCGCAUCAUUGGAACCUAGUUACCAACCUCCAGUGACAUUUGUUGUCGUCCAAAAACGGCACCACACUAGACUCUUUGCAAGCAACCACAAUGACAAAAGCAGCACUGAUAGGAGUGGGAACAUCUUACCUGGUAAUAUUUUCUUACUUAUAAUUUUAUUUAGAUUAUGUCUUGAUGGUUGAGCUUGAUCCGUUGAUCAAACAAUCUCCACUCUAGAAUAGCAAUACGGUUGUUACAAGCAUGAAGUUCCUAUUGUAGGUACUGUGGUCGAUUCGAAGAUCUGCCAUCCCAGUGAGUUUGACUUUUAUCUAUGCAGUCAUGCAGGAAUCCAGGUACCUUGUUGAACUCAUUAAAUAUUGCAAGGCCUGAAAUUUAUAAUAGAUAAGAAAAACACAGAAGUUCUCAAUUUCUGCAAGAGAACUUUCAAGUUGGUGUUGGCAUGCCAGGAUGGUUUUGAAUGUAAAGUACUACAUGUCAAGAAUUUGUUUGUACUGAAAUUGACAUUUGGCAGGGGACCAGCCGACCCGCUCAUUAUCAUGUUCUCUGGGAUGAGAACAACUUUACAGCAGAUGAGAUCCAAUCUUUGACGAACAACCUCUGUUACACGUAAGACGCAUCAUUCCCUUGCUUCUCUUUCCAGAGUUAUUAAUUUUACCAUGAUUUAAUCUGGUUGACAACUUGGUUGCAGGUAUGCAAGGUGCACUCGGUCUGUUUCUCUAGGUAAACUUCUAAAUCAUCUCUUAAUCUGCUUCAAGUGAGGAAGAUGUGCUAUACAUAUUUGUCAGGGAUCCUAUUGUAGGGUAGUAAAUUGAACUAGCAUAACUUGAUCAGAUGAAUUCGGUGUGAGAAACAAUGGCGUAGUAUCAUCUUAUACAAUGAAGCAUUGGUUUUCUAUGCAUGCAGUUCCUCCUGCGUAUUAUGCUCAUCUGGCAGCCUACAGAGCUCGAUUCUACAUGGAACCUGAUAAGCCUGAGAAUGCAAUACCAAAUUGCAUGCGCACAUCAAAUGAAUCACGCGUCCGGCCCCUGCCAGCAUUGAAUGAGAAGGUGAAGAAUGUGAUGUUCUACUGUUAGAGAAAAAGAAAAUAGGCACUGGGAAGGGACCAAAGAAGAAAUGCAAAGACAUAUCUGUACAUGAGUGUUGUGUUUAUAUGUGAGUGGUGAACCACCGAUUUUUUUGAAAGCAAGCUUAUCCAACAAGUUUUGUCACAGUGUGGAAUAUGUAAUGGAAGGAUUUUGAAAUCUAGUAUAUUUAAUCUUGUGAAGAAGGUUCUUUGUUUCAAUUAAGUCAACAAGCCAGGCCAACUCAUACAAAUGGUACAGCCUGAGGUGGUAUCAUUUUCAGGCAGGAAGCAACAUGCUGGUCCUGCUCCUUGCGAUGAUUCGGGACUUAGUCAAACCGACAAUUACUAGGUGGUGCCUUUGCUCUUAUGGUAAUGGUGGGGUUGUGGAGCCCUUUAUCAGAUAAGGGAGAUUGCUGGAGUCAGGCAUAGUGGUGGGGAUCAUAUCCAUCUCUUUGUUGGUGGCCAGGGGAGCCAUAUAGGCAAUCAGGAGAUAGGAAUCCUACUAUGGAUGUCAAUGCUCAAGCCUCGCAUGAGAACCACAGAACUUGGAUUUCUUCAACAUUAUCCAAUCCCAGAGGUUGUCUUUGCUGGGUCUGAGCAUUACCAGAGGGAAGCUGAUGGAUUUCCAUUGAAGAAACAGCAAAUGGGAGUCAUUAUUGUGUGUCAAAUUUUGCUGUUUCUGAUGGAGGCCAAAAAACGCUGAAAAGCUAUUUAACCCAAGGCUGUACUAAAAAGAAAAGAUAUCUUUGAACUCUCAGUCAUGAAAAAUAUGAUUCGAAUGAUCCGCAUGUGGCUGGGACAGGACUUUAUUGAAUUGAGUCCAGCUGUGAGCAGACUUUAUAAAACAGGAUCUCCAUAAAUGGUCUGAUUCCUAUUUCGUGCUUUCACAAGCUCACAAAGUUAUAAGAAGCUGUAAACCUCUUACAUUGCGAACAUGUCAAUUCGAGGAUUUGCGCAACUACCCAAUUGAGUUCCACAUCGCUGCUAAGUUAAGGUUUGGCAAUUAAGCUUAUAAGCACUUGGGCGUUGCAUAAUUACCAUAAAAGCCACAAAGUUAUCUAGUGGGAAGGUUGCUAUCUAAAGGAUAUGUUAAUCUAAAAAUUCCAAACAGUUUAAUAACCCAAGAGAAAAAACCCCAAUAAACUUUAGUAAGGUUUGCAGGUGUGCAUAAACUAUUCAAAGGAGACACAUGGCCUAGCUGAUAAGCUAGGUUUUCACAUUCUGAAAUUUGAAAUGGGCAAUUUAUAGUACAAAAAAAGAGGUGGGUGUAUGAUUGUCUUAGAAGCCUACAACUAUAGGCAUGUCGUGACCCUUAAUUUGGGGCAAUGAGCCCAGAUCAUACUGUCAUCAAGAAAAAGGAAAAAAGAAAAAAGGGAAAAAGGAAUACAGCAAGAAGCUGAUCUCAAAGGAUCUUAAAGGGACAGCCUAAAGGAUCAGAUAUUGUUGGUUAUUCUCUUCACCUGAUGUAAGAUUACUGAUUACCUGUCUGACCCAAAUCAUUGGAAAAGUAUCCCAGUAAUUUCUAGCGCAGGUCAAUCCUCGUCCACCCAACCCAUGCCAUUUAUUAGUUGAUAGCUUCCUUACAUGCUCAAAAGGUUCAUUUAGAAACAGUGAGGCCAGCAUAGCCACGAAAUUCACAUGCUUUUGUUAUGGCCUAUUUCUUUAUUCAGUAUAUUCAAGGCUAUCAUUUGUGUCUUGAAGAAACAUUUUGGUCGGCCCCCAACAUUGACUCUUAAGAUCAUGUCUUUGAUUGCUAAAUCUAGGUAGGGGUGGGGUGAAUAGGACCACCGAAGCGACACAUUCCUAAUAUGAUUUUUAUCUAGGUUUUAAUGGUUUUAAUUAUUUUAAUAAUGAAAGGUUAUAAAAUAAAUUUAUAACACAUAUAGCGAAAAAUUGAUCUAUUUUGCAUUCAAAAUAUAUACUGCAGCUAUCAAAAAUUUAAAAUAAUAACCUGGAUAUCAGUUCUUCAAGCAUAAAAUUUUCUCCAAUUGUAUGAAGACUCUACGUGUAUCCACACCGAAAUUAAUCUUUGCUAUCAACCCUUUGAUACGCGGAACUUAAAAAAAAAAUAGAACAACACUUUUUAUUUCUUUGGCGUAAAAACAAGGAGGAAAAAGAUAGAUCGAUCCUUAUUCAGAUUGUGUAUAUAUGCUAUAUAGCAUAUCCGAUACAACUUCUGUUUUAAGUGAUAAGAUAACUCAACUAAUUUGAUUUUUGAUUUUAUCACUUAAUCUAUCUCUAUCGUGUCCUCCUUUUUUGGGCUACUAAGAGAUUCUAUUGGUCCAUUUGUUUUUCUUUUGCUAUUUUCAAUAGCAUUUGAAAAACACUUUGACCAAGUCUUGUAAGUUAAAAACAAAACCCACAUCCCUCCUGUAAGUUGCUGCAUGUACCCAUAUGUUUGCAAAUGUUUAGCAAACAUUCUCGUGGACUAACUUCCACGUCCAAAGAAAAAUAUUUUAUUUUUUUUUAUCUAUAUAUUAAUUAUAUUCUUGGUGCUAGCAAAGAAUAUAAUAAUAUUCCACAUAGAACAUAUUUAUUUAUUUGAUUAAAAUUAAAUUCUCUAAUUUAAUUAUCAAAUAAUAAUAAAUAGCUCUUUGCAAAGAUUAAAACACUCGUUUGUGUGUGACCCCGUAGGUUCAUUACUAAGUUGGUAGUAAAUUAAUCAAAUCAAUUUACUAAUUAAGGUAGGCGUCUAGCAACACUCCUUAACGUCCAGAUAGUAUGAAGUAAUAUCUUUUACUUUCAAGAACCGGUAGAAGAAUAAUGUAAUAUUUCCUUCCAUCAUUUACAGCUCUGGGCUAACUCUAGAGUAUGGUAUUACUGUCAAACUCUAAUAAGUCAACACAUUAUUUAUUUAGUGAAUGACUUAAGAAACUCAUUUCUUCAUUCAUUCAAUUGCCCUUGGCCAAGGUCUUAUUUUUAUCAUAGAGCUCAAACUCAUUACCACGAGUUGAUGGAUUCCUUCUUGAUUAAUCAUUAAUUCUACAAGUAUUUAAUUAUAUCCAAUAUCCAUUCAACUAGUGCCCUAAGGCAUUAGGUGUCCGGGAUUAAAAUAUAAUAAAUAACUUGUUAAUUACUUUGAUAAUCUCAGGUCAAAGAAAACUAUUAUAUUUCUUCUUGAGAAAUUCCUAUUGACAAUUUAAGGUAAAGAUAACCAUUAGAAAUUCUCAGUUGAGUCAGUUCAAUGAUCACAUCUACAUGUGCAUCAUCUAUAUAUGUAAUUUAACAAAUGAGAUAUAUCAAUCUUUAUCCAAUAAAGACCAUCACAUAUAUAUUGAUCUAUCUGGAUUAUUGAUGUCCUGUUGACAAUAAUCCUAUGAUCAAGAACAGUUUAGAUUAAAAUUAAUAAAAGAAUUGCUUCUCAUUAUCAUAAUCUCUAUCAUGAUAACAAUUUUUCAAAUUUUAAUCAAGGACCUUAUCAUAUAAACUAUUUUAAACAGAUAUGAUAAUGAAAUAAAGAAUUAAUACCUUAUUAAAACUAAAGUUGAUUACAUGAUAGAUUGGAUCUUGGGCAUACAUUUAUCCCCAACAAAUAAUUAUAUUAAUACUGAUUACAAAUUGAUUAAUCUCACGAACAUCACAAGUAAUGUGGAAAAAUCAUUUACAGAGUUUUUAAAAAAUACAUAAAUGUAAAAAGCCAUGAAUCGAAUAAUUGCAAACAAAUGGUAAACACCUUAACUAUGUGAUAAAGUUAGUGGAUCAAACACCUUUUUGUAAAAGAAUUCUUUCAAGAUUAUUUUUGAAAGCUUGAGAGAUAAAUAACUAAGGUUAUAAGUUUGACUAUACUCGUGUGUUAAAUCCUCAUUACAACUCAAGAAAAUCGUAUAUUUAUACCAAAAACAUAGAAAGAAAUCACACAUCCUAACACUAGGGAACACAUCAAACAUGCUACUUCAUUUUGUAGUUUCAAACUUUGUUUUCUAAGCUUUCUCCAAAAGGUAUACUUAGAAAAUAAUAUCAUAGUCAUUCUUCAAGUUCUAAUUAUUUCAAAUGCAUACAUAACUUGUAUAAAAAUUAACUUUGAAGUUAGCUUAAAGUUGAAUAGAUCAGUAAGAUCUUUGAAGGUGAGAUGCAUCAAAUUUAAUGCAUAAAUUGAACAAAAUUGCUAACAUAGACUAAUAUAUCAACAAUUCCCCCUUAAAAUUGUGCAAUGAGAGUCCAACCCCCUCCCCCCUCCAACUCUCAUGAAAACCUCAAUGAACUUAAAUUUAAAAUCAUCAUAACCAUUACACACUCCACAUUAUCUACUACAUGUAUUCUACACACACUCAAAUAAUACAAACUAGAAAAGCAAGGUAGGGAAAGAAUAGAUAAUAAAAUAUACUAAAAAAAUAAGCUAAAAAAUAGUCAUUACUCAUUUUUUUUCCACAAAAAUGACAAAUAAAUGAAAAAGAAAUAACUAUGAAUGUAAGGUCAUAAGAAAGAGAAAAUAUAUAAACUGGAGUAUAUGAAUAACAAUGUUACAUAAUACCCAAAAUACAUCUCAAAUGGAAAAGAGAUGAGAAAUAGCCAAAUAGCAACAAAAUAUGAUGCCUACAUGUUCAUAUCAAGAGGAGGAAAUAUAUAUGAGCUCAAUCCUGGCUGAGAUGUGAUCCAUGACUCUAAUAAAACUAGUCAUUUUUCCAUACUUUGGAUCCUAGUAUUCAUUGAUCUUAAGCAUGAGUUAGUAGAGGCAAUGCUCACAAAUAUUAUAUCAAUUUAUUGAACAAUAUGAAGAGCAAAUAUAUAAAAAGGAAUAUAUGAAUAAAAAUAUUACAUAAUACCUAAAAUACAUCUUAAAUGGAAAAAAGAUAAGAAACAACCAAAUAGUAACAAAAUAAGAUGCCUAUCUGUCUAUAUUAGGAGGAGAAAAUAUGUGUGAGCUCGAUCUUGGUUAAGAUGUGAUCCAUAACUUCAAUAUAGUAAGUCAUUUGUCCACGCUAUGGAUCCAAGUCUAACCAAUCCUAAGCAUGAGUUAGUAGGGGCAAUGCUCACAAAUAUUAUGACAAUUGAUUGAACAGUAUGUUGGAAAAGAUUAAGUAUGAAAGGAUCAUUAGAAAGUAGCAUUAAAUCAUUAGAAUGAUCGACCCCUGAACUAGCUUUGGCUUAUAAGAGAGUUGUUCCAUAUCCAUAACCUCUACCACAACUUUGUGAUGCAUGACUAUGACUCUUAGAUGGUUCAACAUCAUCUAGGUCCUACUCUACAACUCUAACAUCAUCCUCCCCAUCUUCCUUGGUUGUGAAUUGGGCAAUAUGACUCACAUGAUUGGACCAAGAGAUCCUAUGGAUAGGUGCUAGCUAAUGGAGGAGAGAGAGCUCAUGCUAGAAGUCGAGCCCUUACUUAUGAAGGAUCCAAGAAAUGAUAAUGAGAAAAAGUAAACCAACUACGAAUGAAUUAAAGGUGUAGGAUCCCAUAACAUCAAGGAUAAAUCUCCUAAUAUUAAUUUCCCUCCUAAUAAGGAGAUAAUGGAUGAAACAAGUAGUCGAACGAUAAAUCUAGGUGUAAUGAGAAGUUGGAUAGAAUAAACUGCACUUGAAUGCAUCAAUUAGUCAUGUUGGCUUAAUGACAUCUCUAAAAGAGACGUAAAUAUGUAAGAGACAAGCCUUUCUAUAAAGUGUAUGAGCAACAACCUCAUACUUAGUUGAUAAGGGGUUCGAAACAUUAGGUACCUUGUGUAGAGCAAUGUCUCAGUAUGAUCAAAUGUCUAACACUCAACAGAUCAAACAUGAGGUUACUAUAAAGGCUAAUUCAUUUAUUAAAACACUAAAUUAUACCCCAAGCAUGUACUCAUAGAUGUUAGCAUAGAACAUCUAUAUGUAGUGAUGGUAUGCAACCUCUCAAAUAGAAACAAGAGGUUCUCAACCCUAAUUAUGAAAAAUGUAGGGAAUAAGAGUAUCCUUGAAAUAAAUAAAUAAAUAAAGAUAAUUUGACACUUAACCUCAACAUGCUACUUGAAGAAUCGCUCAUUGAAAGUAGCAUUAUGCUCUACAGAUUGGAAGCAAUGUAAAAGUAAGUUAUCAAUCGUAUAAGAGAUGGGCAAGUGUCUUAGAGCAAGGAAACCUAGAACGAGAUGGUUACCUACUAUUGGAACCUUUACUAUAGGCUAUAAGGAAAAAGAAGGAAAACAAAAUAAAUAGGAAUUAGCCUAGAAAAAUGUAUGGUCAAAAGUGUUUUGGACUUCGUAUUGAAAUCCUCUACAAAGUCAAAUAUGUAGAAUUGUGCAAAGCCACUAAAGAACACACAUAAGAAGUUAAAAGAAUAAGCAUAUGAACGCAAAAUGGGAAAAAUAAGAACACGAAAGGGAUUUAAAGUUGUGGUAUGAUGUUUUCAUAAAUGAAGUUGGAACAUCCCAUAUGAAACAUUGGAACAUUCCUCAACAAAGUGAAUGAUUUGAAUGACAUCCUUUAUUGAGCAUUUGAAUGUCUAAAGCAAAUUUUGCAUACAUAUUUUAUGCUCUUUUCCAUCAUUUCAAGCAUGCCAAGCAUGUAUCUUACAUAAGAAACGUUAAAAUUAACCUACAUAACAACCCAUAAUGUGAUAACCUUGAGAACACGCAUAAGAAGUUAAAAUAAUGAACAUAGGAACGCAAAAUGGGAAAAAUAAGAGCAUGAAAGGGAUUUAAAGUUGUGGUAUGAUGUUUUCAUAAAGGACGUUGGAACAUCCCAUAUAAAACAUUUGAACAUUCCUCAACAAAGUGAAUGAUUUGAAUGGCAUCCUUUAUUGAACAUUUGAAUGUCUAAAGCAAAAUUUGCAUACAUAUUUUAUGCUCUUUUCCAUCAUUUCAAGCAUGCCAAGCGUGUAUCUUACACAAGAAAUGUCAAAAUUAACCUACACAACAACCCAUAAUGUGACAACCUUGAGAACAUCACCUAAAUUAUUCUCAAAUCACUUUGAAAUUUAUGUUAAAUCUUCAAGAAUUAUGAUUCAUAGAAAAUAGUUCAAUAAAAAAAAUUAACUCACUAUGCCUAGAUAAAAGUGAAAGUUUACAAAUUAUAAAAUGAAUCAAAUCAAUGUAAUUGAAAAAAAAAAAGUCAAUGAUUUUUCAAUCUCAUAAAGAAUACGACAUGUAUAAUAAUUGAAAAUCAACUUCAUAGUUAAAAACAAUUACACCCUUCCCAAGAUCAUCAAUUCAUUAACCUAAUUAUUUCAUCAAAUUAAUUUAGGGUCUUCAAUGUGACAACAUUAAAUUUGACUUUAUUCAAGCCAAAUUUCUAUUUAACACAAGAUAUGUUUCAAAAAUCAUUUAAUGGUAGUCACUUUAAGUCUAAAUCUUUUAAGAAGAAAUCUUAAUAUUUUUCUUACUAUCUUUGAUUUGGAAAUUCUUUCUCUUAAGUUAAAGCAAGAAUUUACUAUAUCAUUGAGUUUAGUAUAUAACUUAGAUAAUGUCUUAUCUUCACUUAUUUCAAUACUUUCAAAUUUAGUAAUUAAUAUUUGUAAUUUGGAUAACUUCAAAGUAAAAGUGCUCCUUGUGAGUUACUGUUCCAUGUCUCUUUAACAUAUUUAUAGGUUGCACUCCUACAAAACUCAUUAAAACUCACACAAUUAGAAAUACAAUGAAGGGUUUUAACAUUUGUCUCACUUCCCUUAUUAUCUAAUUUAUCUCAUUUUGGCUUGAUCUUUAAUUCACCGAUUGCCCUACCAUUCUUAUAAAUAAAACCCCCUACUCCAUUGCGUUGCUUACCUUUUCACCUUAUAUAUAUAUUUUAAAAAAUUCAUUUAAACCAUUUAGUUAAGGUAGUUAUUUCAAUAAAGACCGAUGGACAAUUUAUACAUGUUCUAACUCUUUGUGGUUUUAUGGAUCAUGAGUUAUCUAAGAGAAAAUGAAAAUUGUAAUAACACUUAUAAGAUCAUGUCUUAAUUGAUAAAACUGCCAAGAGGGGUGGAAAAGGGUGAAUAGGUUGUCCAAGAUAGAUAUCACUAGUAUUUAAUUUUCAUCCAAAUUUUAAUUUGUAUCAAUAAUGAUUAAAAAUCAUUCAAUCACAUACAAAUAUAAUAUAUGUUAUGUGGAAAGGCCACCUAUAAAGUUUCCUAGAAACCAUGUAGAUGUAAAAAAUUAUAGAUUAAAUGGCCACAAACAAAUCUAAUAACUAUGAAAGAAAAAAUGUAUACAAAAUUACUUGACUCGGAUACACCUACUUAUAGGUCUUAUACUAGACAAAACCUUUAUAGGACUUUAAAUACUCGACGUAGCACCUCGUGCUCUUUAAUGAACACUUUCAACCAUGUGUUGAAACUAGUGGAUCAAACAUUAUUUUUUUGUUGAAGAAUUCUUUCAAGAUAGCUCUUGAAAGCUUGAGAGAUGGAGAAUUUAGGUUAUAGGGAUGACUAUAUUCUUGUGUGUCAUUUCCCCAUUACAACUCAAUAAAAUCAUAUAUCUAUGAAACCUAAUAAAUAAUUUUGAAGAACAAUUUUAAACUUAGUUUUACAAAAAUACCCUUAAAAAUAUGAAGAAUGGAUUUAGAAUAUGUGAAAUAGACUUGACCACGUAAACAUAAAAGACUAACAUUUGAUUGUUGGGGGUUGUUCGAGUACUAGGGAGGGUGUUUGAUUGUCCUAUAGGUCAGGAUGUUUGAUUGUCCUAUAGGUCAACGGUUGAAUGCCUUUCAAAACGUUUGAACAUUUUAUAUCUUUUUUGAGUUCAUAACUUCAUUUUUUGUAUUUUCUUCAAAAUAUACGUCUUAUAAUUAUAUUAUUCAAAUUCUAAUUACUUCAAAUAUGCAUAUAAUUCAUAGAAGAAUCAAUUUUAAAGUAGCUUUAAAUUGAAUGAUACCAAUCAAAUAUUUGGAAGGAAAAUAUUUCAAACUCAAUGCAUAAAUAAAAUAAUUUUUUUAAUCUAAACUGAUAAAUCAACACAAGACUUUGAAGCACAUUGCACCUUUUAAUGUCCUGAUCAAUACGAAGGUUCACACACAGUAGAAAAAUAAAUAUCGAUAUGACUGGAGAAGAUGAGAGGCAUUGAAUUAAUGGAGAGGAAAGACUUCCGAUAAAUAGUGAAUAGUGAGGGCGCUCUAGUUGAAGAGGAGUCUCAAUCAGUACCAAAACUAAGAGAGUGAGAGGAAGGGUGAUAUCAAUGUCGACACGUGGGAGAAAAUUGACACGUGAAGGUGCUGGGUUGCAGGGCAUGUGUGGUCCCUGGCCAUCAUGCAAGUGUGGGUACUGGGUGUGCCCAAACACCUCACUACGUCCUCUCUUCCUUCCCCCCACCCCUUAACUCCUUCACGUGAUUCACUCAAUAAACCUCCCACAUAUUCCCCACCCUCACCCUCUGCUUUUAGGUCUUUUUCCUAACCACACUCCCACACUGUAUACAUAAUUUUUAAUCUUGCGUUGUACCCACCACCAGUUAAAGUGAAUAUAUGAAGAAUCUUCUUUUAUUUUCUUUAUUUUUAUUUAUUUAUUUUUUUGGGUUGUGAUGAAUGUAUGUCGUCGACAUGGCAAAUGGUUACAUUGAGAGGAUAACCAAAAUGCAAAGAUGAAACCUAAAAACUGUAAGUCAGCCAGCGAGCCAGCUGAAAAGGGAGGACAGGUGAGGGUCAGGCACAGUUUGCAGAGGUGGACAGACCCCUCAUGUGACCAUACUUUCACUCCCAUCAUUAUUACGCUCUUGGGUCCCGUUUGCUUAAUGCCCCCCUUUCAUUUUCUUCCAUACAUUUCAUUUCAUGCAUAGAACUAUCUCAGAGUGUAUGAAAGAAUCAUUUACUUUGAGAAAAAAAUAAAAAUUAAUACCAGAAAUGAUGAUUCAUCACCCUUUGUUAUGAAAUCGAGUCCAAGGGAAAGAAACGAGGGUAUACACUUAUGUAUAUUCAGUGUAUGGAGGCCAGGUGAGAGAAAAAAGGUGAAAGAGCGGGUGUGGUGGGCAAAAGUUGUUUUGCCUUAAAUGGGGUACCAUUUGAAAUGUGAUUGUUCUUCUAAUAGAAGGGUUGGGCAGGCGACACGGCAAUUAUUGCAAGGCUAAAAGGGUUAAAUUGAAUGGGACUUGGUCCAGUACCCACCAUUGCAAAGGCCGGGAAAUGGGGUGGACGGCUUCCUACUGUUUUUAGUAAAUGCUCACUUUACUUUGUAGCAUUGAAUUUGAAAUAGGCCAACUUGGGUGGCUAAGUAGUGGGCAGUUGGUCACAGGCAGCAAUCCAAAGCUGCAUUAGAGUGAUGCUGCGAAAUAAUUAGCUCUACCUCUCAAAGCAAUUCCUCAUUUAGCAUUUUGUAAUAGCCUUGCAUCAAAUGGUUGCUUCUGCAUUGGAAUUUGCUUUUUGGAUUCGGCUGGAAUGCCUAAUCUCCGCUUCAUUUUCAUUUUAAUAAGGGUCAUCUGAGAUCAUGGAUCCAUCCAAAGUUUGGCUUUUUUUUUUUUUUUUCAAAUGAGAAAUUAAUAAGAAUUGGUAUGGAUUAUAAUUGAAAUAGAGAAAGCUAGUAUGGGUAGUUCCUUUGACUGUGGAGAGGAGGAAGGGGAUGUUUAUGAAAUAAUUGAUUUCAUUGAAGGAAUAGACUAUGCAACCAAAAUCCAAUUACAAGUUUUAGAGGAGAUUAUUAUGAUUUAUAACUGUGUCUAGGAGGGGUUGCCAAGCCGAAGCCGCUAUGAGAGGGCGGCUGUGCCAGCCUAGCGUCAAACACCCGUCAUGCUCCUCAACACAGUACCCCUCAGCCGAGAACAGCGUCAGCAGCAUACUGGCUUGUUUGAACGCAUUGGAUCCCAGGUUCAACGGCCUGAACCCUGCUGCUCCAAGCCGAUUCCUCCACUUAGCCAACGGCUCGUGCCUUUCCACUCGAGCCGACCCUUCGCAACACAACACGUUGCAUAUCUCUUUCUGGAUGUAAAUCUCGGCUACGGCUUUCUCCGGCUGGAGAGAGCAAGCCUCUAGGGAAUCGAACAUUGUGGAGUAGUAGUACAGGGCCUCGGUGAACCGAUCCAAGAACUCUGAUUGGUUAUGAUUCGCUUCCUGUUCAACCACUGUCACGAUUUUCGGGUUCAAGCUUCGGAUCCACCCAAGCACCGUUUCUAUGGCAGACACCCGGGUCGGACCGGAUCCGAGAAGCCGGUGAAGCUGCAUGAUUGAGUUUAUAGCUACGGCUUCCUUUGGGCUCACCUGUAGCAUCCACGGCUUCACAUCUUCCAGCCGCGAAGCUGCCACACCACGAAAAGCGAAGCGGACGUUGACGGACCGGGCUAACUCAGCGAGCCGGAGACCGAUUUCUCGGAGCGAGUCGCGGCCGUCAGGCGAUGGGGGACCAAUGCCUGUCAAACGGAGUAAAGGAGGCCCACCGGGACGCAGGGCUAGGGCUUGAAUAAGAGCCGGCCAUUGUAAGCCGUGCAUUAGGUUGAAGUCAACGACGUGGACGCAAUCGUGGCCGUCGAAAGCUUCUAAGAUGGCUUGAUUAGCCGUGAAGUGAGCGAAUUUCAGGUACGGACAAGCCUCGUAGAAGUGAUGAUAUAAAAUCUCGUUCUCGUUAGACCAGCCAGUGGCGCAGGGGGCCUGCGGUGUGAAUACACGGCGGUUGAGUGCGUCAAUGAAGUAGCGAGCGACUUUCCCGAUGCCGCAGCCAGUGUUUACACGAGUCAGCAAAGCCUGCAUCUCUUCAAUUAGCGAUCCAGCCAAGGGUAGAUCGCCACGUUGGACUGACUCAGCACACGUCAUCAUCAUGUGCACCAAUCUGAUACCGGAAUCUUCUUCCAUCGCUGUAACCACCGUCAACUGAUGAGUGAGUUCUUGCUGCUGCUGCUGAGGUGUAUGAUGUUCCACCCACGAAUUGUUGCAAACCGUCUGAUUUAUGGCGGGGCUCACCACGCUGUCAAUAUAAGUGAGAUCAGAAAAAUCCGAUAGAUCAGAAGGUAUUGACACGGGCGGAUUGAACUCGAAGAGCAUCGAGUCCACCCAGGAGGCGAUAUCGGAGGGGUUGCAGUGAAGAACAUCGGAGGCCAGCUGUGAGAUCUCCGACGGAGCGUUGACCAUCACCGUCUCCAGUCGCUCCAGACGCUGGGCGACUUGAUGGAGCUCCGUAGAGCGGACCUUGUAGCCGGCGCCGGCGAGAAGUCCAUCGAUGUCAGACGGUUUGGCGGCAGAAGAGGGGGAGCUGGUGGUGCUGCCGGUAGAGAUGGCAGAGUCGUAAGGCCCCAUAUGGGAGUGAUGCUGCGUGGGGGGAUGGGUUUUCCAAUUCAAAUCAGAUAGCAAGUAUUUGCUUUAUGGAUUGUGGGAAUCAUACCUGAUUCUAGAGAGAGAGAGAGAAAGAGUGAGUAGACUUGGGGAGUGAGAAGUGAUAGGCGAAGGAGAGGGGAAAAUGGGUUCCUUCCGUAGAGAGAAAGAGAGAGGGAGUGUGUGAUUGGUAAAGGGGAAAGCCAAUAUUGAUUUUGAGAAUGAGAGAGAAAGGACGUAGGGCCCUGAGAUGACAUGGAUCAUGUAUGACUCAUGAGUCAUGACCAUCAAACUCUACCCAUCCAUCGUCAAAAACUUGUUUUGCAAUCACAUCCCUACUUUUUCCCCUUAUUUCUUUCUCAUCCCUCUCUAACUUUUCUCAUCCAUUCUUUUCUGGCAGAAUCUCAUGAAAAACCAUGUACCCAAAUUUUACAAGAAUGGGACUGCACACCUUCCUCCACACUUAACAUCAAUUCAAUAGCAAGACUUCUCCUAGGCAUGUAGGGUGUUUAAUUGAAUUCAUGGAAUGCCACACCUUACAUCUUAUGAUCUCAACUACUCCUUACCAACCAAUUGAUCUCUUCCAUCUAAUUCUGGUGAAUUUACCCAAGAUUAGUUAUUUUUAUUUUUACUCUUUCAAAUCAAAUGAGGAGGAUUUUCGUAAGUUGGAGAGCUAACUGAAAAUAGGAAAAGUGAAAGGGGGUUAUACCAAAUAUGAAAAUGGGGCAUGAAUGUAAAUGGAUUUUAAAUCUUAAACCGAAAACGACGUUUAACAACAUUGAAUGACUCAAAUUGAUUUAAGAUUAAAAAUGAUUGAAAUGAAUUGAUUUGUUUAAUAAAUCAACUUGUUAUUUUCUCUUUCACAGUAGUGCCUAUCUUACUUGUUCGCCAAGGGCUCGUUUGGAUAUCCCAUCCAUAAACAAAAUUCGGGAAAUGGGCAUUGAAGGCCAUCCGAUCUUGACGGAGGGGUUGUGAUCUGUGAGAAAAAGACCCAUUGAUUUGGAGGGCCCACUCGGAGGGAUUCAUCUCCAUCGCCAACUUGGUGAUGCAGAUGCCGUACGAUUUAUGAAACCUAACCAGCGCAAACUGAAUGCACAUUGUGACUUGUAAGUUCCUUGAUGGGGAGUGGUUCCAUGGAAAGGGCGAAUAUUCGGCACAGAGACAUGUGUCGGUCGGUUACAGCAACACGUGUUUGUGAAUUGAAUAUUGGGGUUCGACAUCAGAUGAAGCAACCUUAGAUUAAAGUAUAUGUGUUUAGCAUCAUUGAGACAGUGAAGGGUUUUCUUUUUUUAUGAUGAUAUUUGCAAGUUGGGUUGAUUAAAUUAAUGGGGCACCAUGUCUCUCACCACUUCCCAUAUACCCAAGACUCAAGGGCAAUGCAAGGAAGACUCAGAACGCAUCCAUUUAAUAGUCCAAUGAGUCAAUUUUCAGACACAAAUCUAAUGGUCUUAUUCACUAUUGUCUCCCCAUCUCGGUAUAUAAAUAUGAGGUUUCUUUGUCAGUGGGUGAGCUCAUUAAUUCAAGUGCACCUAUCAUGACAGUGCCUGCAUUCUAAGGAAUUAAAGCUCGAUCACAGGCCUGCAUUUUCUGUUAAAAUAAGACUACGUCUGUUAUUUGGGGCAUUAGCAUAAGAAAGGUACAAUGAAUGAAGAUUAAGAGUGGAAUGAGAUAGAUGAUUUAUGUAAUCAAGGCUCAUCCCAUGAUUGAGGAAGCCAAAGAAGUUAAAAGUAAGGGCAAUUAUUGAGGUAGAGGUAGGGGCCAGUGGAGUGGCAAAGGUAAUUUAUGGAGAAUGGGAUGGGAGUGAGGGAGGGACCAUGGAGAAAUUGAAGAUGAGAAUGAAAGGCCAGGAGGGGGAAAAUUUUACCAGGAUGGAAGAAAAAUAGAUCGAUGUGUUUCCUAAAACGGACGGUGUGGAAGGUGGUCCAGUGGGAUGAUGAUACAGGAUAUGGGACCAUCACAGAGCCCAAAAAGCUCGAAUUCAAUGGUGAACGGUGAGAUAUGUGUUCCUAUGGAGAGGACCCUAGGGGGGCGAUGUGGGAAUCAAAUGCCUAAUAUAAAUUUGUGGGGGGAGUGGAGGGAGUUGGGACCAGCAUUCCCUAAGAGAACAUGUUGUGUUUGGGACAGACACCUCUAUUGUGUGUCCAUUCCGUUCUUUUAGCUGACACCAUCACGUUAUUGCACCUGUGAGAAAAGAGCGAGAUAGGCCUUGUCUCUGUCAGUUUAGUUUUACAAGAUACUAUUUACUAAAUAUGUGGAGAUUUCAUGCUUAUAAUAUCUCCAGACGAGGAUCCGUGAAAGACCUUACAGGACAUUGGUUCAAAGGUCUGCGACGUUUCGGGUUUUACGUGCUUUUUUUGGGCUUUGCGUAUCUUCUUAUCACCUUUUUUUUAUUUUGUUUGUUCAUCUCUAGCCUUAAUAAGAUAAAUGUAUUCAAAAGCACAGCUAAUGUCCUCCUGUAAUGGAGCUACCACCCUGCCUUGCUUGUCUCUCAAGUAUUGGGCCGUCGAGAUCAUACUCGGAGGCCACAGCUAAUCUCUCAUCAUUAAGUAGGACAGAUAACAUCACUCAUUAGAUGGAUUCUUAAUCAUCACAAAAUACAAAUCGAGAUGACAGAAAAUAUUAUUACUCUUACCAUAAUAAACAAAAUUCAGUGAAAUACCAUAUCACCUUUUAUAACACUUGAGUUAGAAGCGUCCACGUUUUAUGAAUUUGAACAAGGCACCUUCCUCACGUUUUCCUCCCUUAGUUAUGGGCCUAUGCAUUGUGGAAUAAAACCACCCUCAUGUCCCCUGUGUAAGCCCAUAUUCCUAAUGUGUUGGGCUAAAGUCAAACCCAUACGACCUUUUCAGCCCACACUUUUAAGGGAGAAUGAAACAUUCAGAGUCAAGUUGUAGAGAUGCCAAUUAAUCAGAGUCAGACCAAGGUGAGCCCAGAGGAGAAGGUGAUUCCGGCCAUGUUCAAACCCUUCAUAUCGAAAUCAGGGAGGGGGAGCAACGUCCAAUCAUCCCUUCCUAUAUCAUAAGAUAGCCAAAUUAUGUGCCAUAAGCCUCGGUAAUUAGACAUCAGUAGGGCCCUGAUUGUCCCGUUCCUUUCCUCUACACACCCCAUUAUCACUCCAUACGCUCUCUUUAUUUGCUCCAUUGUAGCCCCUGGGAGCUUUGAAAUACGCUCCCACCGUCUUCCAUUCGGGCUCAACCCCCACAUUUCUAUCUCCUUCAACACCCUCUCCUUUGUAUUACCAUCAUCCACGUCAUCUGAUCUGACAAUCAUCAUGUAUCCAUCACCGUACACUUGUAACCGAUUGAUCCCAUUCCCCCAACUAAAUCCAACGGCCACUUGCCGCUGCUCAAUUGCUCCUCCACUAAACCUUGGCCUUAGAACCACUGGUGUGUUGUUGCCUUGGGAUCCGAUGGCUAGCACCACGCUUUCAUUCGUUCCAUUAACCACGCUUAAGAAAAUCAAGGGACCCGCUCCUUCAAAGACACGCGGCAAAUCCCCAUGGUUUUCUUCUGCUUCCAUGCUUUGCCACUUGUCAUCAUCCGAGUUGUAUUCGAACAUGAUCGGACGGUUCUCCACCAACUCAGCAAAUAAAAACCGGAAAGAGUCCGAACCAGGCGGCCCAGCCACUAAUUUCAUGCCGGACCGCCGCCACGAAGAAGUACCACGUGGGCCCAAUGGGCUUGGAGGGAUUUUCUUAACGGUCCUUUUCAUAAGGUUUACCGAAAGGAGUUCCUUGCGAGUGUUGGACACAAACAAGAAAAAAUUCCCCGAUGCAGCCAGAAAAUAGAGAUCUUCAGUUGCAUGAAUCACCGGCAUCAAUAAUCCGGCAAUCGGAAUCUUGAACCAGUGAUCAGACUGAUCGGUGAAGCCGUGAAGAACCGAGUCACGACGCCAUCCCUUGCUGUAAAUGAAAAGCCAAUUGGCGGAUAAGAACUGAGUGUUGCAGUCACGAACAAAGUCUUUGUCAGAUACAAUGGAGGCAAUGGACUUGUUGAUUGAUCUAAGACGGACGAUAUCCGGCAGAGCGAGGCGGAGGAAAAUGCUCUGAAGAAGCUCUGAUGGAAGGCAGGAGAAGCCGACAGUGGGCCGGUGAUUGUCCAUGUCACAGCAGAGUUGGAUUGUAGAACAAUCAAGUUUGUCCCACUUAUAUAGUUGCAGUUCAGUUGGCGGUUUGUGAAGUAUUUGGAUAAAUAAUGGAUUGUGAUUACAGUUUUUUUAAAAACAAUGAUAGACAAGACAAAUACAUGUACUCAGAAAAUAAAUGUUCCGACGAAGCAUCCAAUGUGGAUGGGUCGUCAUGGUCGGGAGAAAUGGACAACGGAGAAGGUAUGUGAGUGGAUUUCGAUGGAGGGUUGACAUAUUUGAUUGAUUCCUAGUGCAUAUAAAAUGCAGAAAUAUCAGAAAUGGAUGAAUACACAGACAGCGUUACAAAUAAUUAAGUUAAAGCAGGCGAGAAGUUGUAUAUAAAAGUUAACAUUAUGUUAGUUGUGUGGUGAGGGCAAGGGGCAUGCGCGACUACGCGACUAGGUCAAGCUGAUGAUGAUUCCGGGAGGGCUGGGUCAUGGCAUUGGCUACGUAAUGUAGUGGUUUGAUGUAUUUUCAAUUCUGUCAUUUCAGAGUCGGUCAGGGGUAGAGCAAAAUGAAAAUCGCUGUUAAACUAAGCUCUCUUAUUAUUGAUGUUAUGAUAAGAUGAGGUGUUGAUCAAUUAUUUUGCUUUGAAUAAGAGACGCCUCCUUUCACCUCAACCACCUUCACUCACAAAAAUAAAAAUAUGAAGGCACCUAAGAAUCAUUUUCUCGCUAAUCUUUUGUCAUCCUUUCUUCUUUUCUAAAAUGAGAUCAUUAAUACCAUGGUUUUUAUUAAAUAUAAAAUAAUUUCUUAAGUUAAAAAAUAAUUUUUAUUGCAAAUAUUUUUUAAAAAAAUAAUAUUUUCUUAUUUCCAUAUGAAGAAAUUUUCAAGUUAAAAGUUUCAGAAAGCUGAGACUCACAGUAUAAUGAUAAGAUAUUUAGUCACCGGCACUCUGCGUCGCCAAAAAAUGAAGAGGCUCGACCCCCUGAGAAAUUUCUAGAUUUAAAUUUUAGUGCAUUCAUUCUUUGUUCCAUAUCCAUUCAUUCGUCCUAAAAUUUCAAAGAAUUUGAUCGAAGCAAAGCAAACUGUUGACAUUUAAAAGCUAUUGUGAGGGGAAAACCAGGAACAAGGCGGAGAUGGCUACUCCUUUAUCCCUCCACCACCCUAGACCACCCUUACCCACGGAAUAUCCUCUUCCUUUGAGGAACGCUGCAACCACCGCUAACAACAACAAUAUUAACAGCCAAAUUCAACUACACCCAUGUCUGCUAUCACUGGAAAAAUGCACCACCAUGUCCCAGCUCAAGCAAAUCCAUGCCCAAAUGCUCAGGACUUGCCUCUUCGUUGACCCCUUCUCUGCCAGUAAAAUCGUCGCCUUUUGUGCCCUCCACGACUCUGGAAGCCUCCCUUACGCCCGUCUCGUCUUCAACCAAAUCCCCAAUCCCACCACCUUCACCUGUAACUCCAUAAUCCGGGGUUACACCAACAAGAAUUUGCCCCGCCAAGCUAUUCUUUUCUAUCAACUAAUGAUGCUCCAGGGGUUGGACCCCGACAGGUUCACAUUCCCUUCUUUGUUUAAAUCAUGUGGGGUUUUGUGUGAAGGAAAACAGCUGCAUUGUCACUCUACAAAAUUGGGGUUCGCGUCUGACGCUUAUAUUCAAAACACAUUGAUGAACAUGUACUCGAAUUGUGGAUGUUUGGUUUCAGCCCGAAAAGUGUUUGAUAAAAUGGUUAACAAAAGUGUGGUUUCUUGGGCAACCAUGAUUGGGGCUUAUGCGCAAUGGGAUCUGCCCCAUGAAGCCAUCAAGCUGUUCAGGAGAAUGGAAAUUGCGAGUGUGAAGCCGAAUGAGAUUACUUUGGUGAAUGUGUUAACAGCAUGUGCGAGAUCAAGAGAUUUGGAAACGGCCAAGCAGGUGCACAAGUAUAUUGAUGAGACUGGAAUCGGGUUCCACACGGUCCUAACCUCUGCUCUCAUGGAUGUUUAUUGCAAGUGCGGCUGCUACCCACUUGCCCGGGAUUUAUUCAAUAAGAUGCCUGAAAAGAACUUGUUUUGUUGGAACAUCAUGAUUAAUGGACAUGUUGAGGAUAGUGAUUAUGAGGAGGCUUUGUCACUCUUCAAUGAGAUGCAACUCAGCGGUGUUAAAGGGGAUAAGGUGACUAUGGCAAGCUUAUUGAUCGCUUGCACUCAUCUGGGUGCUCUUGAGCUUGGCAAGUGGUUGCAUGUUUAUAUUGAGAAGGAGAAAAUUGAGGUGGAUGUUGCCUUGGGAACGGCACUUGUGGACAUGUAUGCAAAAUGUGGAAGUAUAGAAAGUGCAAUGAGAGUCUUCCAAGAGAUGCCUGAAAAAGAUGUUAUGACUUGGACAGCCUUGAUUGUUGGUCUUGCGAUGUGCGGACAAGGGUUGAAAGCUUUGGAACUUUUCCAUGAGAUGCAGAUGAGUGAGGUGAAACCAGAUGCAAUCACCUUCGUUGGGGUUUUGGCUGCUUGCAGUCAUGCAGGAUUGGUGAAUGAAGGAAUUGCAUAUUUUAAUUCCAUGCCUAAUAAAUAUGGCAUUCAGCCUAGCAUUGAGCAUUAUGGUUGUAUGGUUGACAUGCUAGGGCGGGCUGGUCGAAUAGCUGAAGCAGAGGAUUUGAUACAGAACAUGCCAAUGGCGCCAGAUUAUUUUGUUUUGGUAGGCCUUCUUAGCGCCUGCAGAAUUCAUGGCAAUCUCGUGGUGGCAGAAAGAGCAGCCCAACAACUUAUAGAGCUAGACCCAAAAAAUGGAGGAACCUAUGUGCUUUUAUCAAACAUAUACAGCUCAAUGAAGAACUGGGAAGCAGCUAAAAAAAUGAGGGAACUCAUGGUAGAAAGAAACAUUAAGAAGCCCCCAGGAUGCAGUGCGAUAGAGGUUGGUGGUGUUGUGCAUGAGUUCGUCAAGGGUGAUGUCUCGCAUCCACAAUCCUCAGAAAUUUAUGAAACCUUGGAUGAUAUGAUGCGCAGGUUAAAGUCAGCUGGUUAUGUUCCUGAUAAAUCAGAAGUGUUGUUUGACAUGGAUGAAAAGGAAAAGGAGAAUGAGCUUAGCCUCCAUAGUGAGAAGCUAGCAAUUGCAUUCGGGCUCUUAAGUACAACACCUGGAACACCAAUCCGAGUUGUGAAAAACCUUCGUGUGUGUAGUGAUUGCCACUCUGCAAUGAAGUUCAUCUCCGAAGUGUACAAUAGGGAGAUUAUUGUACGAGAUAGGAACCGGUUUCAUCAUUUCACGAAGGGAUCUUGUUCAUGCAGGGACUUCUGGUGAUGUAAGCACCACACCCUGUACAGUGAAAAGUUUUUUGAGUUUUUGCCCAUAUUGUAAUGCGAGCUUUCAGAAUAUUUGUGCAUGCGUAUCGAAUUAUCCUGAUUCAAGUUUCUUUACUUGAUUCAAAUUCGCUUUCUAUAUAACUCCACCAAUGUCUUAAAAAUAUUGGGAAAAACUGACCAAGGAGCAAAAGACAAGAUCCAAGGUGCUGAUUUUGCAGAUGUAUUAUGGAGGCUGUUUAGAAUGUUAGCCAUUUCAUUUGUAUGAUUGGCCUCAUCUUCAAUUCCUUUAUCUACUUCAGCCCUCUACCGAGCCUCGUCUAAAAGUUCCUUGCAAAAGCAGCCGCUGAAGUUUUGGGUUUCCAAGAAUAAGGACUCCCACCACAAGGCUUCAUAUUAUUGUCCUGAAAUUAGCCAUCAAGCAGCAAACUAUACUGCCCAUUUUGGCCCACCACCACACCAGGCUUAAUCUCAGAAAGCAGAGGAAUUCACUAGACAGCCCGUUCAUAAAUGCCAUACUUUUUUGUUCGAAAUUUCUACUUCAUUUUACAUCUGGCCAUAAAAAUAAAAAUAAAAAAAAAAAAAAAAAAAAAAAAAAAAAGAGAUUGACUCAGCACACAGCAUUGUCUAAUUGAAAAUUUUGCUGUUUUCUCUUCCAUCCUCACAGACUAAGCAAAUGAGUCCAAAAACUCAGCCAGCAUCAAGAGUUGCUGCAGUUAAAACUUUGCACACUUUGAUGUACCUGACAUUUUGAGAGGCAUGGAUUCAAAGAAAGUUAAAACAGAAUAUGCUUGAUAAAUUGAAGCCUUCCAUAAUAGUUAAAAGGGUCAUCCAACAUCAAAUGAAAAUCAAAUCCUUUCUGCAUGGGGCCAUGUGAAUCCAUCCACAUUAUGGUGUCACUGCAACAAAAUGAUAGUUUCACGACAGAUAAAUGCUACCUAUACAUAAUUUAAUAAGACUUGGUUUAAGUACAUUGUGAUCAUGAAGGGAACUAGUAGACAAAAAUCAUAAAGAUUUAAGAAUGACAAUAAAGCAGGGGAAAUGUAUUUGGGUGGAAAGCAAAAUCAUAUACAUGGAGUUAUAUUUUACAUUGGAUGGAAAUAAUUUAUGACAGAUAUCAAGAAAUCUGCAAAGAUAAGUUGCUAAACAGAGAUAGCAUUCUGAGUAUAUGGGUGCUAUCAUUUCAACUAAGGCACUAAUGACAUGAAGAGAAUAGAAGUUAAGGAUUCUAUGGUGUCCUAACAAGUAGUUUAUCAAAUCAUAAUGAGGAAAAAUUGUCAAAGCACAUUGCGCCACUAAUGAAGCAGGAGAUACACUCAAUUUCAGAACUCAACUAUGUAUAGAUUCAUCCAAGGAAAGAAAACAACAUGAAUAGAUAUAUUUUAUUAUCAGUAUUGGAAUUCAGAAUUUAUUAAGCACAUUACACUAUCAAAUACUGUCCCAUAGUCUUAAUCCUAGAUUCUGGCCACCUGUGAUCAUAUUCCUCAAUUUUAGUGAAGCUGUAGCCAAGCAUACAAACUGAAAAGAACAACCACAACUACUACUUUAAAGCAAUGUGAAACAACACCAGUGAAUAGGUAAAAAAGAACCAAAGCCCAACCAAACCAACUCAUAGAAUCAAUACUCUCCAAAAGACAAUAUCUGAGGAAGAUCUAAUACAGGGAUGAAAUUUUCUAAAAUUGCUAAUGCUAGAAAUAAAACUUCAUACAAAUAAACUUGCCUCUUCAUUAAUGACAAUAUAGAUACGAAAUAAAUUUCAUACUGCAGCAAGUUUACCCGAUAUUCCUUUUGCUUGAUUCUCAUCAUCAAAAUCACCAUCAUUCUCACCGUCAGUUUGUUUAGACACAGCGGGAUCACGCUGUGAAGGAGCACUGCCAGCUCCAGUAACUGACUGCUGAUAAAGAACACCCCCCACAAUUGUGAGGAGGAGGCAAACCAACCCAAAUGGACUAGCAUGCUUAUCCCAAAUCAACACAUUGAUAGCAACUGUAAGAAACUUAUUAACCACACCAGUCACUGUAAAUGCUGUGGCAGAGAUUGCCUUCCUAGCUGCAAACCCGAAGAAGCUUAUAAGCAAUCCAAACACACAAGACAAUGAAACUGCAAAAAGUGCACUGGAAUCCAUCCAGUUCCCAGAAGCCGAUCUCAUAGCAGCAAACACAUCAGCAUACUCUCCCGUAAGAACCCAGAACACCGGUGCCAUCAUCAAAGACAGCAAAUUGUUGUAAAACACAAAACCCCAAGUGUUCAAACCAAGAUUUGUGACCAUAUGCUUGAUAUAGACCAUCUCCGAUGUAAUUGUCACCAAAUAUGCAAAUGCCCAUGAAUACGCGGUUAAAGUAAAACCUGAAUCCGUGGCUACAUACCCAACAGCACCACCCAAAAUGAUCAAUAGCGACAUGAAAGUUAACUUUGACGGACAUGGCUGUUUCCUAAAUGUCGUAUCUGCUAUAGCAACCAGAAGGGGCGUCAAAGACCGAAAUACAAUAAAAGUAUCAACAUUGGCAUGGCGAAGCAAAUUUGUGUUCGUAAAGAUCGCAAGGUAGAAAACAAUUGCAGCCGGUAAGAAUUUCUUUGCGAUCUCCAAUGUGAACGGAUCAUGAUGCAAAAACCCCAAUUUUCCCAAAACCCAAACACCUAACGCUGAAGUCAGAUACUGUAAUGCAGUCAGAAGGCCAGGAUAGUUGAAUUGAGUAAUGGCAAUCUUGUUUAUCACAGCAAGCAAGCUUGAACACAGCGCGUAACCCACUACGAGACUGCUCGUGGCAUAGUACUGCUUCGACGAAUCAAAUCUAGUCGAAGACAUCGUUUUCUAGGUUUUUUUUUUUUCUGUUUUGUUUUUUUUUUUUUCAAAUUCAAUGCUAAAUUGAGUGGACACUCACCAAUUCAAAGAACCAUAUGGAGAGCAUUGACAAAUGCAGCGAAAUAGAAAGGAAACGAAGCAUCAAAACCAGUCAUUGCAAAAACUAAAACGUGGGUCCUCAAGAUUCUGUUGAUCCACUUAAUUUGGCUAGAUUUAGCAGAAAUGGAAACAAAUUACUGAUACAAUAGAAAUUAUAGCGACGGAUUCAAAACCCUAGAAGAAAUGGAUAGACCGAUCAAUGGGAUGCAGAGAAGUUUGGGAUCUUAAAGAAAGUACAAAGAGAUUGGGAUUGGAAGAGACCUCUGGCAGAGUGAGAGAUGAAAACAGCUUCACAGGUGAAAUGGGCUUGGAUUAUGAGAGUCAGAGACGAUAUGCAUUUUGGAAUGGACGCUGUGGAUUUGAAGCGUGAGGAAGACGAUUUUCCCAGCGAGAUCUGCGUGGCCAAAAGUCCACAAGGUUGUCGGUUUGAAGAUGGGUGGUUCAGAACGACGUCGUUUCAUGGGGACACAGGGACCCUGACACGCAAAUAAUUCAAGUGGGUCCAGUAAUUCGACGGAAGAGUUUUGUUGGGACACUGCUUCGAUAGCAGUUGGGGUGAUGGACGGUUCUGAUCAUUUGGUCUAGAAGGCGACCAAGUCCUGAAUAGCAGCGGAAAAUUCAAAAUUCCUGUAUAAUAUAAUAAUACUUUGACCACCCCUUCAUGAUAAGCUAAUAUCUUUUAUUAAAAUAAUCCAUAUAUGUCCUUAUAUUUCAUGAUAUUAGGAAUUUAGGAUUCCAUAAAAAUUCUAUUAAUUAGAAUUAAGUAUAAAUUAAAUUAAAUUUAAAAUUUAAUCAAAAUUCUAAAUAAAUAUUAAAAUUAGAAUUUUAUUCUUUAUUUUUAAAAGUCAAAGUCAACUUGAGUAAUUUAAAAAUAAUUUGAAUUCUAUAUACUUAAAUCAUUUCCCAAAGCUCUUUUUUGAAGUGAAAAUGACACGUACCCAUCCUCUAGAAUACGUGUAGAGAGCAAGUCCCUCACGUUGUUGGAAAUUGGAAUCACGGGUGUUUGUUUUUUUUUUUUUUUUUGUUAAAAAUAAUUUUAAUUUUAGACUUUAAAUUAUUUACUUUUCUAAUUUUUUUUCAUAACUUAAUAUAAAUUUGACAUAUAUAUCAUAAUCGAUGACUGAGAGGGGUCAAAAGCCUUGAGGAUUUGUCUACCCACAUGCUCUCCCAAACUAAAUUUCAGUUAUUCAAGUUCACUUCCCUCCAUUUCCUCUCAAAGCCACUCCACUUAUCUACCUCCUCACACUUCACCAAGAAAUCAUGCAUAUUCCUUCUCAAGAACUGCAAAUCCAUGCAACACCUCAAACAAAUCCAAACCCAGAUCCUCCGAACUGGAUUCCACCAAAGCGGCGACACCCUCAACAAGUUCAUGGUCUGCUGCACAGACCCAUCGAUUGGAAAUUUGCACUACGCGGAGAGAAUCUUCAAUUACAUUGAUAUCCCAGGUUUGUUCAUAUACAAUCUCGUGAUCAAAGCAUUUACGAAGAAUGGUAGUUUCAGGAAAGCUGUUUUGCUCUUUAGACAAUUGAGAGAGGAGGGGUUGUCUCCUGAUAAUUUUACGUACCCGUUUGUUUUUAAGGCUAUUGGAUGUUUAGGGGAGGUUCGGGAGGGUGAAAAGGUUUAUGGGUUUGUGGUGAAGAGUGGACUUGAGUUUGAUACUUACGUUUGUAACUCACUCAUGGACAUGUAUGCUGAAGUGGGUAGGGUUCAGAAUUUGAGGCAGGUGUUUGAGGAAAUGCCUCAGAGAGAUGUGGUUUCUUGGAAUGUUUUGAUUUCUGGGUAUGUGAAGUGUAGGAGAUAUGAGGAUGCGGUUGAUGUUUUUCGGCGUAUGCAACAGCAGAGUAGUUUGAGGCCUAAUGAAGCUACUGUUGUGAGCACUCUUUCAGCUUGUAUAGCGUUGAAAAUGUUGGAACUUGGGAAGGAAAUUCAUCGUUAUGUUAGAGAGCAACUUGGAUUCACUAUUAAAAUAGGGAAUGCAUUGGUAGACAUGUACUGUAAGUGUGGGCAUUUGAGUAUUGCCCGAGAAAUUUUCAAUGACAUGCCAAUCAAAACUGUGAUUUGUUGGACUAGUAUGGUGUCUGGAUAUGUAAAUUGUGGUCAGCUUGAUGAAGCCAGAGAACUCUUCGAGAGAAGUCCAGUCAGAGAUGUUGUUCUUUGGACGGCUAUGAUUAAUGGGUAUGUGCAGUUUAACCGUUUUGAUGAUGCAGUAGCCCUCUUUCGAGAGAUGCAAAUCAAAAGGGUCAGUCCUGAUCGGUUCACAUUGGUUGCUCUUCUCACUGGUUGUGCUCAGUUGGGAACUCUGGAGCAAGGGAAAUGGAUCCAUGGAUACAUAGAUGAAAAUAAAAUUAUGAUAGAUGCAGUUGUUGGUACAGCUCUCAUUGAAAUGUAUGCAAAAUGUGGGUUCAUAGAGAAAUCACUGGAGAUUUUCAAUGGUUUAAAAGAAAAGGAUACAGCUUCAUGGACCUCAAUCAUUUGUGGGCUGGCUAUGAAUGGCAAGACAAGCAAAGCACUUGAGUUAUUCGCAGAAAUGGUACAAACUGGUGUUAAACCUGAUGAUAUCACCUUCAUUGGUGUUUUAAGUGCUUGUAGUCAUGGAGGAUUGGUGGAGGAAGGUCGGAAACAUUUUAGAUCCAUGACCGCAGUUUAUCAAAUUGAGCCUAAGUUAGAACACUAUGGGUGUCUGAUUGACCUCCUUGGUCGUGCUGGGCAGUUAGAUGAAGCAGAGGAGUUGAUAGAGAAGAGUCCAAAUGUAAACAAUGAGGUUAUAGUUCCACUUUAUGGUGCUUUGCUUAGCGCUUGCAGAACCCACGGCAACGUUGAGAUGGGUGAAAGAGUGGCUAAACGGCUUGUGGGUAUUGAAUCAGGUGAUUCCAGUGUUCAUACGCUUCUUGCCAAUAUCUAUGCUUCUGCAGACAGGUGGGAAGAUGUAACGAAAGUGAGAAGAAAGAUGAAAGAUUUGGGCGUAAAGAAGGUACCUGGGUGUAGUUCAGUUGAGGUUAAUGGCAUUGUCCAUGAAUUUCUGGUUGGAGAUGCAUCUCACCCAGAAAUGAGGGAGAUUUAUUCUAUGCUGGAUAGUAUAGCUAAGCCGUUGUUGGGUUUAGAUGAAAAUGAAAUGGAGGGAGAAAUCCCAGUUCCUGUACUUUUGUGAUGAAUGGAGCUUUUUUUUGCGAAUUUUUCCAGCUCAAAUCGGAAGAUGUGGAAGAUCUGCAAUUUUUCUCGACAUCACACAUUGCUUUUGCUAUUGAAUAAGUAGGUAGAAAACAAAGAGUUUCUCAGCAGUGGAUCCAGCUAUCUAAGAAAAUUUUCUUGCAACGAGGAGAGGCCGUAAAAGGAUUUUUGCUUGAUUUUGUGGCGUUUAGGGUGCUUGUUUGAAGAUGUUGAAGAUUUUGAGAAGAGUAAGACAUUCUUCAGCUAGUUCCAACGCCUCAGCCUGAUUUUUGGAACAUUCCAAAGGUUUGGGCGCUACUUUGUGACCAACCCACACAAUCUGUAGAAGUGGCUCACAGAAAUGGAACAAAAUAUUUUGAUUCCAAUGCUGAAGCUUCAAGGAAUUGUUUGUGCAUAAAAAGAUAAGGUUAUGAUCAUCUGCAGAUAAAACCAUGAAUGAAGCUAGCAGGCUGGAGGUAUAUAUUGAAGAGGACCCUGAGACGCAGCAUGGAAGAGUCACAAUAUUAACCAGGGUAGAAUUACCAAAGACGAGGGGUGGCUGAUACUCCUGGCUGUCUGCAUUUGAUGUGAGGUCCAAGAAUGAGGAAGGGUAGAAUUACUCAAGGCAUUUGAGCUGUGGCUAAAACACUCUUUAAGGCACUCGGCCUUUGCAUUUUGUAUUUAUGAUCAUAUCUUGGUAACAUAUAUAAAAAAUCACUGAAUGCCCUUAAGUGGGAUUUUUUGGGUCCCAUUAGGCAUUAUAACAUAUACUAAUCGUCAAACUGCUCCUUGGCUAUACCUCAUACUUUACUCAUAAAAGGAAUACUACCAGCAGGCAAACAUUCUCCUCCAAGAAAACAUACACUACGAGAACUAUUAAUAUGAUAACAACAUUAUUCUAAAAUAUAAGCAGUAAAGCUAUUGUUUAUUUACUCCACUACCGAAUUGAAAAAACAAAGCUCUAAGCAUUAUGUCACUGGUCACAUAAGGAUUGCAACCUUAUCUCGUUACCAAUGUAACAUAUCUUCUAAAAUGACUCUAGAAAACUAGACCCACCAUUAUAAUGUGAUUUCCAUGCAUCAGCAUCCAGGCUCAAUAAUACAUGGCGUUGGAUCCUGUGAUGGUCACCUACAAAAUUUGGGGUAAAAGCACACCAUUCCUAGGGUUUAAUUUGGAGAAGCCUUUGAAGUCAUAACCACCAUCAUCUUAUCAACACUUUCCAUGGAUGCGGCCGGGGCGUAGUCAUAAUCCCCAUCGUCAUCAUCUCCAUCUCCUUCUGUACGCGCAGCUGGGGCGUAAUCGUAUCCAUCAUCGCCAUCAUCAUCUCCAUCUGUAUGCGUCUUCCACCAUGAGCCAAUGACCUUUUUGGAAAUGGGAAACAUUUUCUAUAUGGAGUUCUGGAACAAAGAAAGAAGAAGAGCAGAAUUGGAGGUGGGUUUCCUUUGACAGGGCUAGGACUUUGUGGAGGUUGGGGUAUUUGGGUUGAAUUAGAAAGGAAUUCGAAGACGGUGAUUAUAUAGAAGGUAGAGAAGGCGCUGGCGUAAGGUAUACACGUGGGGAUCUGUGGAGUGAUGCAUGAAGGUUGUGCAUGGCCCAAUGCCACUGAAACGUGGUGCCACAUGAUUCCGCCACCUAGGAUACCAAAUGAUAAGUCAGCAGACAUGUAGGAAAAACCGCAAGUGACAACACCACCUUGGGUCAAUGGAAAAUGAGAGGCUUUUUGCCAGGUGGAGAGACAGCUAAAUCUGGAAAGCUAGUGAAUGCCUUUUGAAGUGGGUUCUACUUCUCCAUAGGCCAUAGACCAUUCCGCUAAAUUUCAGCCCAGGAAUCUCUAAAUAGUACUCAUUCAUGUGAGUGAUGAUAUGACAGGGCAUAAGUGGUUCCAACAAAGGGCGCCCUUGUGGAGCCCAACUUUCCAAGUUAUGGUCACUUUCGUUUUUUUCCUUCAAUGUGGUAUCUGGACUUCUGGGGUUGCUCAUGAGGCAACCAGCAGGAGACGCUUGGCGAAAGGUCAACUUGGUGUUAAGUCUGGCUUAAAAGCUGGCUUCUGAAACUAACUACUGUAAUUGGCUUAGUUAGCCCUGUUAAUUACACCUAAGUACUGACCAAAAAUUUGAAGAAAUAUAACAGUAGAAUACAUACAUUUGUAUUAGUAUAUAUUGUGAAAACCCAAGAAAAUAAGAGUAGGACCUACCAUUAUAUUUCUCGGUUUACCUAAUACAUGUUGCUGAUCGUGAUGGGUAAAAUUGCAACUGACUGAAAAUGGGGACUAGUAACAUGACUUAAUUUAUAUUCAAUUGUGGAGAAACUUUUUCUAAUUCUAGCUAUAGCCCAAUAUUAAUCGGAAAUCCUUACUUAGAUCUAAGACAACCUUACUUGUCAUAGAGCUAUACAACUUGCAAAUUUAUUCAGUGAUCGUAUAGGUUAGAAAUGAAGAUGAAACAAAAAGAAAGAGGAAAGAAUUAAGAAGAAGUUGAAGAAGAUAAUGCUCAAGAUGAGAUAAUUGCAUGAUCAACAAUGACCCAAAAAGUUCAACUUGUUUUCAAUCUUAUAAAUUUACAAGAAUAAAGAAGACCGGAAAAGGAAUGAAAGAAUGAUGUAUGCUUGCUUUAAUUAACUCAGAGGUGAUGUGCAUGAACAUAAUUAAUCCAAUCUUCGUACUAUUCAUGCGGACCAAAACCUCGUACUACGAAUAAAUACUGUGAUGAUACCAUACAGACAACAAAACUCCGAAAUCAUUCAUUGUUAAUCAGUGUUUUAAGAAGACUUUUUCUUUAAUUAAUCAACAACCAUUUGAUUUUCUAGAGUUUCCUCUAUCAUGGGCCGGUGUAGUCAUAUUGUAUUGCAUCCAUCAUCAUACAUUCAAGCUGUUCGGAUUAAUGGAGCCCAAUCAUUAAAGUGCAUACAUCAUCAGGGGAUGCAAUGAUGGCAUCUUACUAUUACAAUUAUGAUGAUGAUGAUUAAAGUAUUAUUAGCUAUCCCCAUCACAAAUUUUCAUGUUUAUCAGGCUCAGGUCACCACAUCCACCCAGAAGCAUAUUUGUUUAGUACAAAAGGCAUUCUAUGAUCAUAAUAUUAAUAUUGAUCAUUACUUAAUUUAUCAUCACACUACACCUCAUUAGCAGCAGUCUUGUUGGAAUAUAUAUCAUCCACCAACGAAGAGCUGCCCAUCGACUAAAUUACAAACUCCCGAGCUAGAGUUUUAAUCAGCUACCGAUUCUCCCUUCACGCAGCUGGGGCGAAAUCAUAACCGCCAUCACCGUCGUCGUCGUCUCCGUCGCCUUCUCUGGGUGCAGUGAGGGCAUAGUAGCAGCCUCCAUUGUCAUUUGUACAGUAAACAUGCCCAUGCUUAUCGUGCUCUCCACGAACAUGACCAUCGUGCAUCAUGGACUGUGAGUCGAUCGCCAUUGAAAUACUGGACAUUUUCACUAGCGGUUAAUGGGCGGAUCAAAGUUGAAGAAGAAGCGACAAUUGAGAGGAAAUAUUCAGAAAGGAGCUUGGUUGUUGAGAAACUGAGUGCUCCUAGGAUGAACUUAUAGGGAGAAAAAGUUGUAGGGUUUGGUGCAAGUGCGAUAGAGACGAAAGAAAAUAAAGGCGGAACCUGCAGGCUUGGUCCAAGGUGCAGGUUGGCUCGUGGAGAGGUGUGUCAUAGUGCUCGAGAAGUGUGUAGGCACGCGAAAAUACGUGCCAUGGGAGGCCUAGUUGGCACCUCUUGGAACACAAUUGCAUGGCUAACAGUUGGAAUUUGUGGACAAGCUAGCUUUUUCAUGUGGGGUGUGUGUGUGCAUUGAUAUGCUGAUAGAAAGCUACUUCUGAUAUUUAUUCUGAUGCAGUGUAAAGGCAAUGGAAAAGUAUUUCAGAAAGGGGAACUAAGGAUAUGUACAAAAAAACCAUCACGAGAUUGGAGUAAUAUAAAUAUUGAACCGACGCUCUAUAUAUUCCAUUACAUCUCUAAUCACCUACUGGACCAAUACUAACACCGGUAGUAUAUUUCCUAGCAAUUGAAGGUGGAAAGAACAUCAAUUGUAGCAUGCCAUCCCUCUUAAUUUGCUAGAUCAGAAACCCACCUCUAUGAUGAAGUCAAAAUUGACACUGCAAAUGUGUAGACUGAGUCCAAUUGGAGCCCCCAUGUUAGGGUUGCAACUUGGUGGGUCCAAUCCAUGGCCAAAUGAUCAGGACCGAGUUAGGAAGAUUGAAUAUCUUAGAUUCAGAUUUAGGUUAGAAAUUUUUUAAUUUAAAAUAUUAAAGAAUAAUACAGGUUGAAAGUGUGAGCAAUCCAUCAAAACUCAAAGUCAAAGAUUGUGAUUUAUUAUUAUUUUUUAGUUAUAUUAUUCAUUAUUGUAUUUAAAAUAUUAAAAUGAUAAAGAAAAAACUUUAUGAUUUCUUUUUUUUUUAAUUAUAUUCUAUUGAGGUGCAACAAUAAUGCUCUUAAGUUUGAAGAUGGAUCACCCAAAUGAUGAAUUUUAGAAUGGUUUGUAAGGUAUGAUGUCAAAUACCAUAAAAGGUUUGACAUAUCCUCCUUGAAUAUCAAUUGAUUUUCAAAUGAGAUGAUCAAAGUCAGAUCUUAAAUAUUUAAUUAAUAAAUAUAUCAUUUUUGUUUAAUAGUUAAAGUAUCUUUGAAUACUGAAAAUUAAAUUUGGAGUUAUCAUAUAUGUUAAAUUAAUAACUAUGAUAUAUUUUAUCACUUUUAAGACAUAUUUGGAUUUAACACCUAUUUUAUUAAUAUACUUUAUAUUUUAUUAUUUGAAAAUAAUUAUUUUAUUUAUUGGAAACCCCAUUUUAGGUCUUUGUUGUUUUUUAAAUAUGUGGGAAAACGUGAAUUAUGGUUGUAAAUUAAUGACUUGCAUUUUGCAGUGUAUAGUAAUUAUGCAAGUUUAGGAGAGUUUGUUUAUAACAGCCAUAAUUCCUAGAAUUAAGUUAAUUUAGUUAGUUUUCUAUUUUAUUAGAGUAUCCCAUAAAUUAUGGGAUUUGAUAUAGCCUAGUAAUUAGUUACCUUUUCUAUAGUUAGGAUUUUUUUUUUAUAUAAAGUUAACACCAAAUGUAAUUUUCUGAAAUGUAUGAAAAUGAAAUUAUUCCACCUCUCUCAAUUUUCGUCAAAAUAACACAUAGGAACCAUAAGAACCCUUGUUGCCCUUGGACUUAGAGUGGGAUUUGGUGUCGAUCGGAUAUAUUGAUGGACAAAUUUAGUGUGAAUUAGUCUUCUAACUCAUUUAUCCAAAUUGGAUUAAAUUGAAAGACAAGUUUAGUAUGAACUCAUCCAUCUUGUCCAAGUUGUAACCUUACCCAUACACUUGUGAGCCAACCCAAUAAUUCCAACCCAACCCAAGUCAUAUCCCUACCUACCCACAUAAUUGUGAGCCGCCUAGUUUGAACUAACCUUGACAUCCUUCGUACACCUGGCUUUCAAUAGAAAAAUAAGGGAUGGUCUUCUACUUUCUAGAAGGGAAAUUAUUAUCCGAAUUAUGGAAUUCUACUACUUGUUCCUUAUCUGAAAUUUAUGGUACUGUUAUAAGGGUAAGGAUGAUGAGUCAUAUAUUAUGUGGGGUUUAUACGAGUUUGGGUUCAAAAUGAUCAAUUUUUUUUUCAUGCUUCAUCAUUUAAAUUUUCUUAAAAUUUGUUUGACACACCCUUUUGAAAAUAUCAUUUUAGUAAAAACCACAUUUUAAACCUAUUGUUUCAAUACACACUUGAAAAUUUUGUCUUGAAAUUGUGGUUUUUGAUUUAUAUAGAAAUGGUAUUUUCAAAAUAUAGUUUUAAACUAAUUUUAAAAAAUACAUUAUCUUGAACAAUGAUUUCAACAUAUGUCCAAAAUUUAUAUUUUAUUUGCCUAAAUCCCAAUUAGACCCAAAAUUCUUAUAAAUGACUUAAUAAAAUGUUAGAUACUAUUUCAUAGGUUGACUUGGUUAGAUGACGAAACUACUUGUAAAUGAUGACAUAAGUUUUCCUAUACAUGAUAUGUUUGGGUUUGGAGUUUAAUUUCUCAAGUUGACUUUAUUCUUUGUUGUUUUCCUUUUCUUUUUUAUUUGCUUUUUUUGCUUUCUUGUAAUAAUUCAAAAAUGAUGAUAAAGAGCUUUUACAAUCUAUAUUAACUUGAACUGCAUUAAUUUGAAAAUUCAUCUUUUAAGAGAAUGUGGUUUUUCAUUUAUUAGAUUUUUGACAAAUUUACAACAAUUUUUUUACCAUGAGAUCGACCACUUGACGCAAUACAAAUUGUAUCCUUAAAAGUCAAUUUUGUUUGGAGGAUUUUCAAUUUCAUUGAAAUUUUUAAUAGUAAAAUUCAAUUUUGAUAAAGGAUGUGAGUUUUUAAUUGAGGUUUUUUUAUGGAGGAUGGAUGAGAAAUUAGAAUUGAAGAAGGAAAAGGCCAAAAAUGACUUCAAGAUCAAGUUGUCUCCUUUGAACUUUUUCAUUGAAUUGAAGAGAUGACUUUGAUUUUGGUAUAUCCAUGCAUUUGAUAUGAUUUCUUCUCAUAUACUUUGUCAUUUAAAAAAUGAAGAAUACUCUGUCAACACCUUAAUCAUUGGAAUCUAAUUUGUAUUUUUAUUUGAAAACUUAACAAUACAAUUUUCUGAUUCCUAUGAUUAUUUAGAGUCUUGCAAUAGCUUUUCGUAUUUUGUCUCUUACUUGAUGUACAUAUACAUGCAAAUAAAAUAUACAAUCAAGAAGUCUUUUGAAUACCUCCCUACAUUUAUAGAGUAUUAUAACCUCCUGCUUGAAUGAGCCACUAUCCCCCAUCAAGUUGCUCUCUUUAACUUCCUAGAAAUAAUGACCAACAAAACCAUAUUAUAGAACUCUAUGACCCUAGUCGAUUCUCCUACACUUGUGAAAAAAAAAAGUAGACCUCCAAUGAUGUUAUCACCAUCAACUUCUUGAAUGGACUUUCAUGCCACCUUGGGCUUGGUCAUCAAACCUAUAACAAUUUGACUUAUUUUCACUUUUGUUGUCACCCAUGACUAGUCUCUAUGCCAAAUUGAUAUCAACGACAUGUUUCUUUAAGGCCACAUUGAAGAUGAUGCUUAUAUGACUCAGCAUUCAAGUUUCAUUGAUGAUCAACAUUCUCAUCAUAUUUGUAAAUUCAAAAAUGCAAUUUACAAUCUCCCUUAAGUUCCCUAAUCCUAAUAUAAUGAAUUCCAUAGGUUUUUCAUCUCUCAAGGUUUGUAAAUCCUAAAUCUACGGCCUCCCUCCCUCUUCAUCUACCAUCAUGGCAUGUUGAUCAUUUUUUUGUUAAUGUACUUUGCUGAUAUGAUUGUCGCCAUUAAUUCAACUCUAUCAGUUCAGCAAUUUAUCACAUCAGUUGGCCAUUUUCUCUUAAGGAUCUAGGUCCACUCCACCAUUUCCUUGGUGUCGAAGCCAUUCAACAAGGAAACAUAUUUGUAAUCUCUUCAUCAAAGCCAAUAUGAAAUAUGUAAAGGAAGUUUCUAAAUCACUCUCUUCAAUAGAAUCCUUUCGAUUAAGUGAUGGAUCCUUUGUAUCAAUGCUUCUCUCUACCAUCAAGUAGAGUUAUCCAAUGGGUCAUGUUAGGCUAGUAAGACCCAAUGUUUAGUGGGUCAUUACAGGCCAACAUGUUGGACUAGUAUGACUUACUUAAAAAUCGUGUUUGAUCGAGUUGACUCAUGCAAACCAAAUAGGUAGCCUAAUAUAACCCAUAAGUUUGUGGGUCAAUCGUGUUGUGCUAUACUUAAUGCCCAUGACUCAUGGGCCAUUCACUUUAUUAAAAUUUUUAAUUUAAAUUUUUAAGUUAUUUUGUCUUAAUUUUUUUUCAUUAUUAAAUGAAAUUUCUUAUUAUUAUUAAACCACUUCUAAUAAUUAUAAUUUUUAUUUUUUAUACACAUCUAAUAAUUAUACUUUUUAUUUUUUAUGUUUAUAUUUAUAGAAUUUGUAAUUGUAAAAUUUGUAGAAAUGUUAAUUUUUUGUUUUUAAAAAUAGUAAAAAAAAAAUUACACUUGAAUUUGUUUUUUUUUUUAAUCAAAAUAACAAUAAAUUUAAAAUAAUGGAAUAUAAAAGGAAAUGAAAUAUAAAAAAAUAUAUUUUAUUCAAUAUUUCAACAAAUUACAUGAAAAAAUAUGGAGAAAAAAAAUGUGAAAAUUAUAUAGUUGAUGAGAGGGGUAUCAUAGAUAUUUUAUAUAAAAAAAAAUAUUAAUAGUGAAUGAUUUAUUUAUGUAUCUUUUAAACUAGUCAUUGUUGGGAGGAGUAAUAUAGACAUUUGACAUGAAAAAAUAAAUAAAAAUAACUAUUGAUUUACUUUUUUACCCUUCAAACUAAUGUUAUAUAGUUGUUAAGAAGAGUAUUAUAGACAUUUGAUAUGUAAUAAAUAAUAAAAGUAAAAAGUGAUAUUUGAAAUGAUCAAGUAGGCUAGUACGACAGGCCGACAUGAUGAGUCAGUAUGACAAGUUGGCACGAUGGCAUGAUGGGAUGUCUCCUUAGGCUUAGCACAACUCACUACAAUAAUUGGGUUGUGUUGACCCAUCUCAACCUUUUGGUAUAUCGGGCCAUAGGCCAAAAUGGACUAUACGACCCAUUGGACAACUCUACCGUCAAGUUAUCAAUACUUUUUAGUACUUAGGCUAGUUUCAAACCAAAUAUUAGCUUUAUAAUCAAUAAGUUGUGUUAAUGCCUUUGGCCUCGUCUACAAUUUCUCACACAUCAUACCAAAAUUGACAUUUAGGAUGGAACCCCAAGCUUAGAGCAUCAUAAAAUAAAAAAAUAAAAAAAAUGGUGAUAAUUUCAUCUAAGACAUUACUCGAGCAACACCUUAAACUGAUUUGUGUUUCUAUUUGAAACACGGCUAUACACUUUUUGGUUAGUUUCUAGUACCUAUGUUUACAUAUAGUUUCUAGUACUUAUGUUUACAUAUAGCUUUGCAAUAACUUUUCAUAUCUUGUCUUUUAUGCUAUGUAUAUUUAUCGGUAAAUAGGAAGUCUUUCCAAUACUCUUGUCUUCAUAUCGUUAACCGUAAAUUAAGAUUUAUAGGAGAUCAUCAUGGCAAAAAAAAUUUCUUUUUAUUUUUUUAAAAGUUUGCAGUGAAUGACCUUCUCAUUUACCCACUAGAAAGAAAUUGAGUGGCUGAAGUUGUUUGGGCCACUAAAAUUUUGAGUUUCCCCUUGCAGCUUCAACCAAUGUAAACCAAUCGCCUUCUGGCUAAGGUUUAUAUGGUAUCCGGUAUUCCCAGCCGAUCCCAGCAAGGCCUAUGUACAGUGCACCAAAAGACCGCCACUCCCACACAUGGCCAGCACCCACUUGUGCCACCAGAUUUCCCGGCCACCCCAAGGCCGGACCGUCUGUUUCCGCCGACUUACCACCGCCAAACCCUCCGGAAUUUCUCUCCCGCCACCCAAAUAUGUCGGAAAUAACAGAAGCCUAGCCGUUAGAACACAGACACAUUUGAAGUGGGCACUUAGACUAAGCAUAGUAGAUCAAAGCCAGCCAACAUCAACGAUUGACAUGAAACAGUUGGUGAAUUUCUUGUACGAUGAUCUCCCUCAUCUCUUUGACGACCAAGGAAUUGAUCGAACGGCGUAUGACGAUCAGGUGAAGUUCCGGGACCCAAUCACUAAGCAUGACAGCAUUGGUGGGUAUCUCUUCAACAUAGGCCUCUUGAAGAAUCUCUUUCGGCCACAUUUUCAGUUGCAUUGGGUGAAACAGGUAUAGUUCUUUACAGUUAGAGCUCUUAAGAAGAUGAACCAAUUUGUGUAUUCACCAAAUGGGAUGGUUUUCAAUACCCCAAAUGAAGGGCUUAUAUCAGUAUUUCAGACAUCUCUAUAUUUUGUAUAAUUAGAGAAACCAUUUGGUGUAUUUCUGUCACAGCAUUGUUUUGCAUUUGCUGAAAUAAGUGUGAUUUUGCGUAUUGGGUUGUGUAUUUUAUUUCUUUCGUGUGUUAUUGUUUUUAUAUGAUCAUUGAUUCUCAUGUUCCUAUUGAGAUUUUUUGGGUAAAUUUUGUCAUUUCAUGUGCUUUUGCAUCGGUUUCCUACCUGUUAAAUGAUUCAAUUUGUCGUCGGAAAGGAUCAAUCUAACCAUUUCUAUUUGGUAGUAAAGAAAUUUUGAUUGCCCAAGAGGAAUCUGUUUCAUGUUAAAUUGUAAGGACAAAAGAAAAAGGAAAAGAAAAUAAGCAUAAGACCAGUGGAGUUUGUGCUCUUUCUUACUCCUUUCUCUUGGUUUCUAGUUCUGUUUCCAUUUAUGAUGGAACAUAGGUAUUUCAUUUGUAUAAUUUUUAUUUUUAAUGAACUUAAUUUCUUUUGGAUAGUUUCUUGACUGCUUGAGUUGCUAUAGACAGGGCCCUAUGAAAUAACUACAAGGUGGACUAUGGUAAUGAGUUUCAUUCUUCUGCCAUGGAAACCAGAAUUGGUGUUCACAGGAACCUCUAUUAUGGGUGUCAACCCAGCCACUGGAAAGUUUUGCAGCCAUUUGGUAAGGUCCAGUUGUCCUGCCACAAGAAGGAACUAAAGAUGGAACAGGCAUUAAAUAACAAUACUAGUAACUUCAUUCUUUUGUCUGCAGGACUUUUGGGAUUCUCUACAGAAAAAUGACUAUUUUUCUCUAGAAGGAUUAUUGGAUGUAAUAAAGCAGGUACUAGUUUCAUAUUUUCGAAAAAAAAAAUGUCAUUAAAUUGUCAAAAUUAUGUGUACUCAAUGCAAGUGAUCCCUCUUAUAUGUAGAUUGUAAUUCUCUGCAGUUGCGGAUUUACAAGACUCCAGACCUAGAAACACCCAAAUAUCAGAUACUGAAAAGGACUGCAGAUUAUGAGGUUGGUUUGGUUUGGUUUUUUUUUUUUUUUUUCCCUCUGUACCAAUCUGCUUCCAGAGCAAAAAUUGUCCAAUUCUUCAGGAGCCUGUCUGAAUGACACAGGGAAACAAAAACCAUCUUAUUUGUUUCUAUAAGAUUUACAGGCUUUUUCAUGAUCAUACUCCUAUAUGAUCACCACCUUUCUGUUCUUAAAUUUUUAUACUGAGUCUAAUUGACUCAAUUAUUUAGCACAAAAACUGAUUCCCAGCCAUCCAGACGAACACUCGGAACAGAUAUUAAAGAAGACCAGGGUAUUUGACUUUCAAGCUAUUAAAAGAUGACAACUGAGGCUGAAUCUUACAAUCUUUCUCCAUCUACCUAAGUGUAGGAUAUUGGACUCUGAGUUCAUAGAAAUGUUUCCCUUUUUGUUUAUUUUGGCAAUAGCUAUUGUGACUACUGGAUAAUAAUUCAUCCUACUAGUAUUUUCUUUCAAAUUCAUUAGUUAAUGAAUUGUGUAUGAACUUGAUCAUAUUCUCAAAUGAAACAACAGGUAAGAAAGUACAGCCCAUUUAUAGUUGUGGAAACUGAUGGAGACAAGUUGUCAGGAUCAACUGGCUUUAAUGAUGUUGCUGGGUGAGCAUUCUUCUGAAUCCAAUUCUGUUGUGUCUCUUUUGUUUUUCCCUCAGAUGGUUUUGAGAGAUUCAAUCUGUUUAGAUAUAUUUUUGGAAAGAACUCAACAAUGGAAAAGAUUCCAAUGACCACCCCUGUCUUCACUCAAGCAUUUGAUGCUGACAAGUCCAAAGUAUCCAUCCAAAUAGUUCUUCCUCUAGAGAAAGAGAUGAGCAGGUGAGGCUCUUUUCGAGUCCAAAUAUACUGAAACUGAUAUUGCUGAACAUAAAUUCUUCAAUUUCAAAUUAAACACACAACUGACUCCAGCUGAGAAAUUAAUAAUGGCAGAAAGCAAUAAAACCACUUGAGAACUUGCAUAGUGUGAACAAUUAAGCAAUAAGUAUAUAUGUUGAUCAGUCUACCAGAUCCCAACCAAGAAGCCAUUAGCUUGAGGAAGGUGGAAGGAGGCAUUGCUGCAGUGUCAAAGUUCAGUGGAAAACCUAUGGACGAUAUCGUUCAAGAGAAAGAGAAAACACUCCGCUCUAAUCUUAUUAGAGAUGGUCUUAAACCUAAAAUGGGUUGUUUGCUUGCUCGCUACAACGAUCCAGGCCGAACAUGGAGUUCUAUAAUGGUAUGUUAUAUGAUUCUCAAUUAUCCCAAUGCCUUCCACUGUUUCUCUAACUUGGUGUUUUUUUCCUUUCUUUUUCCCCUCAGGAUAUAUGGUCAACCCUUUAGCUAAUAUAGACACAGACAUAGAACAAAGAAGCAAAACUACCUGCAAAACUAGGUUUCUACAGAUUGCAACCUUGGUUUGAGAUUAGCCAUUAAAGCUAGAUUAACUUGGAACCAUGUUUGAAUAGAACUUUAAAUUAGAAAACCUUGUGCAAUCCUUUUCUUUGAUAAAAAGACAUGGGUGAAGAAAAAAAACUUUGGGAACAAUGAGUGGGGUUGUAGCAGCGAAAUUCUAGCUCUUCCUCUUUUUCCUUCACCUCUUGGUAACCAAACAGAGUAGUAAGAAAAUCCUUUUUAAAAAAGCAAAGGUUGUGGUCAUUCAGACUAGACUCCUUAUGUGACAAAAUUUGAUUUGGCUAUGUCUCAGUCUCAUAUGGUGGUUCAUAUAUCAGUAUCACUAAGGGCAUGUUUGAUAUGUGGGAUCCUUGAAGAUGAAUGAAUUUAAUGAUUCCAAUUCUUCUAUUUGGAUGCGCUUAGCAAUAUAAGAAUGGAAUGAUUAUUUGUUUCCAUUUCAAUGUUUGGUAAUAAUGAAAAUAUGAAUGGAAAAAAAAAUUGAUAAUAAUACUUUUAUACAUAUUUGAAAAUAAAUUUUUAUUUUUAUUUUAGAAAGCAUCAUUCCGAAGUUUUUUUUCCUAACUAAAUAAUAAGAUUAAAAAAAAAUAUUUACUUAAUGAAUAAAAAUUAACUAUAAAAACCUAAUAGAAAUGUAGAGGUAAAAUAGUAAUUUUAAGAUGUUUUAUAUCAUUUCCAAUACCAAAUGAAUCAAAAUGUCGCCUAUUAAAAAUUAAUUAAAAUCCCACUUAUGAGUGGAAUGAGUAGGAUUUCAUUCCUAGUAGAAUCAUUUUUUUGUUCCAUUCCUAUUGUUAUUUUAAGUUGUCCAAGCAUAGGAAUAGAUGUGAAAAGGAAUGACAUGUCUAUUUCCACUUUUUAUACCCCGUAUCAAACAUGGCCUUAAAGGCAUUGGUACCAUUUAAGCACAUUGAUUUUUUUACAUACGAAAUUUAGCUGUAUAUAGAGCUCAUGUUGGUACCAACCAAGCACACCUACCCACCACUCAAAUGAAAGAGUGGACCACUCUUCAUCUUCUUGUACCAAAUAUGAGCUUAAAGGUAUUGAUACAAUUUAAGGACAUCAAUUUUUUUACCUAUGAAAUUUAGCCGUAUAUGGAACUCAGUGUGAUAGCAAGCACACCUAGCCACCCCUCAAAUGAAGUGAAUGACCAUAUAUAUAUUGAUGACUGCUAUGAUGUUGUGAAAGCCCCUGCUUAAACUAUUCUUCCCUAUUGCUAAUCCACAUUCUUUGCCUUACCUUUUAAUUAUUUUCAUUUUAGUCACUGAAUAUUUACUUUGUUGUUAAUUGCAUUGAAGCGGAAUGAAGUACUCAUAUGGCUGGAGGAGUUUUCACUGGACUAGUGCAUUGAAUAAAGUCUCUCUUUGGCUAGCAUCAAUAGCUGUUGGACAGACUUGACUCCUUGGAAGUUAUGAGCAAAGUUUGUCUGGUUGGAAUGUAAUGAAAUAUAGAACCUCAUAAUUUUUUGAAAGCUCAUCUAUUCAUCCAAGAGAUUACAGAAAAUUGUAAUGAACCUUAACCGAAGUUUAAAAUGGUUCUCUACUUCGCUUUUUUUUUUCACACAUCCCUGCUGUGCCCCUUGGUAGUUGCUGUCUGAUUUCUACCAAUAAUGAAGAGGAAAAUCUUAAUAACAGAACUUUAAAAUGCUCCGCUUUCAUUGUAUGAAGCCAGUCAACUAUUCUUGAAUCAAGCCAUAUUAAUGCUCUAAUAGUUGAUUGCCAACCAGUUUAGACUGAAAAGACUGUUGGAAGCUCGUCUUUCUGUUCUUUGUGUUCAAGAAGAGCUCCACUUGGACACGUCUCGGUAUCGGCCUAACUAAAUGUUUUUCACAGGAAUCUUCCCAUGAAUUCAGCAGAAAUGCUAUUGCAAACUCUUGUAUAAGUCCAGAAAGCAAUGCCUAUUUAUAUUUUAUCAUCACCAGUUAAGGCCACCUACGAGUUAUGACAUUUGGAAUUUGCUAGACGUACAAUGAACAAAAGUUCAGUGAAAGAAUUCUGAAUAAACGACUUUGAUAGUCCUGCAUUUUCAUUUCAUUUGGAACAAAGAGAAGAUCGGAAAAGAGCCAUGUCUUUCACUUCACUACUCAGGAUACCCAGCUGGUUGGCACAGAACCUUCUUUCAAAAAAGGAAAGGGGACCCUCAAAAAAGUAAUUUUUCAUUCACUCUUUGGAUUCUAAAACCAAAUAAAAGACACAAACAUGAACAGACAACACAAGAGUGUAAAGUAGAUAACUUGAAUUGCAAGAGUUAGAAUUCAAAUUGCACAAGCAGCCAAGUUUUCGUCUGAAUUCUAGAACCCCACAUUUCGAUGCCAACCAUUCAAAAAACUAAUAAUCCAAACUCUCAAAAUCGAAUUAAGAAGAAGAUACUCCAUGGAAAACGAGUUCAAAAGAUAAACCUUUUCCAUACUAAAUACUUUUAAGAUAUAAGCAAAGAUAUAAUCCUAAAUUUGCGGAGCAUCUACGCAAACAUUGAGCAGAGAGCGUGUCCAUGUGGCGGACGAGAGAUCGUAGAUAGAAAAUUUCUUCACUACACGUGAAAGGUGUCGCCAAGACACGAAGUUCCCUGAAAGAAGCCAAAAGGAGGAGGAAUACAAUCAGGACCGUUUAUAAUGGCAAAACAGAAAGCCGCCACGCAGAAAAGGACACGCUGUACAGUCCACACAGUCAACCUCCAAUGAAGUUUCAAAGCCAGUAGGCGCCAACCCCAAUCUCUCCCCUUCAAACGCGUUGUCUUUGCUGUUACAAUCCAUGGCUUCGCAUUUUCUUCUCUUCAUAUUUAUAUAAAUAUAUUCCCACUUCGGGGCACUCGCAAUUGAAAAUUUGGUUUAUUGUGGUUCCCCUUUUUUUGUGUUUCUAUCUAUAGAUAUAUUUAUAGUGCUCUCUGCGUCUCGUUCCUUCUCUUUGGCUCCUCCGGCGCGAUUGAACUUUGGAACGAUCGGUGGAGGGUUGUGGCGUUAGAGGUUGGUGUUUUCGAUCUGGGUUUUGCCGUCUUGGUUUUUUGUUUCUGUUUAUGGUUUCUUUCAAGCGCUUGAGAAAUGGCUAGUUUUUUGGGCGGAUUUUGAUUUGGGUUUGUUGUUUAUCUGCAAUUGAUUUCUUUUCGUCUACGAAAGAUCUGUUUCUGGUUUGAAUUUCGAGAUGGAUUUGAUUAUAUUGUCGGUAUUUUUCCAUAAUUAAUUUUUGAAUGUAUUAAAAACGUGUUGCUGUUGAUGGGAAUUUAGAUCUGUUGGUUUUAUUUAGUUGGUUUGAUCUAUGAAGGAUUACAACAAAGAUUUUGAAGGGAUUGAAAUGGGAAAAAUAGGUUUCUUUAUCCUUUUGGUCAUACUGUAUGUUUGAGGUUUUCUGGACCUGGGUUGCCUUAAUCUAUUUCCUGUAUCUUUCCUAUCAUAAAUAGUCUGCAACCUUAAAUCGGAGAAAACUAGGUUUUCAGAGCCUUACGUUGACAAGUACAUAUCUAUCUUACAUCUGCUGCCAUUUUCAAUAAUAAACUCCAGUGUUGUUUCUUAGCAUUUAAUCUCACCCAAGCCUUUAAUUUUUGACAGGGGAAAAUGUCAGAAGCGAAGGUAGACACGCCAUUGAUCUCACCAUCAUCAUCACGAAAUCUCCCUGAUUUCAAAAAGUCUGUUAAAUUGAAGUACGUAAAGCUUGGUUACCAUUACUUGAUCACCCAUGGAAUGUACCUCUUUCUUUCCCCUCUUGUCGUUGUAAUUGCCGCUCAGCUCUCGACAUUUUCUCUCCAAGAUCUACAUGAUCUUUGGGACCAUCUUCGAUUCAACCUCAUCUCCGUGAUUCUUUGUUCAACUCUUCUUGUUUUCCUCUCGACCCUUUACUUUCUCACGCGUCCUCGCCCAGUGUAUCUUGUGGAUUUUGCCUGCUACAAGCCUGAAGAAUCUCGGAAAUGCACGAGGAAGAUUUUUAUGGAUCAGUCUCAGAUGACUGGUUCAUUUACAGAAUCGAGCCUUGAGUUCCAGCGGAAGAUCCUUGAGAAAUCUGGCCUUGGGGAGUCAACUUACCUUCCUGAGGCUGUUCUCAAUAUCCCUCCAAACCCAUCAAUGCAAGAAGCUAGAAAAGAAGCCGCGACUGUAAUGUUUGGUGCCCUCGAUCAGCUUUUUGCAAAGACAUCUUUGAAGCCUAAAGACAUUGGAAUUCUGGUCGUGAAUUGUAGCUUGUUCAAUCCAACUCCAUCCCUUUCUGCUAUGGUCAUCAACCAUUACAAGCUUAGAGGUAAUAUAAUUAGCUAUAAUUUGGGUGGGAUGGGUUGCAGUGCUGGUUUAAUCUCAAUCGAUCUCGCUAAAGACCUUCUUCAGGUCCAUCCCAACUCUUAUGCAUUGGUUAUCAGCAUGGAGAACAUCACUUUGAACUGGUAUUUUGGGAACCAGAGGUCCAUGCUUGUUUCCAAUUGUUUAUUCAGGAUGGGAGGAGCUGCUGUGCUGCUUUCAAAUAAAAGCUCUGACAGAAGAAGGUCUAAAUACCGAUUGGUGCAUACUGUCCGAACCCACAAGGGUGCUGAUGAUAAGUGCUUUGCCUGUGUUACCCAAGAAGAAGAUGCCGAAGGAAAGGUUGGUGUUUCUUUGUCUAAGGAUCUUAUGGGAGUUGCAGGCGAUGCUUUAAAGACCAACAUCACUACCUUAGGCCCUCUUGUUCUGCCAAUGUCUGAACAGUUGCUCUUCUUUGCUACAUUAAUUGGGAGGAAACUUUUCAAGAUGAAACUCAAGCCUUAUAUUCCAGAUUUCAAACUAGCUUUUGAGCACUUCUGCAUUCAUGCUGGGGGAAGAGCUGUUCUGGAUGAAUUAGAGAAGAACUUGCACCUCUCUGACUGGCAUAUGGAGCCAUCAAGGAUGACACUUUAUCGAUUUGGCAACACCUCGAGCAGUUCUCUUUGGUACGAAUUAGCCUAUACUGAAGCCAAGGGCAGAAUUAAGAAGGGGGAUAGAACAUGGCAGAUAGCAUUUGGAUCUGGGUUCAAGUGCAAUAGUGCAGUGUGGAAGGCUUUAAGGACCAUAAACCCAGCACAGGAGAAGAACCCAUGGAUGGAUGAAAUUGACAUGUUUCCAGUGAAUGUUCCAAAGGUAUCAGCCCUCUAAAGCCAGAAAUGGUAUUUUUGUUCCCCAUUCUUUUGCAGCUGUAAUUCGAGAUGUGGGCAAGACAUUUGAAUGGUAAAAUCUUUGAUUCUUUCUAUUUUUCGGAUUGGACUGUGUUUUGGCCACCAUGAGGAGGGUGGUUGUUAGCCUUUUGCUUUUCUUUCAAUUGUGGUCUUGAAGCAGAUGGAAGAUAGCUUCUUGUUGGGGAGAUGGAUUAUUUGCAUCGAAGAGUUUUAGUAAUUGCUGUGAGGUUCUGUCUUCGUUACUAGGGAUUAAUGUGAUUCAAUUUGGAAUUUGAACUAUUUGUCUAGUGAUAUUCUUUUGGAACGGUGUUUUGCAUUUCUCCUGCCUCUGUCGUUGGGAUCAUUUUGCUACUUACACUGGGACACUAUUUUUGCUUCCUUGCAUUAUAAUCACCCAGAACAUCACGGAUAAACUAUUUUGAGAUUUUAUUUAUUAAUUUAUUCCUAUUAUUAUUUCAGCACUGCCUCAUUAGUCCACCCCUGUUUCCUAAUGGUGAGGACAUUAAGGAGAUUAACAACAUCAAAUUGAUGGAUGAGAACAAGAGGCAGGCAAGGCGAUGCAUGCCAUACAGGGAUCAUGAUUUUUUGUCAUCUCAGGGAAGUUCAUUAAAUAACUUCUGUUCAAAUAAAAUUUGUAAAGAACUUGUGUCUGCCAACUUUUUCUUAACAUGGAAUAUUUACUGCUUCAUAUUGAAUCCUUGAGAAGCAUGUGCAUGUGGAGCAGCUGGAGCAAUUCAAGUGGAAUCACCUGCUGGCAUCACAUACUACUUUUGGGAAUUACAUUAUUAAGCCAGGCUGCACCCAAGGGCCACAGCCAUGAGCCAGCUAUGCCCCUAUGGAACACAUGGGCCUACCCUGUGGUGAGACUGAUAUUAUGCUACUUCAGGGGAGAACAUUAGGCUGUGCAUUGUUGCAAAGUGACAUAUCAACCACCUAUGAUGGAGCUAUGAGACUAUAGGAUCUAACAAUCUUCUGCCAGCUGAUGCAGUGAACUAGCAUAGAAUUAAAUUUUCAAUACAGGGUAGAAUACAUAUAAAACAAUGCUAAGUCAGAAGACAUGUGACAUGUUCCAAAAAAAAUUAAAGAGACUUUAAGUACAUAACAUUGUCUAUAAUCAAAUAAAUUAUUUGGAAGAGGGCUGCUUUCAGACAGGGUAGUGCACUCAAUGCAAACGGUAAUUCGAAAUUUCACAAAAUCAGAUUAUCAAGGUUGCUCAAUGGAGAAUUAAGAAACCGUCCAGGAUGGGAAUUCAAAUUGAGCUGAGUCCUCAUCCAACACUGUUGAUCUGAAUGUCACCCUCCAGGCUCUAGGUCAUUAGAAAUUGUAUACAAAAUCUGAUGGUCUAUUUCUCUGUAAUGGAGUAAUUGUCCAAGAAAAGACAGCAUUAUGCUAUAGGCAAAGCAAGGGGAAACAUAAUUAGCAACCCUCAUGCAGUCCCUGCCUCCUCUCCAGCUUUCCCUUCAUCUGCAAUGUGAAAACCCUCGAUCUUGCAUGAAACCUCUUCUGCAGCCACCUUCACUUUUCCAGUCAAUCCAUUUGCCCUGAACAUCUCAUUGUUAUCAUGUGUCAGAGGGCCUGUCUGCCAAAUUCUAAUGGUUCCAUCCUCAGAUCCAGAGGCAUAUGAUUCUCCUCCAGGUGAGAAACGUACACAAUGAACAGGACCAUGGUGACCUUUGUUGCAUGCUGCACCCAAAUAUUGAAAUUAAUAUGAAACAUACACUUGAAAAUCAAAUAAACGAGCAUGUUCUUGGAACCAGAUAGAUUAUGUGAUCUACCCUAAGCAUAUAUAUAUAUUCAAGAAUGUGGCAGGUUGCCUCAAUAAAACGAAUUUGAGCAUUUAUGCCUGCCCAAAGAUUUUUUCUAAUUUUUUUCCUUUCAUUAUUAAGCUGCACUUACCGAUCUCUUCCCCAGUAUGAAAAUCAAAUAAGCGAAUCCACAUAUCUUCUCCCCCAGCAAUGAACUUAUCCCCAUUUUUUGGUUCCAAUGAUGCUGAUUCUACAGUACAAGGCAUCUUGUAGCUUUUCACCAACCCAAAACUGGAAGGGGAAAAAAAACAAAAAGCAAUAUAUAAACACAUGCAUUAAUUCUGGAAAGAGAAAAUGCUCUAUAUUGCUUUUAACUUACUGAUUAGCAUCCCAAAAUUUAACACUGGACCCAUCAGCAGUUAUGAUAUAACGGCCAUCUUGACUCACUUCAGCACUGGUUACAGAAGAGUUAGUCUCAAGUGUCUGGACUAUUUUACCACUUCUUACGUCCCAUAAUCUGUACAAAUCACCAGUAACAUAUUAAUAAAGCUUCAAACUAUCAUUGACCCAUUAUGCAAACCCCAAGGAAAUUCAACAUGCAACUUUUUUAAUGCAUGUGUUUUAAAAAAGAAUGAGAUCUGAUAAUUACAGGCAUCCAAGCAUCCUUAGAAAAAUGGCUUAGACAGAGCAUAAGAAUUAAAAUAGUAGCAAACCAGUUUCAAAACUUCGUUUUUUUAUAAAUAAAUAAUUAAAUUAAAUUAAAGAAAAGAACCACCAGAAAACGACCCCAAGUAUACAAGAGAAUAAACUGCCCUUCGCCACCAAGGCUCAACCACAAGACUACAAAAAGAACUAGAACAAACUCAACCCGUACCCAACCAUUCAAAAAUUCUGACUAAAGUCAGUGGGUAUUCAUCGACAAACACCUUAGCUUCAGACCACAAAAAACAAACAGACUCCCUUUUCAGCUUUUGAAUAGAAAAAACCUCAUUACAGAAAGCAAUAUUGUUCCUGGUCUUCCACACCAUUCAAAACAAACACAAAGGGAUUGCUUGCCAAACCUUCCUUCGCUUUGUACCCACAAAAGAACCAUGCCAACCCAGCAAUGUAUCUUUAACUAACGAAGAAAGCACCCAAAACACCCCAAAAAGUACAAAUAUCAGCUCCCAUAAAACCCUUGUCUUUUCACAAUGGAGCAGCAAGUGAUCAAUAGAUUCUGCAUGUCGAAGACACAGAAAACAUCAAUUUGCCAAAGACCAACCUCAUCUCUACAAUUGAUCCAAAGUUAGAACUUUACCCCACACUGCCUCCUAGGCAAAAAAACUAACUUUUGGUCGGACCCACAAAAUCCAAAUUCCAUUCAUUGGAAAAGAUCCAAUCAAAUCUGGUUCCAAAACAUGAUAAAAAGACUUAACUACAAACUUGCCACUUUUUGUCACUGUCCAUAACAAAGAACAUCCAUAUCUUGACAAACUCGUUGCCCCUAUAAACAAGUUAGAAAUCUCNNNNNNNNNNNNNNNNNNNNNNNNNNNNNNNNNNNNNNNNNNNNNNNNNNNNNNNNNNNNNNNNNNNNNNNNNNNNNNNNNNNNNNNNNNNNNNNNNNNNAAAAAAAAAUUUCCCAAAAACCCCCCCCUUUUUUCCAAAUAAUCCCAAAGGUAAAUUUUUCCCCCCCCCCCCCCUCUGGGAAAAAAAAAAAAUUUUUGGGGGGCCCCCAAAAAACAAAUUUCCUUUUUUGGAAAAAAACCCCAAAAAUUUGGUUCCCAAAACAGGAAAAAAAAGUUUAAUCCAAAAUCUCCCCUUUUUUUCCCCCGCCCAAAAAAAAAAAACCCCUUUUUUGAAAAAAUUUUUGCCCCCUAAAAAAAAAUUAAAAAUCCCCCCCCCCCACCCCCCCCCCACCUCUUAAAAAGUUAAAAAAAAAAAAAUUUCCCCCCCCCCCCCCCCCCCCCCCCCCCCCCCUCUCUUUCAACGGAAGAAUUCCAAACAUUCACCACCCAUGCAUCCUUAGAGAUCAACAAAGCAAAAAGUGAAGGAUACAACACACACAGAAGGUUAUCCCCGCACCACCUAUCCUUCAAAAAAAGUACCCUCCACCCAUUACCCACCACAAAGGAACACCUAAAUUUCACAAUAUCCUAAUCCUUCCUUAUUGAUUUCCACAACCCAACCCCAUACCCCUCUUUGACCUCCUGAGUUACCCACCCCCCUCUUGAGUUCCAAAGGCCCCUAUCUCCACCACAAAAUGCCAACUCCACUUUAACCCUGAAGCCCCCUUUCCUCCUAGCAUGACAAACAAUCGCUCAUUUAACAAGAUGAGGUUUACGCUCCAAAGCCCCACCACCCCAAAGAAAGUUCCUCUUAAUCCGUUUUAACCUCAAUCAAACAACCCGAGGCAUACAGAACAAAAACAUAAAAUAAAUAGACAAACAAGAUAAAGUACUCCGAGGCAAAGUUACCCUCCCUUCUUUGGAAAUAUAUUGUCGCUUCCACAUAAACAACCUUUUACGAAACCACUCUUCUACUCCAUCCCAAACUCCCGUUGGUUUAAACAUUCUUUAAAUUAAUCCUCAACAUUCUCUACCCAUCCAACCAAAAUUAACUCACUUUUCUCCAAAUUAAUCCUCAACCUUGAAAUGGCCUCAAACCACAUAAGUAACCAACAUAAAUAAGUUAUUUGAUCCUGCGAGGCCUUACAAAAAACCAAAAUGUCAUCAAUGAAGACUAAGGAGAAACUUGCACUACUGCUCCAAAUCUACCAUUCACCUAACAACCUGAUAAAAAACCAUCCCCAAUCGUGCACUUCAAAAGACAACUCAAAGCCUCCAUUGCAAUUACAAAUAAAUAAGGCAAAAGAGGAUCCCCUUGACGCAGCCCUCUAGAACUUGGGAAAAAAUCAGAGGGAGUACUAUUCAUGAAAACAGAGAAUCUGGCCGUGGAAAUACACCACCAUAUCCACCCAAUCCAUUUACCCCCAAAACCCAUUUUUUGCAAAACUGAAAGCAAAAAAAGACCCGUCCACAUGAACCAGUUUCAAAAUUUCAGUAGAACAAAAAUGUGAAUUUUCAGCAAAGAUUAUUAUUACAACCAAGAUUAUCCAUAGGGGCAUGGUUUCCAUCCUACUGGCAACCCCAUGCAUUUGUUCUUGUCCAUGAAAAUUCUCAUCCUCAAGAGAAAAAGGUUUCCCUUUUCCCCACAUACACAUGAAAGGGGGUUCACUAAACUCUCCUCAUCUUCUUCUUCUCUCUUUUCUCCAUCAUCUCGACCUUUUCAGCAUGAAGUGCAGGAACCCACUAUCAACAGUAUUUUUCUUUUUCUUUUUUCUUUUUUUUUUUUUGAUAGGUAAAAGGCAGUUGUAUUAAAAAUGCCUAACGUAGAGUAUGCAAAGGUAUACACAAUGUAUACAAGGAACAACACUUUCAUUUUUCUUUGAUAGGAAAAAGCAAUUGUUUUAAAAGCACGUAAUGUAAGGUGCACAGAAGCAUACUAGAUAUAUACAAGGCACCAAAGGCCAAAAAAAACUAUCAACAACAUCUUACUACUUUUGAAUAUUAAAAAGCCAUGAAGUUUAACCCACACUUAAUUGUUCAAAUUGCAGCCAACAACUCUCUCACUAGUCAACCCCCAGUUUUUGUUACCUUCUUCUAUAUCAUUUAAUCUCUACUACGUGCACAUUUUCACUAGAUAACUUCUCAUUGAUAUUGUUUUCAUUUCUCCAGAAAUAUAAAGCCUUUUGGACAAUAGCACUGCAUUUGCAGUUCACAUCUUAAGAUCUCAGAAAUAUAUUACGUUAUCUAAUUAAACCAAGAUACUCCACAAUAACAGCCAGCACCAAGUAGUUGGGACUUGGGAUUAAGUUGACUUUGCUUCCUAAUUGUGAUUAAUCAAUUAUUCCAACUCAUUAUCCCAUUACAAUGUCACAUAUUUCUGUGAAAUUUUACAGGCUGUAAAUAUUCCAGUAAUCCUAGGAUCCACACACAUACAUGCAACAUAUACAGCAACAAUCCUCUUAAAUACAAUUUCCAGUAAUUGAUACCUAACCGAGAAAGCAGUUAUGGAGAGAAAGCUCAAUAUUGGAGGGCAAGAGUUCAAACAGAAUUUGAAUCCAGAAAGGAAGAAACAAACUUGCCUACAGAAAUAUCCAUAAAAAGAAUAGUUCUAUCCCUUGCCAAAGAAAAGACAUAUUAAAUGGGAAACAUUGUCAAGCUAUUUGAAUUCAGGAUAUAUGGGAUAGUUUGAUUAUGGUUUCAAUUUAUGACUAGAAAGCCUCACAGACAAAAAUCCAUGUUAAAUGGUCACUAACAAGUCAUACAAAGUUCAUAUUAAAAAAUAAAAUGAAGAAAUCAUAAGACAACUGUAGCUGUAAAAGCAUGUGAUUUCAUAAGAAAUGCUACCUUACACCCCCAAUAUCUGUACACGAACUUAAUAUUGUUUGAUCACUAUGGAGCCAUGCAACAGUUCUGACUGAACCAGGAGAAUUAUCCACUUCUCUAGGAGGUGCAUCUGGGCGAUUCAAGUCAAAUAUACGAAGAAUUUUCUCAACUCCUCCAGUAAGCAGAGAGUGUGUAUCCUGUAUCCAGAUUAAUAAAAAUUGGUCCAUUAGCACAAAUAAGCAAUAAUGAGGAAAAGGAAUUUUUUUUUUUUUCCUUUUAAAGUGUAAUGAGGAAAGAAGAUGCAGCAUGAUCCUUUUUCUGCAAAAGUUAUUAACAUUACACCUAAAAAACAAUGAUACCAGCAACAAUGGACAGAACUAUGGGGAUCAUAGCAUGAACACUAAAUAUACACUUGAUAAAUUGCAUGUAGCAUGGGGCUUGGGACAUCAAAUAGAGAUAGACUCCAAGAAAUUUGACUUGGUGAAUGCUUCAGAUAGUUGAAAUGCAAUUAGUGACGUGCUGUAGAUUAAUAUUAAAGUUCUUAAUUCCUCCUCCUUUCUCUUUAUAUUUUCAUAUAUAUUAUAUAGAUAGAUAGAUAGAUAGAUAGAUAGAUAUAUAUGUAUGUAUGUAUCCAAAGGUCUACCUCUGAAAAAGCACAAGCUCGAACAAUGUGCUUGUGUUCAAAUGAGUGCAAUUCAUCCCCUGUUAAAGCAUCCCAUAUUUUCCUACAUGCACAAAAAUGUGAAAUGUUAGCAAACUCUAUUGGUAAUCAAUGAAAUGCCACUUGUUCAUUCUGAAAUGUUAAUGAACACCACCCAAUACCAAAUCCAACCACCAUCACCACCACCCCCAAAAAAAUUCACCCUCAUACCCAACCAAAAAUGGGGAAAAAACACAUAAUGAGGAACACACAUACACCAAGUUUUAACAGUAAGGAAAAAACAUUUAGAAAAUAGAACACAUGAUGCAAUACUACAUGCAUUUCAACUAAAUAAUCCCCCAUAAUCCAUCUUUUCAGAAAGAGAGAUUCACCUAGUAGGCAAACAAACCAACUCCGAAGACCACCAGCUCAGUUGUAUACAAUAUUAACUGUAAAAUGGUGUUUUUGGUAGUGGGGAUGAGGGAAUGGUAAGGAUAAAGCUUUUUAUAAAUAUAAAAGAACCUAGUAAAUUAUGAAUUACUCAAAGAAGCUCAGUUUUGAAAAGUCUGGUUGAAAACAGCAGUUUAUUCACCUCAGCAGAAAAAAGGGAACAGGGAGAGAAAGUGGGUACUGAUUACAUGUUUUUAGCAUUCGCCAAAAAAUGACUCUAACAUAGAUGAAGCAGACCUUUAUAAGCUGGGAAAAGAAUACCACUAUCAUUACCCACACUUCUAAUGAGUUUAUCACCCAGAGUACGGAAAUUCUGAUGUAAGUUCCAUAGCCAGAAUUUUUUGGUAGGCAAGAAAAAGUUUAUUAAAAGAAGCUCCAAUCAAAUGAGCGCACAGCACACAUACAUCAAAAUCAUAUAAAGAGCACUCAUAGGAGACCAACAAAGCAAUGAUGGAAGUCUUAGUAAGGACAAAAAUGAUCAAUGAAACCUGCCAAAAACAUACGAUCUGCAUCCAAAGACCUCUUUGACCACGAGAAAAGAGGAUAAAGUAAUGACUCUUUUAAAGCUUUAACCAGCUGUUCCAAGUCUUCCAAUGAUCUCCCAUGUUGCUCCCUCCAAAUAGUCCAAAACAAGAAAAAGGGAGUUGUUCUCUGAACUUUUUUCUGAUUCUUUCCAGCAAAUUUGUCCUACCAUCCUAAUAAAAACCUCUUUUGACUGACCAAGGAAGAACUUAAGAAAGCCCACAAAGAAAGCAAGAAAUACCAAAGAGCACAAGCAAGACUACAAUGGAGCUGGAUGUGAUGGUCUGACUCUUCCUCACUCUUACACAAGCAACAGCAAUUCACUAAUGGUCAUCCUCUUCUCAUCUAUUGGUCCCCCAAUCUACUUCCCAAGCAAAGAAACCCACUUGUAAGGAAGUUGCAUUUCCCCAAAUUACCUAGGGGGAUCCUGUCCUCCAGUUGAGACCACAGGCUAAUAAACAGUGUUAACAAAAAACACCCCAUCCUUGGUGCUCCGAGAUCACCCAUCCUCUGUAUUCUUCGUCACAGCUACCUUCUAUAUCUGAUCAAGGAACCAGACCAUACUCUCCCCAUCCUAUUCCUGCAAAUGCCUCACAAAACAAGGAUUCCAAUGCCUAGAUCCCUCCAACUCUACCCAAACAUCUGCACCCCAAGCCUCCUUAGAGAUUACUAAGGUAAACAACUCAGGAAAGUAGGUGUUCAAUUGAAAAUCCCUCCAACAUACAUCAUACUAGAACCUAACUUCCCCCCACCUUCCAUUGCUAAGAAAAUCCUAGCUUGGAAGAACUACCAACUACUCUUGAUUUCCACCCAAACCUAUCUCUACCAACUCUAGAAUACCAUCCCCCCACCUCCUCACCAAAUGUUCCUGAGAUGACUUUCCUCUACAAGUUGUUCUGCACUUUCACAAACCUCCAAUACCACUUCCAAAGAAGAGCCUUCUUGAUGAGCGAAAGCUUUCUAAUGCCCAAUCCCCGUAUCUUAUCUGUAACUUCACAGAGUUGUGUCCAUAUUGUAAUCUCAUAAUUCAAAUUUCUCCAUAGAGAGAAUAGCUAAAUUCACUAGAUGAGGCUUUUUAUCCAAGUCACCAGCCUACAAACAAACAAAAAAACCCUUUUCUAAUCUCAAACUCACCACUCUUGAAAUAGUAUAAAUAUGAUAAAUAGGCAAGCUAGAAAGUGUGCGAUUAACAAGGAUUAACCUCCCACCCUUAGACAAAGGCGGACCCUUCCACAAGGCAAGUCUUUUUCUGAACCUCUCUUCCACUGCAUCCUAAACUGCUGUAGAUUUAUACAAAGCACCAAGAAGGAGGCCUAAGUAAGUGGAUGGUAAUUCUCCCACACCACAACCCAAGAUUGGUGCCAAAGGCUGCCUCUAGGGAACCUUCCCUACUACUUUUCCCCAAGCUAAUAUUCCAGCCUGAAAUGACCUCAAACCAAAGAAGAAUUCACCUCAAAUACAAAACUACCUCCUGAUUAGCUCCACAGAUGAGAGGAGUGCAAUAAAGGCAUAUUGAGGUGCCAACAAAGGGUCACCCUACCUCAAUCCCCUCACAUGCAAAAAAAAUCCUAUUGAAGUCUCAUGUACAAGUACUGAAAGCCUCAUGGACGAAAUGCAAAACUUAUUUAAUCAAUCCUACUCAAGCCAAAUUCCAUCCUUGCCAUCACUAAUAGAAGGAAGUUCCAGCUCAUGUGGUCAUAGACUUUCUUAUUGUACAACUUGCACAACAACACAUCUCAGUGGCUUCAUUUGCCUGCCCUCCACAGAGGCAAAUUGGGUAUUAGAGACCACUUUCCUAAGUGUAUUGGAAAAACUUCCGGUUCCAGCAGCUUAUACACAUCUCCAACCAGACUAAUGGGUCUAAAGUCCUUACAAUCCUCUACAUCACCUUCCUACAGGAUUAAAACCAGAAAAGUAGCAUUUAGGCUUAUCUACAAGGAGCCAAUCUCAUAAAUUGCUAACUUGGGACAAGGAAACACAACAUAUGAGAAAUUAAUAAGGAAACACAGCCAUAAACCUAUGACAAAUGAGAUAAUCAAAAUUUUCAUAUGAAGUAGAAAACAGACAAAGCAGGAGCCAGAGCACAAGCACAAGACUGCUUAAGUAACAUCUCUUUCUUAAACAUGUCUGAAUUUCUUUUCCAGAUAAACCAGCUGUGCAACAAGAUUCUAAAGAGGGUUCAAUCCAAAUAUAUGGGAAGCAUACAUGCUAUGACCACAAUCAAAACCUCAUAAAAGAAAAAGAAAUCUGAAAUGAAGCAGGAAAAUUGCAUACACCCAUUUAGCCCCUCAACUUAAUUGAAAUAAACAGAGAUUUGAGCUACGUUGCUGCUUUGAGCCACUAUAAAAUAUUAGUGCAGUCCUUAUAAUUUUAAUCUUGCAUGACACAAUAUCUGUUCUGUUCAAGCUCUAGCAGAUUCCAAUCUGUAAAAUUACCACAGAUUCAUUAUCAAACAUCCUGCUAAUUGGAAGAGGAUCAAAAAGGCUGAGAGAGACAUGAGAUUUCUAAGGAGAGACCUAAAAUGAACAAACUAAGAAAAAGAAUACAUAAACAUGGAAAAAUUAGGCAUUUUCAUAAACAAUGAGACAUACAGUUUGAAAACAAUCUCCAUAAGAAAUAAGCAUAUUAUAAAGUUCUCCACACAAUUCUCAACAGCUCCCAAUACAUUCACAUUCCAUACAGAUUUCAUUCCUGAUGCCUCUCAAAAAAGGCAAAAUGCAGAUUUCUUUCCUGAUACCACACCUGUUUUUUUCUCUUAACCCCUAUGAGAAGAUCUUCCAGCAAGUCAUCCCAGGAUAAUAUAAAGUAUGCAAAUGCAUUAAAUAAAUUACUAAAAUGGGUUUUAGAUGCAUACGCAGUGAAGUCCGCUGAGCCAGAUGCAGCACGUAAAGCAUUCGUAUCCAAGCAGCAACUCCAUACUGCACCCUUGUGUCCUUCAAAUGUUCCAAUCCAAUCUCCAGUCUCUCCAUUUCUAAGCAUGGGGCUAGAAUCUGAACAUCAUAAAUGAACAUCGCAUACCCAAUAAAGAGCAAUGUAAUAUAAUCCAGCAAUAAUUUGACUCCAAUAUCAACAAAACAAUCAACCAAAGCCAUCAAUUCGUAAACAAAAAAUGAGGCAAAUACAUAUCAAAUUUCACAAUUUUUCCCUUCACAUAGAAAAUUGACAUUGAUAAGAAAUGCACACAUACCCUUGCUGGCGCUGAUAAGAAAGAACCCAUCUGGGGUGAUGGGACUGUAAAACAAAUCCACAACCGGUCGGGAAUGGCCGUGGCACACGAGAGGAACAGCCACCCUUUUCUUCUCCAUGUUUCUAGAAAAUUCUAGAAUUCCCAAAACCAACUAACAGAAAACGUUUGCACAAUAUGCAAAAGAGUACAACAAAUCAAGAUUUAAAAACCCUAAUUUCGCUAUAUCUACAGACAAUCAACGUCAACAGAGGUAGGGGGGGCUUUGGUCUUUGGUGUACACGGGGAUUACUAGUGGAUUGUUUCGUCAUUUGCCAUGGUACUGGGCCGUACAAACGUAACUUAUUGGCCUAGUGUAGCCCAUUGAUGGUGGGCUUCUAAAUGGAAUUGUUAUUUACAUAUUCAUUAAAAAAACAAUAACUCAUGUUUUUUAUAUAAAUUUUUUAAUUAUUUCAAAUAUUUACAUAUAAGAUUUUAAAAAAAAUUAUUAUUGUCAUAAAAAAAGAAUAAAGGCAUUUUAGUCAAAAUAUUGUUAAAAAAUUAUAGAGGGUUAAAUUUUUAAAACUGAGUUUUCAAUGAUCUUUUUAAUUAAAUAAUCUUAAAAAAAUCAUCAUGGGCUAAAAAUGGCUUGCUAGGCUUUUAAGUCGUGAGAAAUUUUGGGAGGUGAGACCCUUAAGAGAGGGCUAAAUGGUGGGACUAUUUGAUUAAAAUGAUGAAAUAAUCCUAAAUUUAUAAACCUAUCAUUCCGUAUAUUUUAGUCUAAAAAAUUAUCCACUUUUGGCAAAAAAAUCUCUCCAUCUUUUUUUGUAAAAAUAAUAUUUUCUUUCAAAACUUACAUGAAAAUAAUACAAAUAUUGAAAGACAUUUAAAUAAAAUAAAAUAAAAUAAAAAAGAGAGUUAUUUUUCAAAUUCAAAUAUGAAAAGAAUUACUUUUACAAAUUUGAGAUUAUUUCAUUGGUGAAAUAAUCAUAAAGAUGAGCAUAUAGAUGUGGAGUGUAUAGUAUCAUAGCCAUGAUAAUACUUAACACACUCAUGGGCAACUCAAGUCAUUCCAUGAAAGGUAUAAAAAAAAAUAAGGAUGAUUAAAUGGAGGUCGUUAUUAAUGUUAAAAAAUAAUAUAUAAAGUUGGUUAUAAGAAAAAAUAUAUAUAUUAUCUAGUAAAAUUUGUUUUAAAUAAAUUUAAUGGUGAUAUGGAUGGAUGGCAAUGGGUAGUGUCAUGUUCAAUUUGGAUUGUAUCAAGUUAAGAAAUAAUGCAAAUUUACUCAGAAUAUAAAUGCAUUAAAUAAUCAUGUCAAAAUAAAUUGACGUAAACAUUACAUAUAUAUUAUACAAAUAAUAUGAUAUAACUUAUUUAAUAAAUGAGUUAAAUUGAAUUGUGAUGCAGUCCUUUAACACAAUUCUAACAUUAGAUCUGUUAACAUGAUUCUAACCCCUUGAGCCUUAUGAAUAUGAUUAUAACCCAUUAAACAUGUUAAUUCAAUUGCAGCAAGUUUAACCUAUUUAAAAUUUUAAAUUUAUAAAUAUUUUUGAAUCUUUUUUAGUUGCUUUAGUUUUCAAAAUUUAAUUUUUAAAAUCUUAAUUAAUUAACUUAUUUAAUUUUAAUUAUAAUAUAUUUAUAAUGGAGAAAAUAAAUUAAAAUUUUAAUUUUACACUUGUUUGUUUUUAUUUUUUAUAAAAUAUUUUUAUAUUUAUAAUGAAAUAUAUAAAAAUUUAGUUAGUUAUUUAAUUUUUUAAACCAUGUGAUUUUUAUAAUUAAAAAGUUUUUAAAUUUUUAUAAUUUUAAAUAUAUAAAAUUAAUAAAUUCAUGAGUUAAAUAAGUUAUUUUAACACGAUUAAGUAAAUGAGUUAAACGAAUUAGAUGAAUUAAGCAAUUAAAACUAAAUAUGAAACAUUUAUUAAAUAGGUUUAUUGUUUGACACAAUUUAUACUUAAUUUGAACUUGCUAAAAUUAGUGUCAUUUUCGAGUUGUAAAAGUGUCUUAUCAUUAUUCAACUAUUUAUUUUAACAUCAUUACUCAAUGAAUUACAUAGGAGAACUCCCCUAACAUGGGUCAUGUUGCAUCAAUUCAGUAAAACACUUUUGUGAUAUAUCCAAGACAUACAUUAAUAGAAAGUGAGCAAUAAGCUAACCUUAAUGUAAAAAAAUAUCUAGUUAUCAAAUGCAAAAUUGAUCAUUAUUAUAAAGGUUUAUUCUAGGGGCUGAAGCUACAUAAUUCAGAGACCGCAAUUUAUAAAAUAUUGUAUAAUACAUUGCCUUUAGGAGACUUUCCUUUUUGAAGGGAUGUCUAGCCAAUGCAGGGUAGUCUAAACAAUGUUAUAUAAUGUGUUUGAUGUAAUUUCUCUCAAUUAAUUCGAUUGAAAAUUUUCAACUAAUUUGUGUUAGAUUUAGGGGAAAUCCUCAAGGAACUAGCUUAUUCUCCUAACCAAUUAUACUUCUUCAUGAUUGUCUUAUAUUAUUGGUGUUGAUACAAGCUUAGUCGAAUAAAAGUCCUGAUUUCAUGUAUAAAAAAAAACUUUUUAUGUGCAAAAAGUUCCAACACGAAUGUACAGUAGUCAUCUAGGAAAAUAAAGUUACAUGAGCAUUAUCCUAGGUGCACCACCCUCUCAAUGAAAAAAAAUUGAAAUAUUCAAGGACAACGAUCAAUACCUCUUAUAGAACUAGACCGACAUUACUAGAUAUUAUUUGGCAUGUUCACAUAUCAUACCAAUAGUUUCCCUUCGACAUCACACAACUCCUUAUUGAAAGGUGAAAGAUUUUGACAUAACUCCCAAGUUUUGGCACACCUAAUGGAACAACUAACGAGUUUACUAAAUCCUCAUCAAGCCAAGGAUACAAGGAAUAGAACCAAUGAGACAAAUACAUGGACAAUAAGGUGAAAAACCACCUUCACCCAACCAAGAAACAAUAUGAUAGGUGUUAGAAAAAUUAGGUUAAUCCAACCUAUGGUAAUCACCUUAGAGGGGGGGGUGAAUAGGGUGAUGGUCUCUUUUUGCAAAUUUAAACUAUGUGAACGUAAGAGAUAAUUAUAUGCAAAUAUAUAAUAAACAAUAUAAAGAUAAUUGCAUAUAAAUUAAAAGAGUAGGGAAGAGAGAAUGCAAACACAGGAUUUUAUAGUGGUUCGGCGCAAUCCGGCCUACAUCCACUUUCCUCUAGCUUCAAUCUCAAGCUUGAGGUUCCACUAAUUCAAGGCUUCCAAACCAAACCUUCAAGCAAUACAAUUGAAUUAUGAUUCCAAUUCACCCUUUUAAACUUUUGGCUCCAAGCACCCUUUACACUUCUUAAGAGAUAUCCCACUCUUGAACAAUCCCUCAAGUGAUACCCCACACUUGAGAAACUUCCUCUCAAAUAUUUACAAAUAAAUGAUCUCAUAAAAUCCUAGUACAAAAACUUUAAGCUCAAAUGAUACAAGAAAACUAGGAUUGAAAUGUGCACUAAGGAUAUGCAAGUUUUAGAACAAUGGUCCACUCAAAAACACUCUUCCAAGGCUCAAAUAUAUUCAAGAAAGGUUUGGGAAAGUUAAACUUAUGAAACAAUGAAGAUUUGAGCCUUUUUAUAGAAGAAAAAAUGUCAAACUAGUCGUUAGGGGUUCGAUCGGUUGACUAGCCGUUAGCAUUUAAUACUUGGUAGGUGAUCGUUGAACCUUGACCAGACCUCAACCGGUUGAACAACCGUUCUGGAAGAAAGAUAAAGUUUUUACACCCUCGACUGGUUGAGUAGGGGGUCGACCCCAACCUCGAUCGGUUAAGUUGGCGCUCGAUCGGUUCCUUAUCCGGUUCAACCGGUUGAACCAUUUUUGGCUCAAUAACCAACUUUUUCAACUUAAAACCUUUUAAAACAAGUUUGAAAAACAUUUAACACAAGGUUUUAGUUGAAAACAUGAAAUCAUCCAAUUUUUAAAAUGUUUAAAACAAAAUAACUCUUGGAUGAUUUUGGUGCAUAAGUAAAGAAUAUAAUGCAUGAAAAUUCUAGUGCACCAACAACCUUACAAAGAGAUUUUAUGAAGUUUGGGUCUUGAAAAACACUUUUUUUUAAGUGGUCUUCUUCUUCAUGAUUUCUCAUUGGCUUGAUUUGUCUUUAUGAUUGUCACUUUGGAAAUCAUCUUGCCUAAUCACAUUUAAAAUAUAAUCAUUAGUUCUAAACCUUAUUUUGUUAUCAUCAAAAUCAAGAUUAACCAAACUUUGGUUUCGCACUAGGAAUCAUGCACAUUAAGCAAAAAAUAUAUAGAGAUUGAACCAUAAAAAAUAAAGUAAGAAAAAAAUGGAAUUAAGACUUAUCUUUUUCACUCGCACCAUUGGCUAAUAAAAUAGAUUGACUCCUAAGGAUCAUAGAAAUAAGCUUUAUACAAAUUAUUAAUAUCAUGAUAGAAUGUCUUCAAAAAGCAAUGGUGAUAACAAUGCAACAAUCAUAGUUAUGAUAUUCUUAUAGACAUAACAUCAUCGUGAUAUGAUAUUAAUACAUUAGUUUUUUAAUAACUAAUUUAUUUUGGUUGAACUGUUUACUCUAUUUUCACUCAACUAAGGUGACAAGAUUCGAGAUGAGUUGUUUCUCCCUUAUUAAUCACUUUAUGCCUCCUCUGCCAUCCAAAAUUAAUAUUAAUGACAAACUUUCUCCUAGUUAGUUGAUUCAAUUUGACAUUAGACCUUUAUUAAAAAUACUGCUAAAGUAAAUAAAAAUCUAAUUAACUAGUUAUUAUAUUUUAAAUUUUAGGCUAAAUUACCCUAUUUUAAUUUUGAUCACAAAAUCUACAUUUCCUUUUCUAUCAUGGUGGAUAUGCAAACAACAAGCCCUUUUUCUUGUGGUACUUUUCUUAUGGUUUUCAAAUUCUCUUUGUAUAUUUGCAAUGUUGAUUUGUAAAUUUCAUUCCUAAAAAUUUGUUAGUGUAGUGAGUAAAGUCUGGAUUGAUCAUGACCAAGUAGGAAAAUCAUGGUAACACCGAUCUUCUUACCUUGUGAAAACUAGAGUUUUUCACAUUAGAUAGACUUCUACAAUGAAUUGGGAGCAUGGAUUUUUAUGAUUUGGUGUAUUAUUUUCCAUUUGGCUUCCUUUGAAAUCAUAUGCUUCACUUAUCCACGGUUUCAUUUGUGGGAUUGGGGACACAACUAAAUAUAGGAUUUAGAUUCAACAAUCUAAUUAUGGGUUUAGUGAAUCUGGGAAAAGAUUGGAAAAAUACAAAAGAGGUAUUUUCAAUUAAAUUUAGGGUUUUCAUUUCAUUAGCUUAAUCAAGAUUAGGGAUUUUCGAUAUUCUAUCACUAGUUUCAUAUAUAUAUAUAUAUAUAUAUUUGCAUUUUUUUUAUUUAGUUUAAAUCAUGUUUGGUAUAUGAGAAUGAGGAGUGAGAAUUAAUAUUUCAUUUAUUUUCUCAUCUAUUCUCGUAUUUGGAUGAAGGGAAUGGAAAAAAAUAUAUAUUUCAAUGGUAAUGAAAUUCUAUUCAUAAGUGAGAUUUCAAUUAAUCUUUACAUGGGAUAUUUUGAUUCCUUUGAACAACAAAUGAUAUAAAAUAUGUGAAAAUUAAUAGUUUACCCUUUUAUUUUUAUUAGGUUUAUAUGAAUUUUUAUAAUUAAUUUUUAUUUAUUGAAUAAAUAUUAUAUUUUUCUUAGUCUAAGGAUCUAUUUCACAUAUUUAUUUUUGAAACUUUGUUUUUAAGUUUUUUUUUUUUUUGUAUUUUAUAAAAAUAAUGGUGUUCAACAAGUUGUUUUUAAAAAAGAAAAAAAAAACCAAAAACUUGCAUGGAUAAAUUGUUUUAAAAAAUAAUUUUUCUAUUUUGAUUUUGUAAAAAAAAAUUAUAAAUUCAAUCUAUGUAAUAUUAACUAAAUUUAAUUCAAGUUUUAUUAAAAAUGAAAAUAAUUUUAUAAUUAUAAAUAAACUAAAAAUAAAUAUUUUUUUUAAUAAAAAAUGAAUUAUAAUAUUAUAAUAACUUAGCAUAUUUCAUAAGAUAUGUUAUCUUAGGAUAUCAAAUAAUAUCAUAUAUAAUUGAAAAUCAUAUCCUAAGAUAUGCUUUUUCUAUUUAAUGGGAUAUGAUAUAUUUGAAUAUAAAUAUUAUGAUAUAUUUGAAUAUACAUAUUAAUCUAUUUUAUCUAAUCUGCCAACUAAACAUAGCCAUGGAAGAUUCUUAAAUUUUUUAUUUAGUUUACAAUUAAUUAAUCAAUUUUUUGAAUUCCAAAUCAUUCUUAAAAAUUAGAAUUAUAUCAAACAUAAUAAAAUUGAAAAUUCUAAAAGGUGUAUUAUGAUUUAGAUAAAAUUCCAAUUGGUAAAAGCAACUUCUAUUUAUUCUCUAAAACAUGUAUUCUAUUUCACUUUAUUAAAAAAAAAAAUAGAAAAUAACAACCGAAUAAAUUUAUAAAAUUCAAAAAACAAUUUUUUAUUUUUAGAAACAUAAUAUUAUUUUUAAAUUACAUGACCAAAUAGGUCUUAUUAUUUAGCAGGAAAAAAAAUCCUCAUUCUCAUUCUCAUUUACCUAACUUUUGAAACAAAAAUACAUAAUUAUUCAAACCUUACAUUGGUAGAUUCAAAUACAAAAAAAUUAGAAUUACCAAAUUUAUUCUUAUUUGAGGAGAAAUAUAAACGGGAACAAUAUUCUCACUCUUCGUUCUCAUGUAUCAUACAUAACUUUAUAUUAAAAUGCAACAUUUUGUAUUUUUAUAUUUUCAAACUUUAAGAGAGAUAAUUUUAGAUAUUAUAUGCCAUUGUAUAAUCACUUAUAAAAGAAAUCAAUGUAAUUUUAGAAAAUGAGAAGGAUGUAGGUAUAUUUGUCAUACAUGACAAGGUGGAUUUAAUUUAUCCUUAGUUUUUUUAUUAAAAAAAAAAGUAAAAUGCAAAAUCUAAAAUUGAAAAUUUACAUUUUCUAGAGCAUUGUUUUACGGAUGAUAAUAAGAAAGAAAGACUGCUAUAUUAUGAAGUAACAAAAAAGAAAAAAGGAAAACUCAAUUACAGAAGUUAUUGGGGGAAUUAUAUAAACAUGUACUCGAUUACAAAAGUUAUUAGGGGAAUUAUAUAAAUAUGUACUAUGUACUAUGUAUAAAAUAUGGAUGAAUUCAGAAGCUAAAAGAGUCACUUUCAUGGGGAGUGCAUGUUUUAGAAAAUAAUAUUCAUUUCAUGUAAUAAAAUAAUAAUUUUAUACAUAUUUCAAAAUUACCCUUCAACGAGCUGAAAGUGAGUUGCCACUUAUACAAGGCAAAGUGAUAGGUACAUUGAUUGAAUCCUACACAAGUGUCACUUAACAGGCAAGUUGGCAUAUUAUUUAUUAGAUUAUUAAUUAUUAUAGGUGAGUAUAUUUUUAUAUUAAAAAAUAAUUUAUUUUAAUGCAUUAAUUACUCAUGAUGUUAAAAUAAAAAUUUAAUAAAUAAAAUAAAUAAAUAAAAAGAUAAAGUUUGCUUGUUUAAUUAAUUAUAUUUUCAAAAAUAGGAAAAUUCUACAAAAUUAAUUAAAAUCAAAGAAUUAAAAAAGAAAAAAAAGUAAUUCAUUUAUUGUAAUAAAAAAACUUAAUUUAAUUUGGUGAGAAGGGGGGAAUGGAAAAGUGAUGAGGGAAAAAGGAAAAAAAAAAAAGAUUGAGGGUGGGCCAAAAAUUGGGUUGUUCAAGUGAGAAAUAAAUAAAUAAAUAAACAAAGGCAAAAAAUAAAAAAUAAAUAAAAUUAGAGGGAGUCCACCUUCAACCGAUUGGAAGGUAGUCUUGGAACAUGCAUAAAGUUAUUAUUUUAGUAUAUGAAAUAAGAAUUAUUUUACCCUAUGGUAUUUGAAUUAUGCAUGCUCACAUAAUUCCCCAAAAAUUAAUUUAUCAAAUUAAAAAAAAAUCAUAUCAUAUGUGACAACCUGCUCCUAAUGGUACGUUCCUAAUUGUGUAGAUAUUAUUCGCUUUGUACCCAAAAAGGUCCUCACAACUUUAAAACGCGUCUACAAGGUUACGAUAAGUCCAUAUUUAUAUAACGUCAAGAACUUUCUCCCCUAUCUGAUGUGAAAUGUCAUAAACACCUCCUAUACAAAUAUAACGUUUUUAUUAUAUCCCACGAGAUUAUGGGGCCAAACAGACAAACACCCUUAUGGGGCCAAACAAACCUCACACCGAGGUCGAUGAUCGACUCUAAUACCAUUUGUGACGACCUGUUUUCAAUUGUAUAGAUAUUAUCCGCUUUGGACUCAAAGGGGUCCUCAUGGCUUUAAAACAUAUUUACAAGGUUACAAGAAGUCCAUACUUAUAUAACGCUAGAAACUUUCCCCUUAUCUAAUGCAAGAUGUCACAUCAUAUGGCAAUUGUCAUUUGUCUUAUAAGAAGACUUCUAGAGUCAAAGCCAAGUAGGUCCCGCCUUUUGCACAUGGUUGUGUCGAGUGUCCCAUGCAUGAACAUUUCUAUCAUCUUUAUAGUUGGCAGCCAUACUUGACUCUAAAAGUGUUGUUCUUCGGUUCAAAGCCUUCACACUUGACUACUCUGCUCUCUGCGGGCAGCCUGCCUUUAUCAGUCAAAUAUAUAGAAAUAAAAAAGCAUUCAUAUAAAAGAUCCAUGGUUUAAACUAACGUACAAUUAGCUGCAUGGUCAAAGAAAGAUGCAUAUAUAUAUUUAUACCCAAGUGAAUUGCAUGCCAAAGGUUAAAACAUUUGGACCGACACACCAGUGAAUAAGAAGAAAUUUGGUUAUGAUUAAAUUGAAGUUGCUCAUUUUCGUCUCACCACAAGCUUCUUAAUUACUUGAUGUUCCAAAAUCAUUACGUGUUCCAAUAUUAUUUCAAAUGUAUUAUCGGGGAAGCUGAAGAAGAAAAUGGAUUUGCUUUAGUUUGAAGUAUGGUCAUUCCUUGUAUUUUUCCUCAUAGCCAUCAAAGGGGAAGCUUCCCCAAGUACUGAUAAAGGAAUCCGUCCAACAAAUUUUUGUAGAUAAUUAAAUUGAACAUCCGUGUACGUAUCUAUAUUUCUGAGGUAAAUCUUAUUCAAAUCCUCCUUGAAAAUAGUUUUCUUAGUUCAUAGUUUUUGAAAAAAAUAUUUUUUAUAUUUGAAUUCCCGAAUAAAAUUUGUUUCUUAAUAUAAUUAGGAACUAUCUUUCAAAACUGUAUUAAUUAAGGAGUAUGGUGAAAGCGAAGAAAAAAGGGCCCUUAUUUCACUUGUAAGCUAAGUAUUGAGAGAGCUUUCUAUUGCAAGAAAAUUGCCAUCCUUUUUAAGUAGGGAUCAAAUUUGUGUGGACCAGAUAUUGGAUUAGCACCUUGAGCCCAGCUGUGGCCAUAUACUUUUGAGAUACAGAGCAUACCGCGAAUAUAGAGCUGAUCAUUUCAUUGGGAAGCUCUGAGCUGGUGUAAGCAUUGCGGUGGCCAAAAACUGAAGCUCAACUUUGACAAAGCCACUCCGCAGAAACUCCCCUCAAAGGUACUGUUUUCAAACUCAAAACUUUUCUGCAAGUCGCAGCGCAUAUCAGUCAUUGUCAGCCAUUCCGAAUCGGAUCACGUUCCUAGGUUGUUUAUGAGACUCAGGAGUGGAGGAAGAGGAUUUAUCCUCGAGUCAAAGAGGGCGUAUAGUAAGAGUAUGCAGGCUCAAAGCUGAGUCACUAAGAAGAGUUCAUUAUCCAUAUAAUUGUUGUAAGUCAAUCCCCCAAAUUAUCCAUCUCCUACUCCAUGGAAGCUAACGCUUCUCCAGGUUUUAAAAAUUGACAAUAUCUUGAUAUAUCUUUCCCCCCCUUUUUUUUUAAUGUCUCUGUUAUCCUAUUAGUGGGUUUUUCUUAAUGCUUUUAGACGUUAUAAUCUUCUUGGAAUAUUUUUCAUGAUUUUUUUCUCAGAACUGAAAAAAAGCGAUAUGUUCUUCAUACAUACUUCCUCAAUUUGAUCUGAUAAUUAUUCACUUAAACAGUAUCCUUCUUCCAACAUGCAUUACAUGCUGUGAAGAAAUGAAUAUUUUGGCACAUGGGGUUCAAAAAUAUGAUUCAAGGUUAAGAACAGCCCCCAUACAAAUAGAUAGACAUUCCUCCCAGAUCAAACAAACCCCUAUAUAUAUCGGGGUCAUAAAUUAAUUAUGAUAUCAUUUAUAAUAAUUUGCACUAAAUUAUAGAGAUAUUGUUCACUUUGAGUCUGAGAAGGAGCCAACAUAAGGGAGCACAUGUCCCCUCAAUUUUUUUUUUUUUAAAUUAUUUUAUUUUUUAAGAAUUUUGGAAAGUGAAAAAUGCAAAAUUGUAAGUUUAUUGCUGAAAAUGUAAAAAUGUAAAAUAAAAAAAAUAUAAGUAUUAUAUAUGGAUAUUAAAUAGAUUAAUAAAAUGUUUGUUUGUUUUCAUUUUUAAUGUUUGUUAAUGAAUAAAAUUAAAUUUAUCCAAUAAUUUUGUAUUUGAUAUUUUAUUAAAUAUUUUUUAGUGAUUAGUUAUCUUCUUUUUUUUUUUUAGAUUUUUUAAAUUUUUGGACUUUUAGGUUUAAUGAAAUAUUUACUUAUUUAUGAAUAACUACAUAAUUAUUUAAAUUAUAUGGUUGACAAAAUUUAAUUUCAUUUAAAUAUUUGAUAUUUUAUCAAAUAUCUUUUUUUAUUGGUGGGUUGAUUGUGGUUUAAUUUUGAGAUUCUUGUAAUUGUUUAGCCUUUUAGAUUUAUCCAAACAUUUAUUAUUUGUAACUAGUUAUCUAACUUUUUAUGAUAACAUUAUAUUUAUAUCAUAGAUAACUUUUAAAUAAAAAAUUUAUUACUAUUAAAUUAUUUAUAUUUAAUUAUUUUAAAAAAGAAUCAAAGAAAAAUUAUUAGUGAAAUUAUUGAAUUUUUCUAAAAAGUUUUAUAGCAAAAUAUUUCUAAAAAUUAUUAAAAGUAUUUUAGUCAUAUUUCUUAUUAUAUUUUAGGACCUUUUUUGAAAAUAUUAUUUGAAUUUUUUUAUAAACUUUUAUUAAAAUCUAAAACUAUUUAGUUUUUUUUGUUAUUUAAUUUGAUAAAUUAUAAAAUCUCCUUUUCUUUAAUAGUUAAUGUCAAUAAUUACUUAUUUUAUUAAAUGAUACCAUUCAUUUUAUUGAAUAGAAGGAAGUCGAUGACCUACUUUUAAAAUAUAAAAUUUAUCUAUAUUUAUUAUAAUUAACCAAUAUUUUACGUCGCUCCCUCUCACCAAAAUUUUUGGCUUCACCACUAUCUAAGCCCAAAGAGUUUAUACGACUUUAAAAUGCAUAUAUAAAAUUGAGAAUAGUUCAUACAUAUAUAAUUCAAGAACUUUUUCUCUAUCACAAAUUAACUCUAUAAGUGUAUUGUAUGUAUUGACAAUUUCGGGUCAAAAUUCUCAUUGCAUCUCUUAGCUCAUAGUCCUAAUCAAAUCCUCCCAUGGACACUUGCCUUUUCCAAAUUGUUCAUGUCUGAAGAUGACUACAAGAGUUGGUAAGUGCAUUUGAGGUGAUGGAUGAUGGCAAAUAGUGAUCACUCGUAUUUUAAAUUUUUAUCAUUUUAUUGAAAAAUGAAAUUGAAGCUUAAAAGUGUAAAACAUUGAGUUUAAAACAUGUGGAUCAAUUUCUGAUCGAUCUAACUAAAGGGUAAGGGUUUAUUUUAAACCCAUAUUUUUCAAUCUUGUCCGAUUGAUCAAACUUCAAUCACACCUAUGAAUUUUUAUGAUUUUCCAAAUAAAUCUCAACUAUUGAAUGAGUUUCAAAACCCUAAUACUUAAGUCUUCUUUCCAGAUGUGGUGUAGGUUGUUAUGAGAGAGAAAACCCUUGGUUUUUUUAGCUUCAAGUUUCUCUUACUACAUUGGGGAGUGUUUGCUUUAUGAGAAAAUUUAUAGGUUUGAAUUGAAAAUUAGUUUUUAAGUGAAAAAUCUUUGUUCCAAAUGUGCUGAUUUACUAUGUUCUUCAUUCUAACUCUCAUAUUACUCUCAUAUGCAACUUUUGGGGUAAAACCUAAGAUUCUCCUUGUGUAAACUCAAGAAGAGACCGAAAUCAAAGCUUGGAGUUUAUUCCAAGUGUUUCCCUGAAAAAGAAUAGUGGUAAUUGAAACUUGAAGGUUCUAAGCAAGUUGUCUGAGAUACGAUAAAGGACUUAGGUAAAACCUUGUACUCGGUUAUUUUUUUUUUCAUAGUGGAUUAUUUGAUUGCUUGAGGCUCGUGGUUUUUUAUCUCUUUGAAGGUUCUCCACGUUAAAAAAAUUGAUGUCAUUAUCUCUCCUUUCUAUCUUAUCUUUUAAUUAGUAUUUCAUGAGCUUAUGGUAUUUUUCAUUGCGUUAUGGUGAUUGAAUUAAUUGGAGUAUGAGUUGAAAUGUAUCUAUUGAAUCUUUGAAAGAACAAGAUAUAUUUUAAGUUUUGUUGAUUGAUGGCACGGGGCAUGUGAAAAAGAGUUUUUAUAUUGAUGCAAUGUUUUAUAUAUCAUGUUUGGAGAGUGUUGUCUCAUUUGCAUGUGAUUUGCAUUAAAUAACUUAUUUAAGAGAGUGUUUUACGAUUUACUUUGUUUGUUCAUAAGAUUGGAAAAGAAGAUCAAUUAGAGAUAUUAUCUCUAAUUGUUUUUUUUUUUUAAAAAACAUCUAUUCACCUCUUCUAGGUGUUAUCUAUAGAUAAGAUCCAUUUUCAAACUCAAAUCUCAUUUUCAGUGAUCUGACAUUAUGAAGAUAUUUCUUAUUUGUUAAUGCACUUCAUUAUGUUUGCCUUUAUUUCGGCCCUAGCUAACUCCCAACGAACUCCCAUCAAAAACCAAGACUCUUACGAGGGAUAUGUACGGGAGCAUGAGUCAAUUCUUAUCUAAUUUCUGUCCAGCGAAUCAAUGACUGUGAGCUGGAAAAUAUGAUUGGGUUGAAAAGUCAAAGAAAUGUAAUGCUAGAGGCAAUGAUUACCUAAUCUCCACGACCUCAUCUAAUGAAUUGUUAAUGUUGGUUCGAUCUGGUUCCGAAUCGUACAAUCUACAAGUCAAUGACUGGUGCAACGUCUAUAUUCAUCAUCUUCACCAAAACAUAGUUUUUUGAAAACAAAAAUGAUCAUUCAGUUUCGUCACCUAAGCUGAGCCCCAUUUGCUUGACGGCGCAGAGGUUUGAACAGAUCAAUAAAAUUUUAUUUGAAAUUUGUUGAACUGUUUAAUCUUGAUCCCAACCUGAUCAUAAAAUAAAAAAAAUCAUGGGCAUCGAAAGCCUAUGGGCAAUCCAAGUUGAAUGCAGAUUUUUGUGCAGCUGAUUCCGCGUAGAUGAGUUUGGUAUGGGCAUUCAACUUGAACCAUCCAGGACCCACAAAGCCGUCUCUAUUAAGCAUUGGAGGAAUUAAUUUAAAAUUCUGAAAUUGACUUAGACUCCCAUUCCACAUGCCUCAAUUUCCCUUUUUUCUCUUUUUGUUUGGAUGAACUAUAAGAGAUUUACUUUUUGUUUCUUUUGUUUUUCUCAUAUAUUUGCAGGACGAUGAGGAUUAUUGAGACAUUGCGAUGCUGCUUAUUUUUAUUGGACUUCCUCUUCAUCUCAGUGUUUUUUAUCAAUUCAUGUCAAGGUGAUGUUGGCACAGCAGCUCAGUAUAAUCCCCCGUACCUUCGUGAGUUCCUCCUUCAAUAAUACAUAGCCUUUGAUUUAUCAAAAACAUCAGCUCGAUGACUUGAUCUCAUUGCGAUUUUCUGGGUAUUCGAUCCAUGUAGCUACGAUAUGUUACGGAAAUGAUGCAUCGGAGUUCCCAUCCAGCAAUCUCUUUGCAGCGGCGGGCGAUGGGAUAUGGGACAAUGGGGCUUCCUGCGGGAGACAGUAUUUGGUCAGGUGCAUCAGUGCCACGCAGCCUGGCACUUGUGUUCCUGACCAGACUAUUCAGAUCAAGGUUGUGGAUUAUGCUCCUUCGGCACCUUCAACGCCGUCAGCUGAUGGCACCACCAUCGUUCUAUCGGAGACGGCGUUUGGGAUCAUUGCCAAUUCAACCGCCACGGCCAUCAACAUUGAAUUUCAACAGUAAGUCUCCACCUCUCAUUUCAGUUUGGAUAUUACUGUCAUGCAUCCUUUGCUUUGUUUAAUUCAUUGGAAUCGUUGAUUACCAUGUAGGGUGUGAUAUGGGAACUUAUGCUGGAGAGGCCUACAAUUCGAUCUCCUCUCUGAAGCCAGGGAAGGAGAAGAAUGUCAUAUCUAGUUACUAUUGUUUUUGUAAUUGUAUUUUAAAUUCUCCCUCUCAAAUCAUUCGUAAAUACACGUCAUUUUGCUUUUGGGUCAUUCUAUGUAUGAUUGUACUAAUCUAAAGGGCCUGGACUUUUACUCCCCGGAACCUUCCUCCCAAGGCUUCAAACUUAGAAGAGUCUGCGAUAGAGAACCUCGAGAAGAAAUUGGCCCAACUCGUACCUGUCGCGUGAAGAAGAAGUAGCAAAGCUGGCCUUCUCAUGCGAUUUCUUAACGUGGCCGUGGGGAUUCCAACGGGAAUAUAAGACCAUUUCCAAGUUUCCAACCUUCCACACGGAGAAAAUGAUUUCUCUGCUUCAACUUUUCUUACUUUUCUUUAGAUUCAAUCAAUUCCGAGUCACGCUCGUCUAAAUUUGUCCCUUUCAAUCCCCAUUGAAGAAAAAGAUGCCUUCCAGAAACGCACUAAAUCGCCGAGAAAAUUUGGUACACAAAUUUUAAAAUAUCGUCUGGGGUAGUUCAGAUAUUUUGCAGCAAAAGUAAAGCGCGGAAUCAUGAGGAAUUUUUGUGGAAAAAAUGUCAUUUGGUAAUUGCUGCCUUAUAAUUCGGUGUUGCAGGGUUUCAAUUCAAAACCAAAAUGAUACUUUCAUCAAAAUUUUCAAAUUACUUUAUACAUUCAACAAAAGAUGUAAUUUUUUAAAAAAGACAAAAAAUAUUGUUGUUGGGUGUGUCAAUUUAAAAGGGAAUUUAAGGAGCUUCUUCCUAAGUUAUGUUCAUUGUUUAGAAUGUAAAACAGUUUUUUAACUUAAAAUAAUUUUGUUUGGCAAAUUUUAGAUUAAAAUUAGUUUUUUUUUUAAUUAUUGAUUUUUGAAAUUUUUGUAAAGUGGCUCGAAAAAUUAUUAAAAACAUAAAAAAGUGAAAAAAUUGAUAAUUCAGUCAUUGAUUUCAUAACUUUAUACAAGAAUGAAUGAUGAUUUAUACAAAGAAGGUCAAGUGAUAAACAAAUAGAUCAACUGACUUACAAGAUAACAGAUUAGACCGAAGUUCUCCUUUUUCAUUAGCACUAAAUUUAAAAUUUUUCUCCAUUGAUAUCUUAGAAGUGAAACAUCUCCAUAUCAUAUGGAAUAUCAAGAGAACAUUUCCUUUGACAAAGAAGGAUUCUCUCUUGAGCAACCUCAACCCUAAGGAAGUACUUUGGCAUACCAAGAUCUUUUACAUUAAAAUGAUAUUUAAGUGUUUCUUUUUCAAGACUUCAAUCUCAGCUCUAUUGUGAUGGGACUACCAAAAUAUCAUCAACAUAAAUUAAUAAAAAUAAAUAAAUCAUUUGUUGUUUGUUUAGAAAAGAGUGUGUCCUCCACCUUUGAUGGGGGUGUAUCCGACAAAGACUAAAAAAAUAUCUCAAUUUAGUAAAUCAUUUAUGAAUUGCUUUCUUAAGUGUAUGUAUAUUAAUUUAUUUGACGAUAUAUGGUUUUCUUUCUCCCACUGUCAACAAGAACCUAGAGGCAUUUGCAUGUAAACCUCCUCAAUAAGAUCCUUAAUUAGGAACAUUGUUGCAAUCAAAACUAAUAUGGCAAAUGGGAGCAAAGAUCCCAUUAUAAUCGAUUCCCUUCAUUUGUGUAAAUCCUUUAACCACUAAAUGUAUUUUAUACUUCUCAAUGGUAUUUCACUUGAUCUUACAAAACCACUUGCAUCUAAUUUAUUGUUUGUUAUGUGGUGAAAUAGUGAUAGUCAAAGUGUUGUUCCUCUUAAUAGCCUCUAUUUGUAUCAUCAUAUCAUUGCUUCUCUCCAUUAUAGAAUUUUAAUAACUUGAUAGAAAUUUGUGGGCUCCAAUUUAGAGUCGAGAGACGUAAGAAACACUUUACGAUUAUUAGAUAAGCCAACAACUUGAUAGAAAUAGUGAUAGUCAAAGUGUUGUUCCUCUUAAAAGCCUUUUUUGUAUCAUCAUUGCUUCUCUCCACUAUGGAAUUUUAACAACUUGAUAGAAUUUUGUGGGCUCCAAUUUACAAUCAAGAGACGUAAGAAACACUUUACGAUUGUUAGAUAAGCCAACAAUUCUAAGCAAUAACAUUAAACAAAUGAUGGAAUGCGCUUGCACCUUGAGAAGUUGAAAGUAGGCAAGUUGUUGUAAUGGUAGUAUUGCAUAUGCAGUCAUUCAAAUAUUUGAAUGGGCAUCGAGUACAAGCUUACUAACAAUUUGAUUAAGAAUAUUUUGUACGUAUCAGGAUUAUUAAGGGUGAAAUGGGUAAAAAAAAACUAAGUUCAUAGACAAUGCAUUAUCAUCAUCAUUAACCUCAUAAAUUGGUAGUGGCAUUGCAAGAUGAGUAAACAAUUGAACACAAGAAUCACAAUAAGAAUAGGCAUGUUCAUAAAAUAAAAUAAUACCACAAGUACAAAUGGUUUGUCUCAAGAUCAUAAAUUUUGUAUCUCUUUUACCUAAAAGGAUACCCUAUGAAUCUAGGAUUGGAAUUGGAACAAGCACCAAAUUUAUGUUUUGAAGAGAAAGACUCAAAGACUUUAAGAUGAGAGUAAGAAAGAUUAUCAAUAACUAUUUCUUGUGGAGUUCUUCCAUUUAAGGGUGUCCCCAUUUCGAAGUUUGCCUUGAGCUAAAAAAUUAUAAACUAAAUAUUUCAUAUUUUGGCAAUUGUUGCCUUCAGGCACUAUUAGUGCAAACCCUUCAUUUGAAUUAGGUGUUGAGGUAGCAAGUAGCCAUGUCUCUCUUCUUGUAAGAACAAUGAAAAAGUUUUACUCAUUGUUGGAAGUGGUUAUUGUAACAAAAUUCAACUCUAAUCGGCAUAAUAACCAUCAUUGAAGCCUUGCAAAAUUUCAUUGCAUGAUCCUAUUGUGAUAGCUCUAUAAUUGUCUUUGCAACUCUACAAAAACAACUUAGAAUGGUUAUAUAUAUGAUGUCAUUUAAAACAGAUGUAAUAAGCAAUGGCAAAAAGCCUUUUUGCCUACAAUUUGAUACCUCAUAAAUCUUCAUGGUAUUUGGUUGAGAAAAACAUUCUUGUAUAUCCUUCCUAAUGGCUUAGGUCGUAUAUGCUUAAAUGUAUGGAUUCCAAGACAUAAGAACAUUGACUAUUAGAUUAUUAUAGUGGUGCAACGUGUAUGAAUUUGAAAAAGGCUUUAUAGUAGGUGUAGGGACCCCUCCCCCUGAUAACACGUGACACACAUCUCCUGAUGACACGUGACACACAUUCUCAUCCGGGUUAACCCCAUUCGGAUUUCCCCAAGAAUGCACGUGGCGCGCUUCUCCUAUUCGGACUACCUCAAGGAGAGACACACAACACUCAUAAGCAUAACAUCCGGACGACUUCCACAAAUGCAUCCGGACGACUAACAUAGGUCAUCCGGAUACGUUUGCCCAGAUCAUUGACUGAAGUAAGCAAGUCUUGCACAUUAUCGCAACAGCCUGCCAUGGCCCACGUUCCGCCACCUGCAGAGUGAAAGGACAAGAUGAAGUGACAACAAGUCACUUCCCAUAAUCACUUCACACGAUCUCUGUCAGCCGCCCGUAGGGUGAUAAUGGCCCUACCACCACCUAAGGUCAUCAUGACAACACAAAAUAUCUCCCCACCAUUAAAGAGUGGAACAAAGCUUCUGAUACUAUAUAGACAAACCUUCACACAAAGAGGAAGGGAAGCUUGUUAUUCAUAGUAAAAGGUCAACUGAUUUAUCUCUCUAACCAUGGCUGAUAAAACCGUCGGAGGGUGCGUCCGGACACCUUGUCCGGAUGCCUUUUGCAGGUGGAACGACUGAGUCAAGAAUCUAUAUUGGUUGAGAUCGUGCGUCCAUCCAUUUGACAACUAUGUGGAUUACCAGGGACGUGAGGCCUUAACAGUAAGAACAACCAUAUCCUGGUUGGAUGAGGUUUGGUGAGCUAAGAUAUGGAAAAAACUCUCCUUCCAUUUACUACAUAUAAGAACAUUGAUUAAGUCGAUAUUUUUUUAUAUUUAAUUUUAAAUAGUAUUAAGUACUAAGUUAUAAUGUUUAAUAAUAUAAAGUAUUAAGUUAUUCAUUUUUUAAUGUUUUAUUUUUAUUAAGUAUUAAAAAUAAAGAAAAAUUAUUUUUAACAUUAAAAAAAAGUCAAAUAUUUAAGAAAUAAAUAAUAAGUUAAUGAAUAUUUUAAUUUGAUUUAUUUAAUAAAAAACUUAAGAAAUAAUAAUAAGUUAACAAAAAAUAGAAAAACAAACAAUUUGAAAUUUGAAAACAAAUUGUUCUCAGUAUCAACAAACGUGACCUAAAAUUUUACAAAUUGCUCCACAAAUCUUUCCUUCAACUUUAAUGAAUAAUGCCAAGGAUUUGCUCUUUGAAAAUUACGAUCAUAUGCUCUGAUUCCUAUGUUUUAAUGUCUCUUUAUUUAUAAAAUGAAAUUCUCUCCAAUUAAUUGGUUUUCUAAAUUUUAGAUGUUAUUAAAAUUUUCUUAAUUUUUUUCAACACCAUUCUAAAUUUUUCUAAGAGUUGGUAAUUCAAUAGAAGUCAUCAUUAUUGACGGAGUUUAGUAAUAAAUGAAAUUUUCAAAAUUUUAAAUAAAAAUUUAAAAAAUUUAAUCUAAAUUACUAAUUUGGCGCGCAUAGAUAUUACCAAUCAGGGAUGUGAAGCCCUUCGAAUAAAUAUUAAGAUUAGCAGAUAGUCAUGGCCGCAGCUUGUUUGUGAAAUCCUACUAUAACGUGCAUGACUGGGGAUGAUAGCUAUUGUAUCAGGGGGUCCGCUGUAUCCAAGAGAGCAUGUGUGAAAGCUCUUCAAAAGCAAGGCAUCUUCAUGUGCGACCGAGAGAAUCUGACUCGAGCCAUGGCCCGACCAAGUCAAAGUUGUCUCUGAACACUGACCUCGCCCCUGCCAUGACGAACGGACAGGUGAGGAAGUACUCAACACGUCUAAUCCGCUCAUUCAAUUGCGGAAAUCAAUCAAUGCAUUGUUUCAUUUUCAUUUUAAACUAAAUUCGCCUUCUCAAAAGAUGACAUCAUUUUUUUCCUAUUCAAACUAAUUUAAAAAAUAUCAUAAUUUUAAAAUUAUUUUUUAUAUUACGGUAUUUUAAAAAAUAUUUAAAAUGAAUACACUACUACAUAAAAUCUCGGGAAAAAAAAAUGAGUUGAUGGGUUUGAAUCAAAAUUCAAAUCACCUUUUACCACCAAAAAUUGAAUUAAAUCAAAUUUAUUUAAGAUUGAUUUAAUUCUAUAGGACCUAAGUUGAUUUAGGUCUUAAAACUAAAUUUUAAAAAAAAUAAUUAAAAUUAACUUGAUUUGACAUUUAAAAUUUCUAUUUCAAAAUAUAAAAAAAUUAAUUUAAAAAUUAAUUUACCCUCCUCAAUAAUGAUAAAUUAAUUUAAUAGAAUCUAAAAAAUAUAUAAAAUAUAAAAUAUUAAAAAAAAACUUAUUGAUUUAAUUUUUAUGGCUUAAAAGACAAGAAAAUUGAAAUUUUUUUCUAAGUGUAUAAACAUUUAUAGUUGUUAUAAAUUAAACCAAUUUGAUAGAUUUUAGUUAAAUUUAAUAGAUUUUUAAUUUUCAAUUCCACCCCUAAUUUAAGCUUCGAAUUAUUUAAAAGAAAAUUUACUUGACAAUAAGAAUAAAAAGCCUAGAAGAAAGGGCACAAAUAAAAUUUUAUUUUUAUUAAUUGAAAAACAUUGGCCUUCAUAAAACAACCUAAAUUCAAUGUCUAAAUUAAUCAAAAGUUUGUAAGUUCUUUGGAAACAUUUCAAUAUUUUUAUAUAAAUGGAAAAUUAGAAGAAAAAAAAAACAAUAUAUAGUAACAUUUUCUUAAUAUAAUUUUUUUUUUACAUAAAAACUAAUAUAAUUUAAUAAUAAUAUUUAUUGAAAGUUUUUAACCCAAGGGUUUUCUUAAUUAAGUUUUGAUGAUAUUGGAUGGUUAAUGAUAUUAACAACCCAAAUCAAGACAAGUUUUUCAAGUCUAUUUGUUAAAAAUUUCAAAGAAAAUUCAAUUAACUAUGAGUUGUUCGGGCAAAGUAGAAUAAGAAGAUCAAUUUCAUGAAAUUUUGUGAUGCUUGAAGACUUGAAGUAAAAUAAAAUAUGUUGUAAGAUGGUAUUUAUUGGUGCAUUUAAGACUAAACUAUUUCUCAUAGACUUAAAAGUUUUAUUUUCAUCCUUGCCUAAGCUCAAAUCGAUUAUUUAUCUCAAAGAUUUAUAUGAAUUUUUGUUUUUGAUUAAAAUCUUGAACUAUUUUUUUUUUUAAAGGUUUUGAGAAGGGUCAACAAAGUUGCUAAAAGUUUCAAACCUCAAACCAUUAUUUUUAAAUACCUUACAAAAACACCUUACAAUCAAUCAGUUGUGGGGUCAAUAAUAGCCUUAAUUGGUCGAUGGUAUUUUUGUACACUCUUUCUCUUUUAAUAUCUAUAGUGUAGCCAAUUGAGGUAUAGCCUCAACCACUCGAGGGCAUAGCCUCAACCAUAAACUCAACCACUCGAGACUUAGUAAAGGGUAGAUUGCAUCAAUAGUUAAGCUUAAAAACCUCGACGGUCACUUACAAAGUAUUUAAUUCUCAACAACCAGUAGAUUGAUUAAGAUCUUUUAUGACUUUUGGGGUCUUUGAGCUAAAAACCAACAAAUGAAAGAGUUUUAAAGUAUUUAUUGAUAAAUUAAAAAAAAAAACAACUACAUUCAAUUGGAAAAUUAUUUUUUCUCUCAUUAAAAGCUUUUUUCCAAAGUGCUGUGAUUUUUUACUUGUAAUUAUUUUAAUAAAUCUUAAGAAUUUAUCCUAGCUAUUUAUAUUAAGAGCUAAACUUGCAUCUAGGAUUGGAAGCAUUAAAUCAUUUCUUAUUUACUUAUUGUGAGAGAAAAUAUUUCAAAUAAGUUGAAUACUUGAAAAGAUUGUGAAGGUCCAUUGAAACUAAGAAAUUUGAGAAAUUUGAAAACUUCCGAUUUCAAAAGCCUUAAAAUUGUGAAACUCUUGCGAAAAGUAGAUAUAGUUGGGUUGUUAAACUGAUAUAAAAAAGUUUGCAGAUUUAUUUUCUUUAUCUCUUUAAUUUAUUAUUAUCUUGUUCUUUAGUUCUUAUAUUUUUUUGCUUUAGUUGAUAAAAUAAUACUAAUAUGUAUUUUAUUUAAUAUAAUUUUUAUAUAUUUAACAACAUAAUAUAAUUUUUUUUAUUUAUAAAUUUAAAUAUUUUAAUCAUAAAUAUUAUCAACAAAGAAAUAGAAACCACUACAAAAUUAUAAAUUAAUUUCAUAUUUUUUUUCAAAAAAAUAAAACAAACAUUAAGAUGUAAUAUAAUUUUUAUUUUAAAUAAAUAACAAAUAUUAAAAUGUAUUGCAUUUUUUAUUUAAAAUAAAUAAAAAAUAUUAAAAUGUAUUAUAUUUUUUAUUUAUUUUAAAUAUAAACAUAACAUAAAAAAAAUAGAGACAAUUUUUUUAUUUUUUUAAUAAGAAUUUUAAAUAAUUAUCAUUUUAAAAUCCUCCUUGGAAGCUUCGCUCUCCUUUCAUUUUCAGACGCCUUCCUCGAAAGAAUGCUCCUUGUUGAGGUUCAUUGUAAAUUACAAAAACUUUUAAUUAUAAUUUAUUAGAUUUUAGUUUAUUAUUUAUUUAUUUAUUUAUUUUUUUCUCUUCUUAUCCACAGUUCAUUCAUGAAGAGCAUAGGCGAGCUCAAAAAUCUUGUUGGGCUCAGCCCAGGACUUUCAAGCUUUUGGGUCGAAGGUUGACCGGGGUCGUCACUGGGCAGGCCCAGGGGUAGCCAAAAUGACCAAUCCAGGUGCGUGCCAAGCACCACGCACCACGCACCACGCUCAGAUAAGACGACCUCGUUUCGAGUCUUUCUUUUAUCUCACCCGACGCCUGUGAAAAGUUGAGAGAUUUUCCUUACGGUUUCUGUUCAAAUUUCAGGUGAUCGUCUCGAACUCUUAUUAUAUUUCUGAUAAUGUUCUUGUUUUUAAAUUAUUGGUUUGAUCCAUCUCAAUUCAUGAUGAUCUUUUUGUACAAUUCUAAAAGGCCGUGUUUGGGUACUGACAAACCUGCGAACAAUAAUAGGAAAGGAAAUGUCAAUUUGGGACUGCCUUUUUUUAAAUUAAAAUUUUAUUUUAUUUUAUUCUUGAGAUCAGAAUUUUGAUUCGUUUCAGUUCCUGCAUUUAUCAAGCAAUUGAUUGAAAAGCUUGUGUUUGGGCGUUUUUCUAGGGUUUUGAUAUUUGACUCGUCUAGGGUUUGGAAUGUUAUACUUUUCUUUUGGAAGCAGGCUUCGUCAAUGAAAGGAGAAGUACAGCUAGAACCAUCAGGUGAGCGAAACCCUAGGGACUCUGAUCCUCUGCUUGAGAACCAGGCGGAUUCAUCCACAGGAAGUUCAAGCGAGAUAAAUAGUGAGGACAUUGAAGCUGGCUCUGUACCCUGUUGUCGCAUUUGUCUCGAGUGCGAUGGAGAACCAGGUGAACAUUGCUGAUUAUUCCUAUUUGACGGGUUUUCUUGACUGUGAAGAAAUUGCUUUGUUUGUGCCGGUCUUGCCUGAGUCUCAUCUUGGGUGUUUCUUUCAAAAUAAUGGAUUAUUGGUGGCAUGUUCACAAAUCUUUAUUAAGGAAAAUUUGAUUUCAAAGUAUUUGGAUGUUAUUUUGUGAUAGAUAAGGCUGGUGGCAUGUUCGAGAAACCAUAUGCUGAAUGGGUGUUAGUUUCUUGCAUAAUGUAAACAGGCUCCUGAAUCAUUACAUUUUAUGGUAACAUACUGAUUUCAGGACAUUUUUUUUUGAAAGAUUUCAUACAUUCAUGGGAAAGAUUGACAGUUUUGUGACCUUCAUUCUGAUUGACUAUGGCUGAUCGAGUUGAUAAUAAGCUACUUAUCUUAUUAACUAGGGUUAUUUAGACAGAUGACAUGAAAUAGUCAUGAAAUCAGAAAAAUAACCCUCCUUAGCGAUUUUUUGGAAACAUGACCCUCUCUUGAUCUUUUUGGAACUCCGAAACCUCAUUUCUCUCUCACUUCUUGCUCUAUUUUCCUCUCAUUUUUGCUACCCAUCUCUCUCUCUAAGCUUAUUUUGCUCUCUCUCCAAUAAAAUUUCUUAAGCUCUUUCUUCACCAUUGUCUUUGUUGUGAAGCCCCACUAUGGUUUUGUUGAUUCAGCUUAGUCUUCCUCUAACCUUCCACAACUUCUUCAUCUCAAACUUCAAAUGAUUGAUUUUCCAACAUUCUUGAGAUGAAAAUAACUGAGAUAGGGACAAACACUAUUAUGCAAGAUUUCUCCUUACAAUCAUACCAUGAAGGCUAUUUUGUUGGUUUUUUUUUUUCUUUAUAAAAAAAUUUUAAAUGAUGAUUGAACAUGUAGAAGAUUAGUGUUGCCCUCUUUUGUAUAUUUUGAUAUGGAGUAUCUAUCACAAAUAUAUAUAUAUUUUGAUAUGAAGUAUAAAACAUGUAAUCAUUUUUUUUAGUAUAUGGGAUAAUUGAACUUGUAGUUUAUCAAUCAAUACCAACUCAUUUUUAAUAAAAAGUAAACUCACUUGUUCUUUAAUAUUUUUAUGAAUCUCAUUAAUAUUGAACAAACUUAUAUUGAUUUGUGUGAUUGCUUUUGUGUGUAGUUUAACUAUAUAAGUUUCAUUUACAAAACAUUUGACAAUUUAAGUUCUCAGUUAUAUUUGAUGCACCUAAAUUUCAUUGUGGUUAAGUUUUAUUUACAGAAAACUUAACCCUAGUUACGUUCUUGGUCAUAAUGGUCAACUGAACCGCAUUGUGGUUGAGUUUCAUUUAUAUAGAGCUUAAUUAGUGUUAAAUUCUUAGUCAUAAUAGUCACAUAACCAACAAUGUGUUGAAGCUUCUUUUAUAUGGAACUUAAAUGGAAUUGCAUUCUUAUUCAAAAUGUGCAUGUGGACUUAACAAUAGAGAGUAGUUGGUUGUUUAUCCUGUAAAUCCCUUUUUGGGGUCAACAAUGGUGAGGUGAGACUUCAAUUAUUUAUUUAUUUAUUUAUUUUAAUAACCGUAGAGGAAAAAUUGGGAAAAAGAGAGGGAGGGAUGAAAAAGUGUUGGUUGUUUAUAUAUCUUAAUUCUUUUUAAUGCUUAAUAAUGGAGAGUAGAGAAGAGGAUAGCGAGGGCUUAGUUUUCUUUAAUGCAGAGGGGGAAAAAAGAGAAAAGAAUAAAGAGGUAAGAGAAAAUUAGUGUCUUGGAGGGAAACUAAAUGUGAAGGGACAUUUUUGUCAAAAGUGGGUCAUAUAUCAAGUUUUGAAAGGCUGAAGGUCAUUUUUACAAAUAAGGGUGUUAUUUGAACCCUUUUGACCAAAUAACCUAUUAUAUAUGCUCAUUGGAUUAUUGAAAUAGCUAAGUUUCUCACUAGAAAUCCUUCAGAUGAUAUGUGGCUUGGCAUUUUCUCUAAUUAUAUAUUUGUUUUGAGUUGUUAGCAGUGAUGCCUUUACUUUUGUUGUUCUUUUUUCUUUCCUAAAUCUUGUUGUAACUUGGGCUUGUUCUUUUUUCUUUGGUCUCAAGAUUGUUUUUCAUUUUAUAGAUGAUGAAUUGAUAUCUCCAUGCAUGUGCAAAGGCACCCAACAGUUUGUUCAUCGUUCAUGCCUUGAUCAUUGGCGUUCAGUGAAGGCAAGUAUUCUUUCUUGGGGUUCUACUGUUCUAGUAGCAAUUGAUUUCGAAUUGUAAAAAUUUUUGAAGGUUGAUUUUCUUAUAGAUCUAAUGAAGUUGCUUUAUUUUCCCAUUCAACGGUUCUUUGUCCUUUACAGGAAGGAUUUGCUUUCUCACAUUGCACAACUUGCAAGGCGCAGUACCAUCUUCAAGUUGCAUUAUUCGAAGACAACUCUUGGCGUAAGAUAAAGUUCAGACUUUUUGUGGCCAGAGAUGUUUUCCUUGUAUUUUUGGCUGUACAAACUGUGAGUUCAGUGAAAUUUGCGUAACAAAUUUCCUAUCAAUCUUCUUAUUUUGAAUUUUAAAGUAGUAGUUCAUGACAUCUGGAAUUAGGGGUGCAACUUGAGUAGGUUGAAUUGGGUUGGGUUGACAGUCAGCCCAAGCUGAACCUGUAUGUGAAAUCAUUUGUCUAAGCUCAACUCAACCUCAAUUUCAACCCAACCUCCCUUGGCAAGGCCCAACCUAAGUCUUUUUACUAAACUCAGAGUUAAAAUCAAGUUAGCAAAUAUAUGUUCAGAUUAUUCAAGUUAAUAAUUAUUGUAUAAACUUAAUAUCCAUUUGACUAAAUAUUUUACUAAUCAUUCAACCACAUUUAACAAAUAAAAAACUAUUUUUUUUUUAUAAGUAAAAUAUAUUCAUUCAAAAGGCAAGACGCCACAAAAUAUACAGGGGGUAUACAAGGCAGCUAAGCCUCAAAAACAACAAAAACAGCAACACCUCCCUUUAAGGGGAAGCCAUCCACUCAAGGAAUCCUAUAAGGGAGAACGCCUCCUCACCUACAUACAGUUUGACCCAACUCCACAAAUUACAAAUAAAAAAAUUCUUUAACUUCUGAACGUUCAACACCCCCCCCCCCNNNNNNNNNNNNNNNNNNNNNNNNNNNNNNNNNNNNNNNNNNNNNNNNNNNNNNNNNNNNNNNNNNNNNNNNNNNNNNNNNNNNNNNNNNNNNNNNNNNNCCCCCCCCUCUUGGGGAGGGCCCAAAAAAAUUUUUUUUUUUAACCCGGGGGAAAAAAAAAAGGGCGAAAAAUUUUGUUCCGAUUUUUAAAAUUAAAAAAUUUGUGAAAAAAUAUAAACCCCUUUGAAAAAAUUUUUUUUUCACCCCCCCCCCCCAUUUAAAAAAAAAAAAAAUUUUUUUUUUUUUAAAAAAAAAAUUUUUCCUCAAAAAGGGAGGCCCCCCAAAAAAAAAGGGGGGGGUUAAAAGGGGGGUAACCCCAAAAAAAAAAAAAAAACCCCCCCCCCCCCUUUAGGGGGGACCCCCCCCCCCAAGGAAUCUUUAAAGGGGAAACCCCCCCCCCCCCCAAAAAAUUUUGCCCCCCCCCCCAAAAAUAAAAAAAAAAAAAUUUUUUUAUUUUUGAAAGUUCCCCCCCCCCCCCCCCCCCCCCCCCCCCCCCUAAAGGCUAAUCUAUUCCUUUCCUUCCACAUCGUCCAAAAAAUACACAAUGGAAUGACAUCCCAAGUCUUUUUCCUUUUCUUUCCCACAAACGAACCCCUCCAACUAACUAACACUUCCUCUACAGUUUCUGGGAAAACCCAUUUCACGUCAACUAAACCAAACACUAUAUCCCAUAGAACCCUAACCACUGUACAGUGUAAGAGUAUAUGAUUUACACUUUCUUCCUCACAACCACAUAGAAAGCAGCGAUUUGGAAGUUGUAAUCCUCUUCUUUGAAGUCUAUCCAAAGUCAGCACCCUCCCCCACGUCGCCUCCCAUGCAAAAAAACAAACUUUAGUUGGCGCCCUUGUCACCCAAAUGCUUCUUGAAGGAAAGCCUAUAUCAUCAGAUCUCGCUAGCAAGUUAUACGCUUCCUUUACCCUGAAUUGUCCCCUUCUUCCUUUUCUCCACAGGACUGAAUCUUCUUCCCCAGAGGGUUUGUGACCCCUCAAAGUCUGAAGAAAAUCUCCAACCAACCCCAAUUCCCAAUCAUUGAAAUCCCUCAAAAAGUUUAGGUUCCAAUUUCCUUGACCCGAAUUUCGAUCCCACAUUUCCUCAACCGUUGAGUUCCUUUGAACCGCCAUAGCAAAGAGAUGAGGAAAACAAUGGGACAACGCUGUCUCUGAACACCACACAUCUGUCCAAAAUCUGAUUGUGUUGCCCUUCCCUACUUUGAAAAUCAUGUUAUUCCAGCACCAUUCUGAUUCUUUCCAAAUCUCCUUCCAAACCCCUACUCCCACCGCCCCCAUAGCCUUCUUUGGCCUCCACCCAAAAUCCUCCUGCCCAUACUUCGCCUUGAUCACUUGUUUCCAAAGAUUAUCUUUAUCACAAGCAUACCUCCAUAUCCAUUUGCCAAGUAAUGCUUUGUUCAACAAGGUUAUCUUUCUAAUGCCUAGCCCACCUUUGACCUUAUCUGUACAUACCACCUCUCAAUUAACCAAGUGAGUUUUCCCCUCCAUAUUUCCUCCUCCCCACAAAAAGUCCCUUUGCACUUUCUCAAGUCUUCUAGCAACCAUCUUGGGCAUCCUGAAGAUAGACAUUUGGUAGAUAGGCAUGCUAGCCAAAGUGCUUUUUAUUAAAGUGACUCUUCCCCCUUUAGAUAUAUAUUGCCUUUUCCAAAGAGCUAGUCUUCUUCUGACUCUCUCUUCCACCCCAUCCCACAUAUAAGGCGCCCUAUUGAGAACCCCUAAGGGUAGACCCAAGUACUGAGAAGGUAAAGACCCCACCCUGCACCCUAGCUCAACAGCCAACUCCUCCAUCUCCACCACCUCUCCCACUGGAAUGAUCUUGUUGGUCAAGCUAAUAAGUAUUAUAUAAAUUUGUUGGUCAAGUUAAUUAGUAUUAUAUAAACUUGACAUCCAUUUCACUAUGUAUUUAACUAAACAACCUACAAUUAGCAAAUAAAAAACCAUUUAUAACAUUCAUUUAACUAUGUAACCCUAUAGAAAACAUUCAUUUUACUAGAAAUCUAAAACUUUUGCAAAUUAAUAUGCCAAUAUGUAAAUUUGUAACAUCCAUUACUCGAUCUAUGUAAUAACUUCAUCCUAUGCUAUAAUCAGCAAAAUGAAUCAAAAGCUUUAAAAUAAAAACGGAAUUCAAAUGAAAGAAAAGACCAUCACAUAAGAUUACAUAACAUUUUUAAGCAAUUUCCAAGUCAAUCAAUUAAGAGUAAGAGUUACACUUUCUACAUAUUUCAAGAAGAAAUUUCAAUUCAUAAUCAAUCAUUCAAACAACUAAUCACAAUUAGAAGAAAGAGUGACUUCUCUAAUAAGUUUCUAGAAGUAACUCAAAAGUUCAUAACCAAUCCUUCAGAUAAUAAUAAACGUGCAUCCCAAAAAAUAAAGCCAAGAAACACAAAAUAAUUGUUUAUGACAUUCAAAUAGCCAACUUUUCAAAGGUGCAUCAACUCUCAAUUACAUAUCAUUCUCUAUAACAUUUAAAUUUAAUUCGGUUUAAUGUUUUAUUGGUCAAGCCCAACCCAAAUUGCGAAUUAAAUUGCCAAAGUGUAAAAAAAUCUGGUUGGUGUCGGCUUGUUUUGGUAUGAAUCUCCCCAAGUUGCAGCAUUAUCUGGUAUUAAGUUUUUGGGUGUCAUUGUGCAAUGCUACUAUUAUUUUGAAGGCACAGAGCAUUAGGUCUGCUCACUUUUUAGUGUUGCUACCACUGCAGAUCUCUUUGUCAAUUCAAAGUCCAUCCCUUUCUUUGCAACCCUCUUCCUAUAUCUAAAGGAUGCAUCUGUUUUCCAGGUCAUCGGUGCUAUGGGUGGAUUUGCAUACAUCAUGGACAAAGAUGGGGCUUUCAGGAAUUCGUUCAGUGAUGGUUGGGAUCGAAUAUUGUCCAGGCAUCCUAUACCAUUCUACUACUGUAUAGGUAAACUUUCAGAAACAUUUUUCUUGACUAUCUAUUAGUUUCUGGCUCCGUGUUGAUUGGUUUUAUAAUUUGUCAUGCUUCCAUAAAUUACAUCUGUCUAAUAAAUAUUUUACUACCAGCAGCAUAUUUCCAUUCGAGUUACUCUCAAAGCAUGAGUUUAUUCUCUUUUCCAAUUUAAAACCCACUGUCGAAGCUUUGAAGGACAGUCGUGAAGAAAUCUCUGGGAUUUUAUUUGUAUACUUUUUGUUUUUGUUAGGUUUCCUCUUCUUCUUUUGUUUUUGUUGGGUCUGGUGCUGGGAGGGGGGGAAGACAUUGUUCUGGCAUGUUGGUUGACCCUCAUAGUACUUGCUAGGCAGUCAUUUGGGAUAUUAUUCAGGCUGUUCUGGCUUUCAUGAUUUCUAUUACUGUAGAAACUUUUACAUAGUUUGUCUCAUUUCACUGGGUUUUGAGAGAACAAGGGGGAUGGAAUGAAUGUAGUUGUGCGAUGUGCUAGGAUUCAAGGAAGGAUUGGGGACAAAAAAUGUAAGCUAUUCUCAAUUUAUUAAGUUCCACUAAUUUUUCUAAAUUUAUUUAAUCAUAUUUUAUUUUUUUAUCAGAAAAAAUUAUUUCAGUGCAUGUAAAAAAUUACAACAAGGAUGCAUUAUUCUUUGAACUAGAAACAAAAGAGACAAGGAGGUAUGCAAAUGCAAAUGUCAAUGGUACACCUUACACCCUACAAAAGCCACUAAGCUAGUAUCAUCAUCUUAGCCAAAGAAUUUGCUGACAAUCAGGCUUAGUGUAAUCCACCUAAAAAAGAAAGAAAGAAAGAAAGGCAGAGCACCCCCACUAUGUAGCCUGAUCUGAAUGUCUGUUACACAUGUGUGCGUGUAUUGAUUGGCACACAUGAACAUAUCAUAGGAACCAAUCUCAAUUACAUAAUAUUUUUGUGACCGAAUUUCUCUGAUACACCCCAAUUAUUUGGUUCUUUUCUUUUGAAAGAAAAUUAUUAUGCAGAACUUAAAAAUUCAAUCAUGUGGGGAGAAUACAUUUAAAUUUUCUAAGAAAAUUCCAAUGCCAGCCAUGCUUGUAAGUCUUGGUUAUCUGUAGGAUUUGAAGGUAUUGCGAUGUCUGUGGCAUUCAUUCAUGCCACUGCCAACCUUUACACUACCAAUUCUAGAUAUUUAUUUCAUAGAUCCUCAAUACAGCUUACUUUCAAAAUAUAAUGAUAAGCAAAAAACAUUUAUGUCAACAAGGUUAAUAAUUAGCAAAUCUGCUGCUGAUUGUUUUCUGAUCGACUGAUUGCUCCAUCUUCCUUGUUUUCAUAUUGUAGUCUUAUUGUUAUGGAGUAAGUAAAAGCAGUUGUGGCAGUCUUAUUUAGUCAUUGAUACAACAUGUUUAUUACCAGUUAUAUCUAGAAAUUAGGGACUGGGAUACCUGCCAGGCUAGAAAGCCAAGCCUAAGGAAAUCAAGUUAUAGUUCUUGGCCUUUUUUCUCUCUCUCUUUGGUUUGUUUAAACAUAUUAAAAAUGAAAAAAAGGUAAAAAUAUCUUGCAUGGUUUCAUUCUUCACUAUAUGUUUCCUCAUAAAGGUGUUAAAUGGAGACUAUUGAUCACUGACUUGAUAUUUAUUUUUAUAUUUUGAUUGUGUACAUGAACCAUACCAGGGGUACUGGCCUUCUUUGUUUUGCUGGGGUUUUUUGGUCUCAUAUUGCAUUGCUCCUCCUUAAAUAGCAAUGAUCCUCAUAUGGCGGGCUGCCAGAACUGCUGCUAUGGAUGGGGCAUCUUGGAUUGUUUUCCAGCAUCUAUGGAAGCAUGCUUCGCACUUGUCAUAGUUUUUGUUGUCAUCUUUGCCAUUCUGGGAGUUGCCUAUGGUUUCCUUGCUGCCACCAUGGCCAUUCAAAGAAUUUGGCAGAGGCAUUACCACAUACUAACCAAAAGGGAGCUCACGAAGGUAAGCUUCCAGGGCACAUUCUUGUUAAUAACUGUGGUUAUUUCUUGUAAGAAUGAUACCAAUUUUAGAACAGUUAUCAUAUUAAUAUGGUUACAUGAAAGCUGUGGAAAAUUUGCAGUUCAUCAGAUUCUAUUCUGGUGGUGGGAAGGGUUGGAGGAGAAUGGUGAACAUGUUUACUUCUUACACCAAGGGAGUCAGUCUCCAUUUGGUUUUAAACCAAAUGGUGAUUACAAAUGGAGCAGAUAACCUGCAUGGGUCUUGUGGGGGACAAAUUUUCUUCAUAUGCUUAACAAUGAUUAGUCUCAAAUAUACUGAUUUUGUUAUGACCUGAGUAGCUAUAUGGUGUGCUUAUCCUAGUGUACAGAUCAUAUCAUUUGACCAGAAGUUUGUAGGGGCAUGGUCUGAGCUUCCUAGAUAAACACAUUUGUUUCAGGAUCCAGGAAGGAGUGCAUCUGAUGUUUCCUUUCUUGUAAAAUGUUGCAGGAGUACAUUGUGGAGGAUCUCCGGGGCUGUUAUACGCCACCAAAACUGGAUCCAGAACAUGAAGAACGUCUGAAAAUGCUUAAACUUUUGUAGGACGGGAUGAUGAGAUGAAAUUGUUGUAUGUCUUAUUGAAUUGUUUUAAAGUCACGGAACUGAGAGUUAUAAUGUGUAUUUGCUCAGAAGUUGUGAAGAAUGAGAAAAGAUAAUUGCUGUUUUGAGUCGAUAAGCUAACUGAACAAAUGUUGCAAAAAGUGAAGAUAAAUAACAAUCUGUGCAGUCAUAUGUUCUCAUGUCUUUGUAUGGUUUUUUCUCUGCCACCUUUCCACCACGAGUUGUACAUCACACUGUCACUAUAGGUAUUCUAGAUGGCUGAUCUAGGACAGCACUCAGAUUGGUAGCACUUGGUGGGUGAUUUCCUUGUGUAUAUGCACAUGCUCUUGUGGGAGUGUGUUCUUGGAAGUUGCACCGAAACACAUGCUAUAAGGAUACACCCUUGACUCAAGUUUAUGUGCAGGCAAACUAUUGUGGUCAUUCCUUGUCUUUGGGUCCUUGAACCUGAAUCUCGACAUGAUUGGAGGCUUCUUUUUUCAUUCUUUAGAAUGAUAAUAAAAUAUGGUUCCGAUUCCGCUCUAUUUCACAUGUGCUGGUUGAAUUUUUUUUGUUGUUGCUUAUGGUAGAAAUGGACCCCGAGGGAUAUUUAUAAAUUCUGUUAAAAGAUUAUCCAAAAUAAUGUUUCUAUUCAAAUUUUAGAAUAUUUUUAGUAGAAAGUAUGGUGAGAUAGGAUAUUUACAGAUUCUAUUGAUCGAUGAUCCAUAAUAAUGCCUAAAUUCAAAUUUUAUAAUGUCUGUAGAAAAAUUGUAUCUUUAAACAGUACUCUAUUUUGCAAAUAUCUUUCCUAGUUAAACAAUUUAUUGUUUUGUUUCUUUCUCGUAAAUUCAAUGAUGUUCAUAAAUAUUUUGAAUUGAGAAUAUGUUAUCCUUUUGGGUAGACAUAUCCUUUCUUGAAGUCAUGCAUUUCAAAAUAAAUUAUCGUUACACAAUUAUUGAUGCAUUAUCUAGAUGCUCAUUUAUAGUCAUUUUUGUAAUUCGAUUAAAGUCCCUAAUCAUUCAUUGUGAAAAACUUUUAUUUUUCAUCUUUGAUCAUUCAAAUUUUAGUUUAAAAUUUUCAUUAUUAGGAGAAUGUAUUGAAUCCAAUUCUGGACCAAGGAUUUUACAUUUUUCAUUCUCAAUAAAAAAAUUUAGUUAAACAACUUUGCAAAUUUUAGCAGUUAAGGGUAACUUUCUCGAUAAUGAGAAAAAGGUUGAAAUGGUUUUUUUCGAACAGAAAUAUUUUCAAAAUUGAAUUAAUUAUUGAAUUGAAAAAGUUACUGAUUUAUAAUUCAAUGGUUAUACCUAUGAUUGAACCGUAGUAGAAUAGUUCCAAAAUAUAUAAUUUAUAUAUUAUAUAAAAUUAAAAAUAAUUAUAAGAAAUUAAGAAUGUAUAUAAUUAUAAAUUUUAAUCAUAUUUUAUGUUUUUUAUAUUUGAUAUGUUAAAUAAAAUGAUAGAGAUAAAUAUAAAUGUAUUAAUAUUUAAAUUCUAUAAAAUAAAGUAUGUAUAGUAUUUAAGUUUGAAGGUAUAUUUAAGAUAAAAAAUUUUUUAUAGACUUGUUUAUGUAUCUUAUUAUUUUAAAUUUUUAAAAAUUAUUAUACGAUUUCAUACUUAUUAUUAUAUAAUUAUUAUAAAUAAAAAAAAACAAAUUUUUUCCAUAUAUAUGUAUGUGUGUGUUACAAAGUUCAAUUGUUUACUACUUGUUUUUACAAAUACCUUGCAACAACUUGCAAUGUUUGGCUAAGUGGGGUUAAUAGUUUGUUAUCAUUUUGGUGAAACAAUACUUGACUAGUUCUUAGGGAAUCAUUGAAGAGAUUGUUGGUUGAGAGUUGGAUCUAUUGGUUUGUCUUUUAUAACCUCAAUCCAUGAUCUGAGCAUCAAUCAAGAUUUAAAAAACUUUGUUGACUGUUACUUGAUUAAGAUUGAAUGAUUUAAUAGUCCAAUUAUUGGUUCAAUAGGACGAAAGAGAUGAUCAAUCACGAUUUGACUAGUUGUAUCUACUUAUUUGAUUCAAUUUUUAAAAUUUUAUUGAAUAAUAUUAUUUGAUUUCUAUAAAUUCGUACAUUAUACGUAAUAAUAACAAACUUUUUCAUAAAAUUAAUUGAAACUUUUGUAAUUUUCAUACAUCGUUUUAAGUUAAGAUAAACAUUCAUCUUCGUGUGAUAAACCAAAACAAUUAAACUUAAUGCAAUCAAAAUUUCUUAAAUAAAAUGACAUAUUCUAAAUAUAUUUUAUACAUCAUCUCAAAUAUAUUUUUUAUGAUUAAUUAUUUAUUUCCAAAUAAUAAAAUCCUCAUUUUACUUUAGGAUUUUGAAAAGGUGAUGGUCUUUAAUAUAUUUUUGUCUUAUGAUCUUAGUCUAGAUGCUAUCACUAUGUGGGAAAAUUCUCCACCAUAACUUAAUAAUCGAAACUUUAUUAACAUUUUCAGUUAUUUUAAUACCUAAACCUUUUUCAUAUUUAGGUUUACAAGUUAACAUGCUCCCAAGCUAUCAAAGAAUCCCUUUAGAUUCAUUGGAUCCCCUAUUUUACUAUCCCAACAAUUUUCUAGACGUAAAAACUAGUUAAAAUCCUACUGAUUAAUCCCAACUCCUUGUACAAACCGAUAGACACUAGAGUUAGACUUAAGACGGUAAGUGAAGUUCUGUGAAGCAACGGUGUGCUGACACCUGUCACACCAGAGUAACUGACAACCCUUUUUCCAACAGCCGGCGCUCCCCGGUUGAGUUGUCGCAUUGUAAUAGCCAGUGGAACGCGGAACGCCGUAAGCAUCCAAUAGGAUACCAACAUCACCACCACUCCCCUCCAUGAUUCAAUACAAGAGAAGAAGCAGAGCUUCCUCUUCCUUCCGACAUUAGUCCUCAUCCAUACAGAGUCUCCUUAUUCACCACAUUCAUAUUCAUGAAUCUCUAGUACUCCACACAAUCACCUCUCCCUUCUUCUUCAUUUUGUCUCUGGGUACGUUUCCUUGUUGUUUCCUUUGCAUUUCUUUUCCCAAAUCCGUGAAAAUGCUUCCUUCUUCUCUAGUUUUUUUUCUUGUCUGAAUGUAUUUCAAUUCGAUAAUAAUUAACACUGUUAGGGUAUUUUUUUUCUUUCAAACACUUAUGUUGGAAAGAGCAACCCCUGUUGGAGGGGCGCGGAGAGAACUUUUGGAAAAACUCUCUUUGAUAUUGGGCUAAGAAAUCAAGGAAGUUGACAAGUGAAAGUGGGGACUUGACCUUUCGCAGUCCACCUUAUUAUGUUGGGGUAACUCUGCUUCAUUCAAACCUGAUCAGGACCGAUGCCCCAUCUUAAGAUGGGUUGGAGAUAACAUCUGUAUUUCAUAUUGCCAAAGUUUCAAUGGUGGAAGAAUAACAUAACAAUAAACAUUGAUAAUAGUAGUAGGAUAGUGUUUGAUAAAAUUGAAAAUUAAGUAUUAGAAACUCUAGUAUUGAAAAUUAUAAGUAUCCAUGUCUUAACUCAAACUCAAAAGGAUCUCAAAGAAGCAAAUUGGAUUUUCUUUAUUAUUUGUACACUGCUCUGUUACUCAUAAGAGUUCCUGCAUGAUUUCCAAGGUGCCAACUGACCUUUUUACGUUUUCUUGCCUUCAGCUAUGGAUAAUAUCAAAGCCCCAUUCAAAGGAAUUAUCAAGGAUUUCAAAGGAAGAAAAGCAUGCUAUAAACAAGAUUGGACCAGUGCACUUCGCUCAGGCACCAGGUCCUUAUUAUUACUGUUAUCUGUAGUAGAUUAGAAAUUGCAUGGUGAUGGGGAUUAUUCUCAGUGGAGACUAUAAUAUCCUUUGCAUUUUGUGUCAGCAUACUGGCCCCGACUACCUAUAUCUUCUUUGCUUCUGCUCUUCCAGUUAUUGCUUUUGGAGAACAACUUAGUAGAGAAACAGGUUGGUUUAUAUGCUUUAUUUAUUUAUUUUUGUGUAUUAAUGCCAUUUAAAAUUUACAAAUUUUCAUUGUAUAAGUGAGUAUAUGUAUGUCCACGACUUUAUCUCUUGAGUGGUUGGGGACUUAGGGUAUCUGCUUUCCACAGAUGGUUCUGAGAUUUUUUUUUUGUUUUUAUUUUUCUUUUUCUCUGUAGAUGGACACUUGAGCACAGUUGAAACUUUAACUUCCACUGCCAUAUGUGGUAUCAUACACUCGAUAUUUGGUGGGCAGCCUUUGUUGAUAUUAGGAGUGGCAGAACCCACUGUUAUAAUGUAUACUUAUUUGUACAAUUUUGCUAAAGGAAGGGCUGAUCUUGGACGUGAGCUGUUCUUGGCAUGGACCGGAUGGUAACAGGAAUUAACUUCAUAUUUCCAUGUCUAAAGUUCAAGGGCUUUACUUUGAUUUGAUUGAGUUAAAUCCUUGUAGGGUCUGCUUCUGGACAGCUCUUUUCCUCUUUCUUCUUGCAAUAUUUAAUGCUUGCACCAUCAUAACCAAAUUUACGAGGAUUGCGGGGGAGCUUUUUGGCAUGUUGAUCGCAGUUCUUUUCAUUCAAGAAGCUGUCAAGGUCUCUGCUUGAUCUCUAACAACAUAAUGGAAGAGAAAAAUGAGAUACUGCUCAUGAAGGAGAAAUUUAUUGUUGAUGUUGGAAUAUGUUGGAAUUACAGGGGGUGGUGAGUGAAUUUCGCAUUCCUAAGGAUGAAGAUCCAAACUCAGAGAAGUAUCAAUUCCAGUGGCUAUAUUCAAACGGGUUGCUAGCUAUCAUAUUCUCAUUUGGCCUACUAUUUACUGCCCUAAAGAGCAGAAGGGCAAGAUCAUGGUCGUAUGGUACAGGUUUGUAAAGAGACUGCAUAAGAAUCUUUGCUGCAAUGAUUACUCUCAUUUGGAAGCUGAACUUUUCACCAUUAAAUACAGGGUGGUCCCGAGGUUUCAUUGCAGACUAUGGUGUUCCUUUGAUGGUGUUAGUAUGGACAGCUUUGUCAUUCAGUGUGCCUAGCAAAGUUCCUUCUGGAGUUCCCAGGAGGCUUUUUAGUCCUCUUCCUUGGGAAUCUGCUUCAUUGCAGCAUUGGAUAGUGAUCAAGGUAAGUGUUGAAAUUCAACUAUGAAGAUAAUUAAGGUCUUAUCUUCUGAGAAUAAGAUAUGCUAACCCAUUAUCUUUACCUCAUAAAAUUGUACACCUUCUCAUUCUGUGAUUCAGGGGUUAACUUCUAUGCAAUGGCUAGCUUUGAUUUAGGUUUAAAGAACAAAAAUACAGUUUGCAUUUUGAAAUUUGAUACAUUAAUCCGAUAUAUUAAAUUUAAACUGCAGGAUAUGGGGAAGAUCCCUCCAGCAUACAUCCUUGCUGCCAUCAUACCAGCUGUGAUGAUAGCGGGUCUUUACUUUUUUGACCACAGUGUGGCUUCACAAAUGUCGCAGCAAAAGGAGUUCAAUCUCAAGAACCCAUCUGCUUAUCAUUAUGACAUCUUAUUGCUUGGUGUUAUGGUACAAUGACUGAUUCCUGUAAAAAAAAAUUCCAUUUAUUGACAUUUAGGUUCUUACCUGAAUUAUCUUUCAGAAUCAUGUUGCAUUGACUUAUUUGAAUUCAUUACUUAGACUUUGCUCUGUGGAUUUCUUGGACUCCCUCCCUCAAAUGGGGUACUCCCACAAUCUCCCAUGCACACUAAGAGCCUUGCCGUUCUCAAGAGACGGGUUAGUCUGAAUAUUUAGAAUGAAAAUCACUAGUCCUUGAGACAACAUUAUUUGAUUGGGACCUAUGAAAGUGAUCUAUUGAUGCAGUUAAUCCGAAGGAAGAUGGUACAGAGUGCUAAGGAAUGCAUAAAGCAACAAGCUAGCAACACUGAGAUUUACAGGAAGAUGCAGGCUGUUUUUAUAGAAAUGGACAUGGCUCCAUCAGUAAGUUCCUGGGGUCGUGACCAAUUUUUGGAAACGACGUUAUCCAAUGACUUACCUAGUGUUUUCAUGGGGCACUACAUAAUCAUUUUGCAAGCUGAUCAAGCCAUCUCAACUUGCUAGACUAGCUGUAUUUAGCCCUUUGUAAUAGCAUUUUGUAUUCUUAUUCAGCUAUUAGUCACUGAAGAGCUAAAGGACUUGAAGGAAGCAAUCAUGAAGGGUGAAGAUGGAAAAAAUGCGGACGAUAAAUUUGACCCUGAAAAGCACAUUGAUGAUUACUUGCCUGUCCGGGUUAACGAGCAAAGAGUGAGCAACCUGUUACAAUCUAUUCUCGUGGGAGCAUCAGUAUUUUCCAUGCCCAUUAUCAGGAGGAUUCCUACAUCAGUUCUCUGGGGAUAUUUUGCCUAUAUGGCCAUUGACAGCCUUCCUGGAAACCAGUUCUGGGAAAGAAUGUUGCUUCUUUUCAUUACUCCUGCCCGGCGCUACAAGUAGGUUCUUGUUUGUCCAUAUGGAUUAACACCUGUGUACUUCUUCUAACAUGCUAACAUUUCCUAGCUGAACAAUAACCCCUGCCUUAAUUUACAGCUGCCAACAGAUAUACCACUAAUUACUCUCUUAUUUUGGAACUGUCUUGAGCAGGGUGUUGGAAGGGGUUCAUGCUUCGUUUGUGGAAUCAGUGCCCUUCAAAUAUAUUUUCAUGUUUACCCUAUUCCAGUUUGUGUACCUUCUGGUGUGUUUUGGAGUAACAUGGAUUCCCAUAGCUGGAAUAUUGUUUCCCUUGCCAUUCUUUCUGCUUAUAAUCAUAAGACAGCAUGUCCUCCCAAAACUAUUCCACCCCCAUGACCUCCAGGAGCUGGAUGCAGCCGAGUACGAGGAAAUUGCUGGUGUUUGGAGCCACAGUCGUACUUUCAAAUUCAAGGUACUUGACCUCCCAUGUCUAGAUCUGGUCUGAUCAUGAUGAUGAUUAAUAAGGCCUCUGAAGUUUUUUUUUUUUUUUCCUUUUUACAUCCCAUCUUAACAUGUUGAGUGUUAGCAGGACCUUGAGCCAACUCAUUCAGGGCAUAAAGAGGGUGAAGUAGAAAUUUGUGAUGCCGAGAUAUUGGAUGAGCUGACCACCAGUAGAGGAGAGUUAAAGCUUAGAUCUCUAAGCUGUCCGGCAGAUUGGAUCUCUCAGGUAAGACAAGAAACUUCAGUCUCAAUUUCCUUAGCUAUAUAACCAUGAGUUGAAGCCUACCUAUUUAUCGCAUCUAGUUUCCAGGGACUAAAUGUACAAAAUUAAAAUGAAAUAAAACAAAAUCAACUGUUGUAAGAUAUGAAAAAAUCAAGAUCCCAGAAGACAAUAAAAACAUAAACAUAAAGAAAUAGAAAUGCAACAAGCUCAGGAGAUGAGAUGUCAAAAGACUACGAUACUGCAUUGCUCGCUUCAAGUUAAUGAAAGAGCAGUCUACUAGUGUCUUUUUGCCAAGUAGAAAAUUACCCUCAACCUAAGAGAAGGAAAAAGAGUCGACAUUUUAUAUCUCCAUCUCCAGAAGAAAAAAGUCCUAAGAAAACGGUAUGAAAUGUUAAAUUGGUUGUAUUUCUUCGAAGAAAACUGAGUCGGCUUUCUAAAAUUUUGCUUCUUGAAGCAGUGUGGUUGAGUUCAUGAGUUGUAAGGGUCUAGUGGCUUGCCGCACAUGCAUAUGGACUCUUAAGAAAGCGUAUUUUGUAACUUUUUCAUCAUUUUUUCGAUCUCUUCGGAUCUUUUUAAGAGUGUGUUUGGUCUCUAAUUAUGUUCUUCUUUGGUUAAUUCCUUUGCAGCAUUACUAUUGUUGAACCAUUAAUUUUUCUAAAGCUUAAACUUAUAGGAUUUAGAUUCAAUAUACAUAUCAUGCUCUUUAAAUUUGGAAAAAUUAAAGAAAAAAAAAAUUGAUUUGAGAGAGUUUCCUUUUUUAGAGUGUCCCGUCUUUAGUAGUUUUUAUUUUUAUAAAUUCAAUCUUGGUCUCUCUCUCUCUCUCUCUUUUUUGUCAAUUUUCCUAUUUCACCCCUCUCAAAAAUGUUGUUGCUGAGGUUUACUCUUGUCAUACACAUCAUGGACAAUGAAUUCUUUCUUUUAUAGAAUUUAGAUGAUGGUUUUUUUUUUUUUUGAAAUUUAUUUAUUUCUAAUUAUCCAAAUUUAUUUUUAUAUGUUAAAAAUAUUUAAUAUAAUUAAGAAUAAAAUCUUUAUAAAUUAAUAACUAAAAAAUAUCAAUUUAACAUAUUUUAAAUUAUCCUAAAAUAUCCAAAUUUAAUAUAAUAUUGAAAAUUUUAUAUGAUUAAUUAUGUAAUUAGCAAUUCUAAAAGCAUCUUAAAUCUUAAAAUAACUUACUUUUAACACUUACUUUAAAAAAAAAAAAAAAAACCCAAACAAACAAGAAUCCCAUGAUGGACACAAUAAAAGAGUUAAAAGUAAAUGGACAAGUUUAAGAAGAGUUGAAAUUGAUGAAUAAGUUUUGUGUUAAUGUAGGUUCAUCCGAAGAAAGAUGAAGAACAUAACGAUAGAGACACCAAUGAAGCAUGAGGGGAUGAAGUAACAAUCAAGUUGAGCAUGUUUAUUUAAGGAGUGAGGAGGAAUGUCUAGCUCCUAGUUAUAUAUUCUUCUAUUAAUAUGUAAUGCAAAAAAAAAAAAAAAAAGAGAGAAAAAUAACUAAAAAAAUGAUAAGUUAGAGAUGGACAUGGAAUUUUCAAUUGUAAUGCCAAUCAAGUAGAGAGGCACACAUUCAAAUUGAUAUUUGAUUAUUUUUCAUUUGCAAAGAGGAAGUUAUUUUCUUUCAAAUGAACUUUUAAAUAAGUCAUGGAUGUUCUUUCAAAAGGAUGCAUUAUGUUUGAUUGAUGGAUUAUAUCCGAUUGAGAUUAUCAAAACCCUAUAUUUCUUGUUCACAUUUUAAUGUGUAUGCUCUUUGUUUUAUGGUUAAGGUCCAAAUAUAAUAUAAAAGUAUACUUUUUGUACUGAUUAAGAAGACAACAUGAAUUAGGUAAUUUUGUAUAUAUACUUUUAAGUUUUAUUAUAUAUACCCUUUAUUUCAUUUGUUUAUACUUUUUUUUCUUUGAUUUAUGUUUUUAUUAAACCGUUUAGAUAUGGUAAUACAUAUUUAACAAUUCAAAUAUUUUGUUUAAUAUGUAUUACUAUGAUACCUUAGCAUUUUUCUUAUGGUUAACAAGUUUUGACUCUUACAAAAUUUUGAGUUAAACAAAGAGUAGCAAAACACGAAGUGUGAUCCAUCAUUUUUAAGUUUUGAGUAAUGUUUUCAUGAUUGAAUCGAAAAAAUUACCAAUUCAGUUCAUUGAUAGAUUGGUGGUUGAACUGUGAUUAAACCGGAUACCAUAAAUAUAUAAUUUCUAUAUUAUUAAAAUUAAAAAUAAUUAUAAGAAAUUAUUUAUAAAUAUUUUUAAACACAUUUUAUCAUUUUAUCAUUAUAUCAUUAUUAAUAUUGACAACUUAAAUUAUGAUAAAGAUAAUACAAAGAUGUUCAAAUUGAUGAAUGGUAGUUUUUCAUUAAUUAUUUCAUUCAUUCAUGUACAGAGUAUACACCAUUUUGCUGGGGUGUAUUGGAACAAGUAGUCUGAUGAAUGAUGUCAUGUCCUUCCAAAUAUUUUUGAAGAUCAGAACUUUGAUAUUCUCCACCAUUAUCGUUACACAAAACCCGAACCUUUGCAUUGUACUGAGUUUCAAUCAUUUUAUGAAAUUUUUGAAAAAACAAGUUCACUUCAUCUUUGGUUUUCAUCAAGCAUAACCAUGUCAUUCUAGUAUAAUCAUCAAUAAAAGUAACAAACCAAUGCGAACCACUCAAAGUUGGGACUUUGGAUGGGCCUUAAACAUCAGAAUGUAUAACCCUAAAAGGAAACAGACUUUUAUUCAAAAUUAACGGAAACAAAGCACGAUGACUUUUAGCCAAUUCACAAAUAUCACAACGGAAACCAGAAAUAUCACUAUUUGCAAACAAACUAGGAAACAAUUUUUUUAAAUAACCAAAGGAAGCAUAUCCCAAACGUUAAUGCCACAACCAAAUUUCAGACUUUUUCUUCUCCCCCACAGAUCCAUCUGCCAUCAAGGCUUAUCGCAACUUAUUUGAAUCCUUUGACUGCAAGUCCAAGUAAUAGAGUUUUCCCUGCUUAAUACCACAACCAAUCGUCUAUCUUGUUUGGAUGUCCUUAAAAACACAAAAUUCAGGCAAAAAAAUGACAAUACAAAAUAAGUCUGCAGUGAUUUGAGAAACUAACAAAAUAUUGUAAUCUAAAGAUGGAACAACUAAAACAUAAUACAAAUUCAAAGUAUCAGUAAGCGUUAAGGAUCCUUCCCUAAUGACUGAGGUUGUGUUACCAUUGGCUGUGGAAACAUUUUUUUGUGAGAAAGGUCUAAGGGGUGAGACCUGUCUAGAAUCAAAAGUCAUAUGAUCUGUAGCACCAAAAUCAAUUAUCCAUGCACCAUUAAUAACAGGUGUAAAAGUAUUUAAAAACUUACCAUCAUAAUCUGUAGUGGCUACCAAUGUAGAGGCUUUUCCGAAAACAUUAGCCUUUGUUUUUAUUUCGGCAACAACUGCAGUCGAGAUUUUCUUGGAAUCCUUCUUUCGUUGAUCGCGAUUAUGAUCCCACCAGUUUGGAUAUCCCACAAUUUCAAAGCAACGACUCUUGGUAUGACCAGUCUUAUUGCAAUGAGUACAUUUGAAGGUUGACUUAUCAAUAUUAGGGUUUGCCUUAGGAUGGUUGGUCUUGGAUUGGUCUUAUUAAUUCUGGGUUGAUCAUUGUCGGACUACCAUAGCUGAGGUGUCAGGGUUGUCAAAUUCUGCUUUCAUACUAGCAUGACACAUUGCUUCUCGUCGAGCAGUGCAUAACAUUCUUCCAAAUCGGGAAGAGGAUCUUUGUGUAGAAUCUCUCCUCAAACUUGCUCAAAGUCACCAUCCAAUCCAGCAAGAAAGAUGUGCACUCGUUGUCGUUCAAUGGAUUUUCGGUAUGCUGCAAUGUCCUCAAGGUCUUUCAUGACUACCUUAUCCCGAUGAUCAAAUUCACAAAAAAUUUCAAUUAACUCUCCAUAAUAUUCAGAAAGAGACAUGCUGCUUUGUUUGGCAGUGAAGACUUUUUGAUUCAAAGUGAAAACUUGUAAUUCAUCACUUCUAUCAUAAAAGGCCUUUGAUAAUGCACUCCAAAUUUCUUGAGUCGUGGAUAAACGUAAGUAACGCUUCAUAAUUUUUGGACUCAUGGACAUU
rnacentral:lncRNA from 1 species